rnacentral:lncRNA from 1 species
UUUCAGUCUCAGUCAUUCAAGCUUCAAACGUCUCCCGUCCCCGGAUCACUUCUUCAGUCCCGGAGUUUGAGAAGAUGAUGACGACCGACGCAGCGCACAGGUUGUCGCAGAACCCCGUCGCGCCGACCCGGCGACGCCCUACACGACGGUGCCGUCCUUGAUGGUCGCGUUCUUCUGGAUCACCACGAUCCCGGACCUGAUGUAGUACCCUUCCUCCGGCCUGUCGGCUUCUUGCACCCCCUGACAGAAAUGGCACAAAGUGGCAUGGUUUCAGAGACAGGUGUUGUUUCUUCAAAAUUUUGGUAGUACCAAACUUCAACCCUGAAUGAGAGUAAGUAUCUUACCUCCUUGUUUGAGAUGACCACGUCCCUUCCUAUCCUCGCGUUCAUGUCGAUGAUGCAGUUGCUGCAAUGUGUCCACCCAAAAAGUGUUAAGAGAUAAUGUGUCACUUGCACCGUGUUGUUUCUGAGGUACAGAUCAGUCUCUCUUUACCUGAUCUUUGUGUUCUCCCCGACGCCGAUGGGAACCUUGCCCUCAGACAUCAGCCUCGAGAUCUCGUCCUCGGUCUCGUACGAGUCCGCGCCCAUCAUCAUCGCGUUCUGAGAACGAACAAACACCAUUCGGAAGAGCGACAGCGUUCAGACGCAUGAUGGUUUUUAUAGCUGACAUGCACCACAUGCAUUAAUUCGGUGGUGAAAACCAUACCUUGAGCUCGCUUCCGGAGUUUAGGCGUGAACGAACGCCGAUGAUGGAGUGCUCGAUUUUGCAUUCACGCAAGAAGCAGCCGUGCGAAAUGAUCGCUUCUUUGAUCUGCGCACAAAAGAAUCCGUAUCAGAAUCCGUAUCAGAUGCUUACCGCCGAUGCUUGUAUGGAGUAGUCUGAAUAGCAGGUCCAUUCUAACACGUACCCUGCACUUGUCUGACUUUGUUGGCGGUAAGUACCGAGGCGAAGUGAAGAAGGGGGUUUUUGGAUCAUAAAAUUCAAACUUUGGAGGCUGCAAAAUAAAAAAAUGUGUGAGAGAAGAUUGAGAUUAUGUUACUUGAAGUCUCUCAAUGCAACUUUAUCAUUUACCAGAUGAUUUAAGCCUAACUACUUCUGUGAUAACAUCAAGUCAACUUGGAAGAAACAAAAAUAGAAUGUCACCUGUUCGCAGAGGGCCAUGUUCGCAUCGAAGAAGGAUCUGAUUGUUCCAAUGUCCUCCCAGUAGUCAGUGAAGACAUAUGCCUGACAAAGAUAGUGUCAGAUGAAUGGUCGUGCAAUGCAGAGGAAAUCGUUUCUAUAGACUGCAUUUCAUGCAGUGCUACCUCCCUAGCAGAAACAAUGAAUGAAGCUCACAUAGUAGCUUUACCUGUACAUUGUGAUCAUGCAGAGCUCUCGGGAGGAUUUCAGACCCAAAGUCAUGUAGUUCUGCGUAUCUUGACCUGAGAAUGCCAACGUUAGAAUUCAGGCUGACAGGAGAACCGCAUCGUCACAAGUGCAGGUUCUUACUUUAGAAGGUUCAGCAGAACAUCUCUCUUGAAGACAUAAACUCCCAUCGAAGCAAUGUAUGGAUAUUUAGCAGGGUCGUCUAUGGCGAAAUUGAGAAAACUGGUAUCCACUUUCUGCAAUGAUCAAUGACUUAAAUCUCAGAUACUGCAACUUAUUUAAGAUACUUAUAUCUUUAGGCAUAUAUCUGACACAGUGAGCAAAGACGAGCGCUAACCAUCGCUUCCAGAUCGUCGCCCUUUGGCUUCUCAGAAAACUGGAUCACACGGCCUGAACUGUCGAACUUCACUAGCCCGUACUCAGAUGCCCGGCUUCCAAAACAAAGAAAAGCAGAUCAGGAUGCAGCGUAACUUCACCAAAAGGAAUAUACAUUCAUAAACAGGGAUCUGGGAUGUAGAACAUUAGUUAAUACCUCUCUCCAACAGGGGCACAUGAUAAAGUAAUGUCAGCAUUGUCAUCCACAUGUUUCUGUAAAGGAUGUAUGACACAGCUUGGUCAGCCAGUUCAAAACAGAACAUACACUAGAGCUGGUUAAAGAGAACAUCACAAACCUGCACAAGCUCCAUGUAAUCCAUGCGAUAAAGCUGAUCGCCCGACAAGAUCAAAAUGUGCUCUAUGGAUUUAUGCUUAUAGUAGUCCUGCAGAGGUACACAGAACACAACAAGCAUUACUUUAACACAUGCAGAUCGUACAAGUAUGAGGUGCAAGGAGGGCCAUGUGCUCCUAGAUACUCUUCUCACCUCAAGCACCCAGAUAAAUUUUCUGACGGCAUCCGCUGUUCCGCGGAACCAUCCAGCAGCCUCCCCAGGCAUUUGUGUCGCGGCCAAUACCUAUUUGUUGCAAAAAAGGUGUCUCAGUCAACGUGUGCUGUAGUUGGCUAAAAGCCCAAGACGUCAACAUGAAAAUCAGAAGAAAAGUUAAAGUAUAAAUCAACAUUAAGUUGAGGUCAAUUACCUCAACAGAUCCAUCAGUGAAAUUGAUUCCCCCGCCGAGGUAGGUGCGGUGAAUGUGGCGAUUGAGAGAUGCCGAGUUGAACUGGGUCAUGACGAAUAUCUUGUUGAUGCCACUGUUGAAGCAGUUGCUCAUGGGAAUAUCGAUGAGCCUGUAACAUCCUCCAAUAGGAACCUGAGCAAUGCAACAAAGGGAAAGGAACAAGAUUCAGGCUGGCGAUCCGAAGAUGACUGGACAAGCUACAUGGAUGGUCACUGAUAGCCUUGAGGUUGACAUCAUGUCGGUUAAAGUGGGGGGCAUCAUCGGGACCGGCUACAGAAACCACUGCUGCUAAUAAUGAUUUAACUUGAUCACGAUGCAGAAACCUUGCUACUGAAUGAGCUGUACUUCAACUGGUCCUAUCCAAAUCAAUUAACAUGUGCAGAUAAGAACUGAAAUUUAAAUAAAGCUUCCUCAUUCUUAUCUAUCUAAAACUGGGAAAUUAUCUAGUAGUAGGGAGUACAAACAUAUCUGCAAAUGACAGUUUUAUUUAUUCAUUUCUGCAAUUGAAAUGUACCAACUUGAAACUGGAUAAACGUAGAAAGUUAUAACUAUAGAAGUGGAUGAUGAAUGUGCCAUCUUACAGCAGGUGUGGCCCUUGUGCUUGUGAGCGGGAAGAGCUGAGUCCCGGUGCCGCCGCCGAGUAUGACGGCCGCGACCUCGUUCGGAUCGGCGUAAUUCCUCCGGAAGGACGUCCGGAGAACCUACAGGUGUUUUUAUUUUGCAUCAAAACAUCAGAGACACUAACAUACACAUAUGCUCCACUGCAACCCGAACAUGAUCUGUCUGGGAUGGGAUGGAAAGUUUGAAACUCACAAGGGUGUCGGCCGGGCUGGCGUCGGAGGUGAGCACGCACUGCGCACCGGUGGCGGCGGGGCCCCUGGCGCCGCCGUUGCACAUCCUCCUGGACGCUCUCUCGUGCCUGAUGCUGCUGCUGUCCCCGAUCUUGAGGCGCUCGCAGGCCGAUCCCUCUCUCCUGACUGGGGAAACGCACGCCUUGCCCUCCAGGGGCAGCACGCUGCUGAACUGCAUCGAUGACAUUAGCAGUCCACCUGCAACUGCAACAAGAUGAGAAGUUGAGAACCAUUAGCAAGCAUGGAAUCUUGAGAAAUCCGUUUACUGGCUAGACCAGAUUGGAGAACGGAAGGCAGGUGAGUUUGUCCCCAAAUCACUGAAGAAGUCGCACGAUCGAGCAGAAAGAGCACGGACUUUUUCCCCCUCCUCUUUCAUGGGUCACGGGCGUCUGUAAAAAGGUUGAGUGGCGUAGAACAAUGAUUAUUGGAAAAAAGGACUAGUGGAAGAGUGGGAAAGGUGCCAAGGACUUUGUGACUUUUCAGCCUUGAGGAGAGAGUCGGCACGUGAAUCAGGAGAUGAGAUGAUCCUCUCAUCUUGUGGCUGGUGUUCUUCCUUUGCUGUUCCCUCCUCUUCUGAACUCAAAGGGACGCAAGGCAGAAUAUACCUGAUGAACUUUGCAAGUGGAAACGGAGGCUUGCACACGGAUUUCAAGUGUGAUGCAGUGCAUAGUUUCAUUGACGGGAGCUACUUGACACGGGAAAUGAUUUGAAUAAGGAGAGGUGAUGAUGAAAACGAGCUGGUUGACGCCGAAAUAUUUGAAGGAGUUGAGCAGGCAGGGCGCGCAGGAUCCAAGGAGGACUCACAUUUUUGUCGUUGGGAAGGCAAAAGAAACACUCGGAUCGAAAAAGGGAGGACCUGAAUCACCGGUGUGAGAGCAAGUACAAUAAGGUACAGUCAGCAGGCUGUAAGGAUUAAGAUAAUAUAUUUUUGCUGAGUUGGAUGAGAGAGAAGAGGAGAGAGAAGGGAAGCGGGCUCUUCGUGAAGAGCCAGCUCUAGCACGUGCUCCUAGGUGCUUUGUGAGAAUGAAAGAUGGACCAUAUAUGAUAAAAGUAGUACUAUUUUAUAGCUAACUAUUGUACAAGUUAGCUAUAAGAUGGGCUAUAAGAGUGCUUAUAGCCAGCAGUUGGCUAUACUAUUAACCAUGCUCUGACUGAAUCACUCCUCCUCCUACUAUUCGUGGUCGGCGUCAGUUAAUUCAGACUAGUAGUAGUUGGUUGGAGAAAAGAAAUCAACAUAAUACGAGAGACCGAGGGGCCGUGAUCCUAAAAUUAAGUCGGCAACGAGAUCCGUGCUCCCCCGCCGGCGGCUGGCCCGCGAACCACGCCGCCGGCGCCGCGCGGUGUCAGUCACUCACCUCACGGGCGCGCCCUCACGUCUGACCCAUUACCGCUCACCCCGUGCCCCGCCGGCGUCGGAACGGGGGGCGGCAUUAAAAUGCGCGGCGGAAUCCGGGCGGCGCAUCCGGCAGGGAGGGGCGCCACCUUUCGAUGCCAUUACGCAUCGACGGAACGCAAAUGAAUCAAUCGGCGGCGAGGAAGGGAGUGGGAUGGGAUGGGUUACCUGCCGGGGACGGCGGGGUGAGGGAUCGACGGGGUGGCGACCGGGCAAGCGACGGAUGAAUAUGAACGAAUCAAAUGCAGGGAGGGAGAAGGGGUGGUGGUGGUGGUGGUGGUGAGGGGAGGGGAGAGGAGAGAGAUGGUCCGUGGAGGCGUUGAGUUCGGAGGUGGUGUGUGGUGAUGUGGAGGGCGGGGCAUAUAAAGCGGGCCGAGGCGAUGGCGUCCCUCCCACUGCACUGCAAGAAACGGACGGACGGUGUGGGAGCAGCAGAGCAGAGGAGUGUAGCGUGAAGCGUGAACAAGGAAGGGGUGGUGGCAUGGCAUGGCCCCAACUCUCGUUUUGGCGCUACCCCCCAUGCCUGGCCAUGUGCGAGAGCGAGAGCACCGCCGUCCCCUCCCUUGCCGCUCACGGCUCCGAGGCCCUCCUUUCCGUCCGCCACGCCCACGCUAGCUCCGCCACCGCCGUUGGCCGCCCUCCCUCGCUGCUUUUGUUGCCUUCAGGUCUCGAUUCGAAGCCUGCCUGACCACCCACAACUCGCCGUGGGAAUACCAGGUGCACGAGGGCCAACGGAAUGCUCGGCUCGACAACUGGCCUCAGCUCGCCGCCGCCGUCGUCUUCCUUCUUCCUUUUUGCAGUUCGUUAACGCCGGCGUUCCUUGUGCCUCUCCUCGCACGCACGCACUCGCAACGUGCUGCUGGCCGGAAACCCGCGGCACGUUGGUUGGUUGGUUCGUCGCACCUGGACUGGACUGGACUGGACGGACGGACGGCUACAUUAACGGCACGGCCAUCGUUUGUUUGUUUUGUCAGUUUACCCGUGCACCGGCACCGCUGCCGCCCCGACACAUCACCGGGGGAACCAACGGCGGGAAUCGCUCCCCUCCUCCACCUCCAUACUUCUACUGCCAGCUAUACUAGAGUACACCUACCUAGCUACAGUGCGUGGCGAGGUACUGGACUGGACUGUGGGCCUCGGUCGUAGUACAUGCGAUGCGGUGAAGAAGAGAAGAGAAGAUGGAUCUCUCGCGACGCCGCCACGCAGCGGGGCGUCGUGGCGCGCGGCCAGUUGAGGGAGGGGAGGGGAGAUCCAGGCGCUUGUCAGAACGCGAGCGCCCUCUCCCGUGAUGGCAGCCACAGAUUCAUUCCAGCUGCGUGCGUGCGUGCUGCUCCGUCACGCAGUGCCGCGCGUGUGUCUUCAGUUUUUUCUCCUUAAGGGCAGGGCAUCGUAUGAUCAUCGUUGGUAAAAUUAUUACAUAGAUGAUUUUGAUGACAUGUCACAUAAUAAAAAAAGAAAGAGAAUGAAACCGUAUCAACUUGAAGCAACGGUUCAUGCACAAGCUACUAGGUUAUUUCUUCAACAUUUAGUGGACCCACUUUGUUAUUUUACAUACGGUUAACAUACACUUUGUUGAAGGACUUUGCUGUUGGUUGCUGAUGUGGACACUUAUACUAAGGAUUGAACAUACGAACUGUUGGAGAUGCUCUAAACAAUGUAUACACGUUCCUAUACUCAUCUCACCUCUAUCAAAUAUACUCAUCUCAUCUCUACGAAUACAUUUGUAUGAAUAUAAGGACACGUCCUAUCCUUCUGAGUAUCUUUGAGAGGUUUAUAAUCAGCUCAUUAUAUUAAGAUUGAGAAAGUCAACACAUUAUUAUAUUAUAAAAUUUAAUAAGUUGGUACAUCAUCUUGACAUUGAUAAAUUAACACAUAUGUCUUGGUUGUCGACGAAAAUAUUUCCUCCCACUUAAUCGACACACGAUCUUGAGAUUUGACAAAGCCGACAAAUCAUCUUUAGAUUGAUAAUAUCGUUUGUUGACACUUUCUUAGUCGACGGAAACAUCUCCGUUUAUUGAAUGAACAUUGUCAAGAAGCCUCAGAUAAAUUCAAAAGAUAUGAGCAUGGGUGUUAAGUAUAAGACUUAAAUUCGAUGGAUGGUUCCAACACAAUUAACCUAACCAUCUGAGCUACAAUACUCAUUUCACGUGUGUCUUCACGUCUGGAACCCUGUUUCGUUAUAUGUAAUCGUGGAUACGAUGGAUAUUCCCCUAGCACUCGAGGCCUAGGGUUCCCCUGUCCUCCUGGAAUCGUCGCCGGGGAUUUUCCCGUAGAUCCAAUCGCUCUGCCUGACGAUCAGUCUUGCUCCUGUGCUUCUCACGAUGUCCUAGGGGGGUGGCUCUCCUCUCUCUCCCGGACUCGCUACUGUUUGGUAGAGGGGCUAGGGUUAGCGGAGGGGUUUUCGGUUGUGACCGCGGCAAUGGCGGCUGAAGCGAGUGGAUCACGUGCAAAGGGUGUGGAAGAUCCGGGUGUGUUGCUAGAACGCCUGCAUCUGGAGGAGGAUGAGCGGGAUGACCUUGUCUGGGAGGAUGAGGAGGAAGAUCCAGAUGAGAAACCGAAGUGGCUUGCGCUGGCUAGGGUUCUGACCAACAAGUCUUUCGAGCAAGGGGCCUUGAUUGAUGAUAUGAAAGCGGCAUGGAAUCUAGCAAGGGAUGUGGUAUGGAGAAGGAUAAACUCCAACCUGUUCUCGGUGCAAUCAAUUGUCUGGCAGAUUGGAAUAAGGCGUUGCACCAGGGCCCUGGGACUUCAAGGGGAUGGCUUUGAUCAUAGCGGAAUAUGAUGGUUUCAAGAACCCGGAAUCUGUCAAAUUGGACAAGAUUGAAACUUGGUGUCAGAUCCAUAGGUUGACUAAUAUGAUCCUCAAGAGGGAACAAUUUGUGAGAAAUAUGGCACAACUCAUAGGAGAGGUCAUGAAGGUAUAGAUCGUCCUUCCUAAUGGCUUCAUUGGUGAAUUCAUCAGAGUCACGGUAAAACUUGAUAUGUCCAAGAAACUGACGAGGUUUGUGGGAUUCACAAAAGCGGGUGUGACUGAGUACUAUCAAGUUAAGUUUGGAAAGCUUCCUGUUUUCUGUUUUAUGUGUGGCCUUCUUGGACAUUGGCAUGAGGAAUGUGGCUCGGGAGAGCAUGAUAAGAAGGAUAUGGAGUGGGGCUCCUUUAUUUUGGCAUCCUUGAGAGGUGCGGGUGGAAUAAGGAACUCAGUUAGAGGCAAUUGUUGUGGUUCGGGUCGUGGCUCGGGCGCUGGUGAUGAGGAUGAUGAGGCUGCUGCUGGUGGAAGGAGGGGAGGUCCUGCAAGAACUCGUGGUCGUGGCCUUGGGCAUGUGAGGGACUCUCAAGCUCGGGACUCCCGAGAUCAAUAAGACUGAUGCGGAGCACAUGCAUACUAGCUGGUGUUUCAAAGCAUCUAAUGCACUGUGUGAUCCAGGGGUGGGGAUGAACUCUCGCCUUGAUGGUUCCCCAUAGGAGAUGUGGGAUGACGCACUGAUUGUUCGUAAGAGAGAGCGAGAUGAUUCCCAUACGGUCCCAAAACUAGUUGUAGAGGAGGAUGUGCAAGUAGCUGAAGGUGCCAUUGCUCCCGUAGGGAUUACAACGAAUAGGGUGGACCAGUUUGAGGGCUCGGAUCCACCCAGCAGCUCAGAGAUUGGUACCCCUCAGAAGAAUGUGAAUCGGAAGAAGUUUAAGACGGAUGAUGGUGUGGCCAUUGACAGUACAUCAACUAGUAGAUCGGCGGCCUCCUCGGUGGAGGACCGCCGGAAGCAAUGAAUCUACUAAGUUGGAACCGGGGAGAGGGGGGGGGGGGUUCCCGAACAGUUCUGAUCUUGCGACUUUGGUCAAGUCGCAUUCCCCUCUCUCGUCUUCCUGUGUGAGACUAUACAGUUAGCUAGCAAGAUGAAGGGAUAUUGUUCUAGAUUGGGUUUGAAGGCCUUUGAUGGUGUUGGUGCUAAUGGAAAUAGUGGAGGCUUGGCACUGUAUUGGCAUGAGAAUUUGAAUGUGUAGGUAAAUUUCUCAAAUGCCCGUUGUAUUGAUGCACAUGUACAAGCCAGGCCGGAUGAACAAUCGUGGAGAUUGACUUGUGUGUAUGGUGAACCGAGGGUGAAGGACCGUCAUCUUAUGUGGUCUCUCAUGUCGAACCUUUGUGCAAAUUCAGAUUUACCAUGGUUGGUGGUGGGCGAUUUGAAUGAAUGCAUGUGGGAUUUCGAGCACUUCUCCUUAACAGUGAGAGCACCAUUACAGAUGCAAUCAUUACAAGAUGUCCUGGAGGUGUGCGACUUGGCUGAUCUUGGGUUCAGUGGAGUUCCCUAUACAUUCGAUAAUAAAAGAAGCGGGAAUGCAAACGUAAAAGUUUGUCUAGACAGGGCAGUGGCAAAUCCGGCUUGGAGGAACAUCUUUUUCAAUGCAAUGGUACGCCACCUUACUUCCCCCUGCUCGGAUCAUCUACCUGUUCAUGUGUGUUGUGAUUAUGUUGAUGAUAGACCAGGAAAGCCAAAGCGUAGGCAGUAUGAGAUCAUGUGGGAAAGAGAUCGAGCUCUCCAGGAGCUGAUUGCUAAGGCAUGGCUGGAGGCAGGAGAAAAGACAUCCCUGGGUGACGUGCAUGCGGCUCUAAGGGGUACUAUGCAAAAGCUGUGCAAAUGGAGUAAGGAAAACUUUGACAGUGUAACUCUAGAAAUUGAAAAAUCACGGACACAAUUGGAGGAACUCAUGUUGAUGAAUGCUGAUAGAUGUGAGAGCCAGAAGGUAAGAGAUAAAAUGAACAAGCUACUAUAUAGAGAAGAGUUAAUGUGGAUGCAACGUUCCCGUAUCACUUGGCUCAAGGAAGGGGACUGAAAUACAUUUUUUUUCCCGUCAAAGGCUGUGUGGAGGGCUAGGAAGAAUCAUAUCAAAAAACUCAAAGACUCAAGUUGUCGGGUUUUUACAAGUGAUGAAGCGAUGGGGCGAGCAGCCAUGGACUAUUUUAAAAACAUCUUCUGUGCUGUCCUUUCGGUGGAUCCAAGCCCCAUUGUUAAUCUAGUAGAAGCUGUUAUAGAUGAUAAUAUAAAUGCCUUAUUGUGCACUGAUUUUACUGAUAAGGACAUUUCAGACGCUUUCUUUCAUAUCGGGCCUCUUAAGGCACCGGGCCCGAACGGUUUUCCUGCGCGGUUCUUUUAGAGGAAUUGGGGCACUAUUAAGGAGAGUAUUGUGGCGACAGUCCAGGAGUUUCUUCGGACAGGGGUAAUGCCGGUAGAGGUCAAAAGUACUAAUAUAGUGCUGAUCAUGAAAAUUCAGAACCCUGUUAAUAUUACAUAUUUCCGUCCAAUUAGCCUCUGUAAUGUUAUUUAUAAGGUGGUUUCUAAGUGACUUGUUAACCGCUUGAGGCCGAUGUUGGAUGGGAUUAUUUCUCCAACGCAAAGUGCUUUUAUUCUUGGGUGAAUGAUCACUGAUAACUCUUUGAUUGCUUUUGAGUCUAUUCACCAAAUUAAGCAGGAAAAGGACUCCACAAGGACUUUAUGUGCCUACAAGCUAGAUCUAUCCAAAGCUUAUGAUAGAGUUGAUUGUAAUUACCUUAAGCAAAUGAUGCAAAAGCUUGGCUUCGCUCAUCAGUGGGUUGACUGGAUUAUGUCGUGUGUAACCUCGAUGAGAUAUUCAGUAAAAUUCAAUGGAGCCAUCUCAGAUUCAUUUGCACCGUCAUGUGGACUACAACAAGGUGAUCCAUUAUCAGCAUACUUAUUUCUGUUUGUGGUGAUGGUCUCUCUAUUGUGUUCAACAAGGGUACAGAUUCAACUGAUUUGUCCCCGUUGAAGAUAACUCGACGAGCUCCUGAAAUAUCACUUCUCCUAUUCGUAGAUUACACUCUUUUAUUUUUUUAAGGCCACUGGGCAGCAGGCGAAUACUGUCAAGAAAAUUCUCAAGACUUAUGAGCAAGCUAGUGGUCAAUUGUUGAAUCCGGCAAAGUCCUCUAUUCUUUUUGGAGAAUCUUUUCCGGAGGCUACUAUAGCUGAAGUCAAGGCGUCUUGGGGUGAUCAGUUCUGGAGUUGAGGAGAAGUACUUGGGCGUACCCACUCCGGAUGGCCGGCUUACUAAGGGCAAGCUUCAAAAUCUACAAGAAAAGGUCAGUAAGAGAUUGUCUCCUUUUGAUGGGCACCCAACACAGUCUCGGAAGGAAACUCUCAUAAAGUCUCUAGCCCAAGCAAUCCCUAUCUUCAUUAGGAGUGUGUUCAAGAUACCGCUCAGAGUGUGUGAUGAUUUGAACCGCAUGAUCCGGAAUUAUUUUUGGGGCUCGGAUAAAGGGAAGUGGAAAACUCAUUGGUUUGCUUGGGAGAAACUUUUGCGAGCAAAAGCACAAGGAGGGCUUGGGUCUAGGGAUUUUAGAAUUUUCAACCAAGCAUUGCUUUAAAGGCAAGCUUGGCGUCUCCUAAUUCAUCCUAACAGUCUUUGUGCAAGGUUACUUAAGGCUAAAUAUUAUCCAAAUGGGCGGUUGAAGGACACAGUAUUUUCAAGUAACCCCUCUCAGUCUUGGCAAGGGGUCUGUCAUGGUCUUGAACUUUUGAAGAAAGGGCUUGUGUGGCGCAUAGCAAACAGGCAAAAUGUGAGAAUUGUUGGGGAACGCCGCAUGGGAAACAAAAAAUUUUCUACGCACAUGAAGUCCUAUCAUGGUGAUGAUCAUCUACGAGUGGGAGAACGGAUCUACAUACCCUUUGUAGAUGCAUAGCGGGAAGAGUUUAGAUAACGCGUUUGAUGUAGUGGUACGUCUUCACGAUCCCAAGAACCGUCCCACGAUCCAUCCCGCGAACAGUCCCACGAUCCGUCCCGAUCAAGUACCGAACGGACGACACCUCUGCGUUCAGCACACGUACAGCUCGAUGACGAUCUCCGCUUUCUUGAUCCAGCAAGAGAGACGGGGAGGUAGAUGAGUUCACCGGCAGCCUAACGGUGCUCCGGUGGUGGUGGUGUUGCUGAUCCUGCAGGGCUUCGCCUAAGCUCCGCAGAAAACCGAUCUAGAGGAGAAACAGAGAAGUAGAGGUGUCUAGAUCUGAAUUUUCCCUUGGCAAAAGUUGUCUCAAAUCAGCCCUAGACCACCCGUAUAUAAAGAAGGAGGGGAGGGGAGGAGGCAGCCUCAAACCCUCAAGGUUUGGCCGAAACUGGAGGUGGAGGAGUCCUACUCCAAUCCUACUUGGAGUAGGAUUCCUCCUUUCCACUUGGAACCCCUUUCCACCUUUUCCACCUUUGGGUUUUGCCUCUCAAACCUUAUGGGCCUUAGUGGGAACUUAUUCCAGCCCACCAGGGGCUGGUUUUAUCUCUUCCCACGCCCAUGAGGCCCCUUGGGGCGUGACACUGACGUCAGCUGUGCUUCCCUGGCAAUGGCUCCAGAAAAGGGCUGAUCCUGCAAUCUCUGGCGUUAGCUAGAUGAAUGCUUAUGACAACGAACCUUCUCCUGCAACGGCAUCAGAAUAAUGCUGCUAGCACUCCCCGGCAAUGAAACUGGAAGAUUAUUGUUGAUGGCCCACCAGCGCGUGGGUCCGCAGCAGUUUUUGAGGGUAGAGUAUUCGACCCAAUUUGUAGAUCGCCAGUCAGGAGGUGAGAGUAUACUCUCAAGUAUUAGCAGCUGAAUUUUUCAGAUUCAACCACACCUGAAAGAUUAGUAUCUGCAAGCACAAUAGUAACAGCAAAGUAAUAUGAUAACAACGGUGUCAGAAACGAUCUGUUGACAGCAUACUAUUCCUAACGAUUGUAUCAAUGGCGCCUCUGUUGUCGCGUUGACGGAAGUUGUCAAUUCCUGUCAAUGGCCAGCGAACAAACAGUGUAACGGGUAGUAGCAGUGUAACGAGCAAUAGUAGCGGCAAGGAACAACAGUAGUAACAGCAGCAGAGCAAGACAAGUAACAGCAGUAGCAACAGUAGUAGUAGCAGCAGAGCAAGACAAGUAACAACAGUAGCAAUAGUAGUAGCAGAAGUAGAGCAAGACAAGUAACAGCAGUAGGACAAACUCGUAGGCAAUGGGUCAGUGAUUUGUUUGGAUGAUAUUCAUCAUGCAACAGCUAUAACACGGAGAGAUAUGUGGCUAGCUCCCGUUCGUCAAUGUGAUGUAGGCAUGCAUUCCGUGUGUCGUCAUACGUGCUUAGGGAAAAGAACUUGCAUGACAUCUAUUAUCCAUCCCUCCCGUGGCAGCGGGGUCCAAAAGAAAACUACAGGAUAUUAAGGUUCUCCUUUUAAUAAAGAACUGGACCAACGCAUUAGCACUUGGUGAACACAUGAACUCCUCAAACUAUGAUCAUCACCGGGAGUGGUUCUGGUUAUUGUCACUCCGGGGUUGCCGUAUCAUAACACAUAGUAGGUAACUACAACUUGCAAGAUCGGAUCUAAAACACACAUAUAUUGGUGACAACAUAAUAAUUUCAGAUCUGAAAUCAUGGCACUCGGGCCCUAGUGACAAGUAUUAAGCAUGGCAAAGUAGUAGCAACAUCAAAUCUCAUAACAUAGUGGAUACUAGGGAUCAAUCCCCAUCAAUACUAACUCGAUUACAUAUAGAUCUCAUCCUACUCAUCACCGCCCAGCGAUCCUACGAAUAGAUUACUCACGAACGACGAAGAGCUUCAUGGAAUUGGAGAGGGAAGAAGGUUGAUGAUGACGAUGGUGACGAUUUCCCCUCUCCGGAGCUCAAGACGGACUCCAGAUCUGCCCUCCAGAUGAAGAACAGGUGGUGGCGGCGCCUCCGUAUCAAAAACACGGCGAAAACUUCUAUUUUUAUUUUUUCUGGGACGAAAGACAACUUAUAGAGCUGGAGUUGGGGGCGGCAGGUGCCUGUGGGCCCCACAAGCCUGCCCACCGCCACCAGGGGGGGUGGUGGCGGCGCAGGGGCUUGUGGCCCACUGGUCCACCCCCUGAGGUGGAACUUGGCGCAGAUAUUUUUGAUAUUUUCCAAAACUGCUCCCCGUAAAUUUUCAGGACGUUUGGAGAACUUUGAUUUCUGCACAAAAAUAACACCAAGGCAAUUCUGCUGAAAACAGCGUCACUCCAUGUUAGUUCCAUUCAAAUCAUGCAAAUUAUAGUCCAAAACAAGGGCAAAAGAGUUUGGAAAAGUAGAUACGUUGGAGACGUAUUAGACACCCCUCCCGAUGGUCCCCGACACCCCUCCCGGCACUCCUGGUACACUACCGAUGAGCCCGAAACUUUUCCGGUGACCAAAACAGGACUUCCUAUAUAUCAAUCUUCAUUUCCGGACCAUUCCGGAACUCCUCGUGAUGUCCCGGAUCUCAUCCGGGACUCUGAACAAACUUCGGUCACCAGCACCUAUAACUCAACUAUACCGAAAUGUCACCGAACCUUAAGUGUGCAGACCUUGCGGGUUCGGGAACUAUGUAGACAUGACCUGAGACACCUCUCAGUCAAUAUCCAAUAGCGGGACCUGGAUGCCCAUAUUGGAUCCCACAUAUUCCACGAUAAUCUUAUCGGUUGAACCUCUGUGUCAAGUAUUCAUAUAAUCCCGUACAUCAUUCCCUUUUUCCUUCGGUAUGUUACUUGCCCGAGAUUCGAUCGUCGGUAUCCAAUACCUAUUUCAAUCUCGUUAUCGGCAAUUCUCUUUACUCGUUCCAUAAUACAAGAUCCCGUGGCUAACAACUUAGUCACAUUGCUUGCAAGGCUUGUUUGUGAUGUUGUAUUACCGAGUGGGCCCCGAGAUACCUCCCCGUCACACGGAGUGAAAAAUCCCAGUAUUGAUCCAUGAUAACUCAACUGACAUCUUCGGAGAUACUUGUAGUGCACCUUUAUAAUCACCCAGUUACGUUGUGAUGUUUGAUACACACAAAGUAUUCCUCCGAUGUCAGUGGAUUACAUGAUCUCAUGGUCAUAGGAAUAUAUACUUGACNNNNNNNNNNNNNNNNNNNNNNNNNNNNNNNNNNNNNNNNNNNNNNNNNNNNNNNNNNNNNNNNNNNNNNNNNNNNNNNNNNNNNNNNNNNNNNNNNNNNNNNNNNNNNNNNNNNNNNNNNNNNNNNNNNNNNNNNNNNNNNNNNNNNNNNNNNNNNNNNNNNNNNNNNNNNNNNNNNNNNNNNNNNNNNNNNNNNNNNNNNNNNNNNNNNNNNNNNNNNNNNNNNNNNNNNNNNNNNNNNNNNNNNNNNNNNNNNNNNNNNNNNNNNNNNNNNNNNNNNNNNNNNNNNNNNNNNNNNNNNNNNNNNNNNNNNNNNNNNNNNNNNNNNNNNNNNNNNNNNNNNNNNNNNNNNNNNNNNNNNNNNNNNAUACAAUUAUAGCAUGGACAAUAAACGAUUAUCUUGAACAAGGAAAUAUAAUAAUAACUAAUUUAUUAUUGCCUCUAGGGCAUAUUUCCAACAGUCUCCCACUUCCACUAGAGUCAAUAAUCUAGUUCACAUCACUAUGUGAUUUCUAACGAAUCCAACACCCUUACAGUUCUGGGGUUUGAUCACGUCUUGCUCGUGAGAGAGGUUUUAGUCAACGGUUCUGAACCUUUCAGAUCCGAGUGAGCUUUCAAAUCUUUAUGUCAUCUUAUAGAUGUUGCUACUACGUGCUAUUCGGAAAUAUUCCAAAUAUCCACUCUACUAUACGAAUCCGUUUUACUACUCGUAGUUAUUCGGAUUAGUGUCAAAGCUUGCAUCGACGUAACCUUUUAUGACGAACUCUUUUAACACCUCCAUAAUCGAGAAAAAUUCCUUAGUCCACUAGUUACUAAGGAUAAAUUUUUGACCAUUGUCGAGUAAUCCACUCGUGAAUUACUUUCGUACCCCAUGACAGAUUCAUGGUAGGGCACACAUUAGGUGUGGUACACAGCAUAGCAUACUAUAGAGCCUACGUCUAAAGCAUAGGGGAUGACCUUCGUCCUUUCUCUUUCUUCUGCCGUGGUCGGGCUUUGAGUCUUACUCAAAUUCACACCUUACAACACAGCUAAGAACUCCUUCUUUGCUGAUCUAUUUUGAACUUCUCCAAAAACUUGUCAAGGCGUGCAUUUCAUUGAAAUUUUUAUCAAGCGUCUUGAUCUACCUCUAUAGAUCUUGAUGCUUAAUGUUCAAGUAGCUUAAUCCAGGUUUUCUUUCUAAAAACUCCUUUCAAAACAACCCUAUAUGCUUUCCAGAAAUUCUACAUCAUUUCCGAUCAACAAUAUGUCAACCACAUAUACUCAUCACAAACUUUGUAGUGCUCCCACUCACUUCUUUGGAAAUACAAGUUUCACAUAAACUUCGUAUAAACCCAAAAGCUUUGAUCAUCUCAUCAAAGCGCUUGUUCCAACUCCGAGAUGCUUACUCCAGUCCUUAGAAGGAUCGCUGAAGCUUGCAUACUUGUUAGCAUCCUUAGGAUCGACAAAACCUUCUGGUUGUAUCACAUACAACCUUUCCUCAAGGAAACCGUCAAGGAAACAAUGUUUUGACAUCCAUCUGCAAGAUGCAGCAACUGCUAACAUAGUUCUAACAGACUUUCAGCAUCACUACGAGUGAGAAAGUCUCAUCGUAGUCAACUCCUUGAACUUGUCGGAAACUUCUUUGCGACAAGUGAAGCUUCCUCAUUGGUGACUUUUCACCAUCAUCGUAUGUCUUCCUUUCAAAGAUCCAUCUGUACUCAAUAGUCUCACGACCAUCAAGUAGUUCUUCCAAAGUCCACACCUUGGUUUCAUACAUGGAUCCUCUCUCGGAUUUCAUGGCCUAUAGCCAUUUGUCGGAAUUCGGGCCCACCAUCGCUUCUCCAUAGCUCGUAGGUUCAUUGUUGUUCAACAACAUGACCUCCAAGACAGGUUUAUAGUACCACUCUGUAGCAGUACUCGACCUUGUCGACCUACGAGGUUUGUAGUAACUUGAUCCGAUGCUUAAUGAUCACUCUCAUCAGCUUCCACUUCAAUUGGUGUAGGCACCACAGGAACAACUUCCUGCGCCCUGCUACACACUGGUUGAAGUGAUGGUUCAGUAACCUCAUCAAGUUCCUCCACCCUCCCACUCAAUUCUUUUGAGAGAAACUUUUCCUCGAGAAAGGAACCGUUUCUAGAAACAAACACUUUGCUUCUGGAUCUGAGAUAGGAGAUGUAUCCAACGAUUUUGGAUAUCCGAUGAAGAUGCAUUUAUCUGCUUUGGGUUCGAGCUUAUCAGACUGAAACUUUUCACAUAAAUUUCGCAGCCCCAAACUUUUAAGAAACGACAGCUUAGGUUUCUCCAAACCAUAGUUCAUACGGUGUCAUAUCAAGGGAAAUAGGUGGUGACCUAUUUAAAGUGAAUGCGGUUGUCUCUAAUGCAUAACCCAUAAACGAUAGUGGUAAUUCCAUAAGAGACAUCAUAGUAUGCACCAUAUCUAAUAGGGUGCAGCUACGACGUUCGGACACACCAUCACACCAUAGUGUUCCAGGCGGCAUUAUGUGUGAAACAAUUUUCACAUUGUCUUAAAUGUAUACCAAACUCGUAACUCAGAUAUUCAUCUCUAUGAUCAUAUCGUAGACAUGUUAUCCUCAUGUUACGAUGAUCUUCAACUUCACUCUGAAACUUCUUGAACCUUUCAAUAAUUCAGACAUGUGUUUCAUCAAGCAAAUACGGUAGUAUCCACUCAAAUCUUCUGUGAAGUAAGAACAUAACGAUAUCCACUGCGUGCCUUAGCACUCAUUGGACUGGAUACAUCAAAUGUAUUACUUCCAAUAAGUUACUCUCUUGUUCCAUCUUAAUGGAAAACGAGGCCUUAAGUCAUCUUACCCAUGUGGCAUGAUUUGCAUGUCUCAAGUGAUUCAAAAUCAAGUGAGUCCAAACGAUCCAUCUGCAUGGAGUUUCUUCAUGCGUUUAUACCAAUAGGUAUGGUUUGCAUGUCUCAAACGUUUCAAAAAUGAGUGAGUACAAAGAUCCAUCAGCAUGGAGCUUAUUCAUGCAUUUUAUACCAACAUGACUCAAGUGGCAGUGCCACAAGUAAGUGGUACUAUCAUUACUACUUUGCAUCUUUUGGCAUCAAUAUUAUGAACAUGUGUAUCAUUACGAUCAAGAUUCAAUGAACCGUUUACAUCGGUGUAUGACCAUUGAAGGUAUUAUUCAUGUAAACAGAAUAAAUUUUAUUCUUGGACUUAAAUGAAUAACCGUAUUGCAGUAAACAUGAUCUAACCAUGUUCAUGCUCAACGCAAACACCAAAUAACAAUUAUUUAGGUUCAACACUAAUCCCGAUGGUAGAAGGAGCGUGCGAUGUUGAACAUAUCAACCUUGGAAACACUUUCAACACAUCGUCACCUCGCCUUUAGCUAGUCUCCGUUUAUUCCGUAGCUUUUCAUUUCGAGUUACUAACACUUAGCAACCGAACCGGUAUCUAAUACCCUCGUGCUACUAGGAGUACUAGUAAAGUACACAUCAAUAUCAUGUAUAUCCAAUAUACGUCUGUCGACUUUGCCAGCCUUCUCAUCUACCAAGUAUCUAGGGUAGUUCCGCUUCAGUGACUGUUCCCCUUAUAAUAGAAGCACUCAGUCUCGGGUUUGGGUUCAACCUUGGGUUUCUUCACUAGAGCAGCAACUGGUUUGCCAUUUCAUGAAGUAAUUCCUUCUUGCUCUUGCCCUUCUUGAAACUAGUGGUUUUACUAACCAUCAACAAUUGAUGCUCCAAUAUGAUUUCUACUUUCGCGGUGUCGAACAUCGCAAAUAGCUCAAGGAUCAUCAUAUCUAUCCUUGAUCUGUUAUAGUUCAUCACUAAGCUCUAGUAGCUUGGUGGCAGUGACUUUGGAGAACUAUGUCAGUCACUAUCUUAUCUGGAAGAUCAACUCCCACUCGAUUCAAGUAAUUGUAGCACUCAGGCGAUCUGAGCACAUGCUCAACAAUUGAGCUUUUCUCCCUUACUUUGUAGACAAAGAAUCUUGUCGAAGGUCUUAUACCUAUCAACAAGGGCACGAGCAUGAAAUCCCAAUUUCAUCUCUUGGAACAUCUCAUAUGUUCUAUGACGUUCAGAACGUCUUUGGCUCCAUAAUUCUAAGCCGUUUAAGCAUUAAGCACUGAACUAUCACGUUGUCAUCAAGAACGUGUAUGUCAGAUGUUCGCAACAUCCACAGACGACGCUCGAGGUUCAGCAUACCGAGUGGUGCAUUAAGGACAUAAGCUUUCUGCGCAGCAAUGAGGACAAUCCUCAGUUUACGAACCCAGUCCGCAUAAUUGGUACUAUCAUCUUUCAACCAAAUUUUCUCUAGGAACAUAUCAACAACAGUAGACCUACAGCGCAAGCUACAACAUAAUUUGCAAAUGCCUUUUGACUACGUUCAUGAUAAUUUUAGUUAAUCAUAUUACUAAUAAACUCCCACUCAAAUAGACAUCUCUCUAGUUAUUCGAGUGGCGCAUGAUCCAAAUUCACUAACUCAAGUCCGAUCAUCAUGUGAGUUGAGUUUAGCUUCAAUGGUGAACAUCUCCAUGUUGAUCAUAUCAACCGUAUGAUUCAUGCUCGACCUUUCGGUCUCCAGUGUUUCGAGGCCAUGUCUGUACAUGCUAGGCUCGUCAAGUUAAACCCGAGUGUUCCGCGUGUGCAACUGUUUUGCACCCGUUGUAUGUGAACGUUGAGUCUAUCACACCCGAUCAUCAUGUGGUGUCUCGAAACGACGAACUGUCGCAAGAGUGCACAGUCGGGGAGAAAACAAUUUAUCUUGAUAAUUGGUGAGAUAUCACCUUAUAAUGCUACCGUCGUUACUAAGCAAAAUAAGGUGCAUAAAAGGAUUAACAUCACAUGCAAAUCAUAAGUGACAUGAUAUGGCCAUGAACUUGUGCUUCUUGAUCUCCAUCAUCAAAGCACCGACAUGAUCUCCAUCGUCACCGGUGCAGCACCAUGAUCUCCAUCAUUGUGCCGCCAUCGUGGUUGUCGUGCUAUCUAUGCUAUUACUACUAAAGCUACUCCUAGCAAAAUAGUAACGCAUCUACAAGCACAAACAUCAGUUUAAAAACAACCCUAUGGCUCCUACCAGUUGCCGUAGCACCGACGUGCAAGUCGAUAUUUAACUAUUACAACAUGAUCAUGUCAUACAUCCAAUAUAUCACAUCAUGUUGUUGGCCAUAUCACAUGAUGAGCAUACCCUGCAAAAACAAGUUAGAUGUCCUCUAAUUUGUUGUUGCAUGUUUUACGUGGCUGCUAUGGAUAUCUAGUAAGAUCGCAUCUUACCUACGCAAAAACCACAACGGUGAUGCAUAAAUUGCUAUUUAACCUUCUCCAAGGACCACCUUGGUCAAAUCCGAUCCAACUAAAGCUGAAGAAACAGGCACCCACCAGUCACCUUGAUGCAAUCUCAUUGCAUGUUAACGGUGAAACCAGUCUCUCAUAAGUGUACGAGUAAUGUCGGUCUGGGCCGCUUCGAUUCAACAAUACCGCGGAACCAAGAGAAGACUAAGGAAGGAAGCAAAAUAAACAUCAACGCCCACAAACUCCUUUGUGUUCUACUUGAGAUAUCAUCUACGCAUGAACCUAGCUCAUGAUGCCACUGUUGGGGAACGCCGCAUGGGAAACAAAAAAUUUCCUACGUGCACGAAGUCCUAUCAUGGUGAUGAUCAUCCACGAGUGGGAGAACGGAUCUACAUACCCUUUGUAGAUGCACAUCAGGAAGCGUUUAGACAACGCGGUUGAUGUAGUGGUACGUCUUCACGAUCCCACGAACCGUCCCACGAUCCAUCCCGCGAACAAUCCCACUAUCCGUCCCGAUCAAGUACCGAACGGACGGCACCUCCACGUUCAACACACGUACAACUCGAUGACGAUAUCCGCCUUCUUGAUCCAGCAAGAGAGACGGGGAGGUAGAUGAGUUCACCGGAAGCCUAACGGCGCUCCGAUGGUGGUGGUGUUGCUGAUCCUGCAGGGCUUCGCCUAAGCUCCGCAGAAAACCGAUCUAGAGGAGAAACGAAGAAGUAGAGGUGUCUAGAUCUGAAUUUGCCCUUGGCAAAAGUUAUCUCAAAUCAGCCCUAGACCACCCGUAUAUAAAGGUGGAGGGGAGGGGAGGAGGCAGCCUCAAACCCUCAAGGUUUGGCCGAAAUUGGAGGUGGAGGAGUCCUACUCCAAUCCUACUUGGAGUAGGAUUCCUCCUUUUCACUUGGAAACCCUUUCCACCUUUUCCACCUUUGGGUUUUUGCCUCUCAAACCUUAUGGGCCUUAGUGGGAACUUAUUCCAGCCCACCAGGGGCUGGUUUUAUCUCUUCCCACGCCCAUGAGGCCCCUUGGGGCGUGACACCCGUCCCGAUGGUCCACCGCACCCCUCCCGACACUCCCGGUACACUACCGAUGAGCCCGAAACUUUUCUGGUGACCAAAACAGGACUUCCUAUAUAUCAAUCUUCGUUUCCGGACCAUUCCAGAACUCCUCGUGAUAUCCGAGAUCUCAUCCGAGACUCUGAACAUACUUCGAUCACCAGCACCUAUAACUCAACUAUACCGAAAUGUCACCGAACCUUGAGUGUGCAGACCUUGCGGGUUCGGCAACUAUGUAGACAUGACCUGAGACACCUCUCAGUCAAUAUCCAAUAGAGGGACCUAGAUGCCCAUAUUGGAUCCCACAUAUUCCACGAUAAUCUUAUCGGUUGAACCUCUAUGUCAAGGAUUCAUAUAAUCCGGUACAUCAUUCCCUUUGUCCUUCGGUAUGUUACUUGUCCGAGAUUCGAUCGUCGGUAUCCAAUACCUAUUUCAAUCUCGUUACCGGCAAGUCUCUUUACUCGUUCCGUAAUACAAGAUCCCGUGUCUAACAACUUAGUCACAUUGCUUGCAAGGCUUGUUUGUGAUGUUGUAUUACCGAGUGGGCCCCGAGAUACCUCUCCGUCACACAGAGUGACAAAUCCCAGUAUUGAUCCAUGCUAACUCAACUAACAUCUUCGGAGAUACCUGUAGUGCACCUUUAUAAUCACCCAGUUACGUUGUGACGUUUGAUACACACAAAGUAUUCCUCCGAUGUCAGUGAAUUACAUGAUCUCAUGGUCGUAGGAAUAUAUACUUGACAUGCAGAACACAGUAGCAACAAAAUAACACGAUCACAUGCUACGUUCAUAUAUUAGGUCUUCGUCCAUCACAUGAUUCUCACAAUGAUGUGAUCCCGUUAUCAAAUGGCAACACUUGUCUAUGGCUAGGAAACCUUAGCCAUCCUUGAUCAACGAGCUAGUCAACUAGAGGCUCACUAGGGACAGUGUUUUGUCUAUGUAUCCACACAUGUAUUUGAGUUUCCAAUCAAUACAAUUAUAGCAUGGAUAAUAAACGAUUAUCUUGAACAAGGAAAUAUAAUAAUAACUAUUUUAUUAUUGCCUCUAGGGCAUAUUUCCAACAAGAAUAUGGCGAGAUCAGUGGCUGAUGCGAGGAAACACUAAUUCAUUGCUUUCGAGUAGAGGUCGGUGUCAUUUGGAAUGGGUGUGUGAACUACUUGAUCACAAUGGUAAUUGGGAUAUGCAGAGGCUACAACAGUUCUUUUUGCCCGUUGACGUUGCACAAAUUUGCAAGAUAAGACCUUUGCCCCGGUUAGGGGAAGACUUUCUUUCAUGGGCGCCAGAACGGAGUGGAAACUUCUCGGUUAAAAGUGCUUACUGGCUUGCUGCAAAUGAAAUGCUUGGAACAUCUAUUACUUCAUUGAGUUCUGCCUAAGAUAGUAGCAGGGACGUGUGGAAGCUUAUUUGGUCUUGUCCGGCUCCGCCAAAGGUUAUGUCGUUUGCCUGACGAGAAGCGACGAAUUCCCUAGCGACAUGGAAGAACAAGAAGCGGAGAACUUUAGAGGAACGAGACACUUGCCCUAUCUGUGGUAGAUAAGUGGAAGACUCGUUUCAUGUCUUGUGUGCAUGUGAUAAGGCACAUCAGUUGUGGAAAGCGAUGGCGCGGGUCUGGGAGCUGCCUAGACUUACUGAUAUAAAACGGCAUGACGACUGGUUUAUCCAUGUGGUGUGUGAAGCCGAUGAACAGCAGCGUGUCCGGUUACUUAUGAUCCUAUGGAGGAUUUGGCAUGUGAGAAAUGAAGUUGUGCAUUCAAAGCCGGCUCCUCCAGUUGAUGCAUCAGUUCGGUUCCUUGCGAGCUAUUAUGAUGCCUUCGCAAUCUUGAGAGCUGAUCGAGACGCUGAUUACGUCAAAGGCAAGAUGGUUCCUGCCCAUUGCUUUCCAUUACUGAGAGAUGUCGGUGUUGUACCGAUAGACAGCUGUAGCCUUUGGAUUCCCCCAAGCGAUGGAAGAUUGAAGUUAAACCAGUGAUGGAUCUGUAUUAAAAGAGAGUGCUGGAAGUGGCAUGGUCUUGCGGGAUCAUGACGACAACAUUAUCUUCAACGCUUGCAGAUUUCUUUAUGAUUGCAACGGCGUGCUUGAGUCUGAGAUCGUGGCUAUCCGGGAGGGUCUCAGGUUGGCGCUGCAAUGGAGCUCUCUGCCUAUAGAUGUUGAGUCUGAUUGUCUUGAGGCUAUUGCAAUGGUAAAGGACGCGGGGCGCAACUUAUCAAGAUAUGCUUUUCUGAUUGGAGAGAUUAAGCAAAGUAUGGGGAACGUGUCUCUUCUAUUACUCAUAUGUGUCGUUCAUGCAUUGUGUUAGUCAUGCUAUGGCUAGUUUUGGUAGAAGGCAGGGCCGAACCAUGGUUUGGCUCGGCUCGGCUCGAGUUGAAGUCUUAUGUAUUGCCUCACGUUGUAGUCACUAAUGAUUGAGUAAUGUAAGACUUAUUUCGCAAAUACAUGUAAUCGCGAAUUAGUGUUAACACCCCAACUGAAACUGUUUACAAUAUAUUUGACAUAUAAAAAUAUUUCUCGCCUCAUUAAAUGUCCACAGGAAUGUUGUGAUAUGUUUGGCUAGUCAGACAAACUUUUAACUGAAACUGUUUACAAUAUAUUUGACAUAUAAAAUAUAUUUCUUGCCUCAUUAAAUGUCCACGGGAAUGUUGUGAUCUGUUUGGUUAAUCGGACAAACUUUUAGCUAUUUGCAUCCGUGACCCUAUUGAGCUUGUUUGAGGGUAUGCAGGCUUUAGGCCAUCUUUUGUACUUCCUUCGUUUUUAAAUAUAAGUCUUUUAAAAGAUUCCACCACAGAUUAUAUAUGAAUGUAUUAGACGUAUUUUAAAGUGUGAAUUUAUUUAUUUUAAUUUGUAUGUAGUCCAUAGUAAAAUAUCUUAAAAGCCUUAUAUUUAGAGACGGAGGAAGUAUAUUGCUUGGCACCCUAAAUUGCAUCAGUGAGCACUUUCAUGCCAACCAUUGGUUGACUGCAAUGUGCUUUACGGGUUUGCACAUGCAAAUCACCAUUGUUUGGCUAUGCGCAAAUGUGUUAAUAUGCUUUACUGGUUGGAAUGGUGAUUCUAAAUGUGUUUUUGUGGUGCUGGUGCAACUAUUACUAUUUGUUUUUGUGCUUGCUUUGUAGCCAAAUUUCUAUGGAGUGUUUUGCAAUGUACAUUUGGUUAAAUUAUGCUCACGUGGAUGUUAAGAACAAUUUCAUUCCAUGGCUCUCUCCUUUUGACCAUAUUAAGAAAAGGAAUAUUUGUGUGGGUAUUUUUGCAUUGAUGUGAUCUAUUUGAACUUGCAGGAAUGACAUUUGCUUUGAUCGUAAGACAACUAUUGAUCCUUUUGGGAUUAUGUAUAAAACUUGCUACUUUAUCGAUGUCGGCCUAUUUUACAAGCAAACAAUGGAAGUCAACGUUGGGGCGAUUUCUAGAACGGGUAGCAAGUGAUUUCUACAAUGCAUCAAGAGAAUUGAAUCCUAGAUUACUGAGACUAACUGGUGGUUGAUGAUUACAUACUUAGUGAAGCUGAUGUUGCUCUUCUUGUUGCUUCCUUUUAUAGAUUAGUUUUGUUCUUACUCAGUUUCUGCUUAUAAGCACUUUGUAUUUUGGCUUCGGUUUCCUGCUUGAACCUGCUUGUGCUACCGUGGCACUAUAAUUCGGCAGGAAUGAUGCCGAUACAAAGGUGUUAGAUGGGCGAAACAUUUACACAUGGACACAAAAAUGCCCUCUGAGGUUUGUGAGUUUGUAAAAUAUCCACCUUGGUGCUUCUCGGCCUGACGUGUUUCAUCAUUAAAUCGUCAUGGAGGUCCUCGACCCAGCCCACCUAGUCGGGAGAUGACAUGGAGCAUCCCCUAGUCGAGGACAUCAUCACCUAGCAAGGGGACCUUUUCUGUUAAAAAUCUCUUCUUCAGUUAUGUGAAAAAAGUAGGGAAUUGGGAGAUUGUUAGAUUUUGGGAUGGUGGGUGGAUGAUAAACCACUCAAACAAAAUUUACCUAGAUUAUAUGAUAUAUGAUUUAUUAAGAAUAUUAGACUCGGUGCUGUGUUGAACAAAAGCGGGAACAAUUUAAGUUCAGCAGAACUUUAUGGGGUGAUACACUAACACAAUGGAACGAGAUACAAGGUUGUGCUCACAUUAAAUUGAAAGAUGAAAAAGACACUUUAAUGUGGUCCUGGCUACUAAUGCAAAAUAUUUUGUGAAAUCAUAUUAUAACCAACUCAUGAUUAAUGGGUUGAAUUUUCCUUUCAAAUUUCUUUGGAGAAUUAAAAUUCCUCCGAAGAUCAUUUUUUUUGUAUGGCUUGGUGUUAGAAACGGUGUGUUUACUAAAGAUAAUUUGCAUAAAAUGGGUUAGAAUGGUGAUUCUAAAUAUGUUUUUGUGGUGCUGAUGAAUCUAUUGAUCAUUUGUUUUUGCACUGUUGAGUAGCCGAAUUUUUAUGGAGUUUCUUCAAAAAUUCAGAAAAAAACUAUUCUUAGAAUUAUAAAAAUGCACCAACCUUACAAAUCAAACAAGUAAUGCAGAGGAAAAAAAUCACCGGAUUCUAAUUCUCAUAAAGUCAUUGUAACCAAACAUACAAACCCUUAAAGCAUCUCGAGCUGUUCGGCCCCCAGGGGCGUGAAAUAGCACCGCCUGGGGGCAUGCCGGGGAAAUAAAAUCGGCCGGGGGAGGGGGGGGGCUCAGGUUCUCAGUCGGGUCCCCAAAGGUCGCCCCAACUGUUUUAAAAAAAACUCGACCCAAAUUCGGCCAAAACCGACUCAAAUUCGAAGAAAGUUCAUAGUUUUUCAUUGAAAUUUAUACAUAAGUGAAAUAAAAACAUAAUUAAACUACGUAGCCGCCGCCCUUCGCUGCCGCUCGAUGUCACCGCCUUCUACAUAUCGAGAAGCUUCUAGAAAUUGGUGUAGUCACCAUCGUCGUUGUCCUACGCUCUGUCGCAGUCCUUGCUGCACCCCUGCCCUGUGUCGCUGUGGCGAACAUUGUUGGAAGGCACUGACGCCUCCUUGUCGCUGUCAUCGAGGAUGACGAGGGUGCCCUCCUUGCGGCCGCGGCGCCGGGCGGCGAUCUCCUCAAGGGCGCGACGCUGGCGCUCCGUCUCCUCCCGGAGGUAGUCAUCUCACGCCCAUUUAAGGGCGGUCUCGUCAUCGGCGGCCAUGUUCAGGUGCUCCUGCUUGACGGGGAGGAGUCCCGGCUCUGUAUUCGGCUUGACGAGGCGGGAGGAGGCGUCGGGCCCGUUGAUGAUGAUGCCGUUGCUGCGCGUGCGCCGCCCUAGCAGUGUCUCUCGCAGCUCCGGCUUGACAGGGAGGAGCGUCGGUGACCCAGAGGAGCGGGAGCCGAACGAGGAGGAUGACGCCGCCUCCAUCCGCCUCGGCGUUCAGGAGUUGCUGCAACAUCGGGAAAAGGCGGGUGGCGGUGGGUACUCGUACCACGACGAUUUUCCGCUCUCGAUGUGCUCGAGGGCAACCUUCAAUGAGCGGUCGGGGACGCCCCACCAUUCGGCGCCCCUCGGAGUUGUGGUGGCCGCGUGGUUCGACCCCGUUGGUGGCGGCGAGCUGGUCGGCGUGCCGGCGUUCGAAGUACGCCGUCCACAGCGUGUUGUUAUCGGGGGCGUACCUCGGCAGGUUGCGCAAGCUCUCCGGCAGCGACGACCGGAUGCGCGCGAUCUCCGCCCGCCGGUCAGGUCUAGAGGGCGGCGGUGGCACCGGGACUCCGUCGGCGCUCAACCUCCAUGAUCCCCGCACCCGCAUGUCUGGUGGCGCCGGGUAGUCCGCCUCGUAGAGAAGGCGGGCCUCGUCCUCAUGAAGGUGACGGUGGCCGAAGCCAUUGGCUGCGGCUCCGUUGUCGGGGAAGCGUUCGAUCAUUUUUGGGAAGAAAGAGGGAGAGGAGGCACCGUUGACGAAGAAGGAGAGGAGAGGGCGUCGAGGACGAGAUUUUGGCGAGAGGGUUGUGUGGCCACCGAUGGGGAGAGUGUUGGAAAUAUGCCCUAGAGGCAAUAAUAAAAUGGUUAUUAUCAUAUUUCCUUGUUCAUGAUAAUCGUCUAUUGUUCAUGCUAUAAUUGUAUUAACAGGAAACAGUAAUACAUGUGUGAAUAAAUAGAUCACAAUGUGUCCCUAGCAAGCCUCUAGUUGGCUAGCUCGUUAGUCAAUAGAUGAUCAUGGUUUCCUGAUCAUGGGCAUUAGAUGUCAUUGAUAACGGGAUCACAUCAUUGGGAGAAUGAUGUGAUGGACAAGACCCAAUCCUAAGCAUAGCACUAGAUCGUAUUGUUCGUAUGCUAAAGCUUUUCUAAUGUCAAGUAUCUUUUCCUUCGACCGUGAGAUUGUGCAACUCCCGGAUACCGUAGGAUUGCUUUGGGUGUAUCAAACGUCACAACGUAACUGGGUGAAUACAAAGGUGCACUACGGGUAUCUCUGAAAGUGUCUGUUGGGUUGGUACGAAUCAAGAUCGGAAUUUGUCACUCCGUGUGACGGAGAGGUAUCUCUGGGCCCACUCGGUAGAACAUCAUCAUGAGCUCAAUGUGACUAAGGAGUUAGUCACACGAUGACGUGCUACGGAACGAGUAAAGAGACUUACCGGUAACGAGAUUGAACAAGGUAUUGGUAUACCGACGAUCGAAUCUCGGGCAAGUUCUAUACCGACAGAAAAAGGGAAUCGUAUACAUGAUUGAUUGAAUCCUUGACAUCGUGGUUCAUCCGAUGAGAUCAUCGUGGAGCAAGUGGGAGCCACCAUGGGUAUCCAGACCCCGCUGAUGGUUAUUGGCCGGAGAGGCGUCUCGGUCAUGUCUGCCUGUCUCCCGAACCCGUAGGGUCUACACACUUAAGGUUCGGUGACGCUAGGGUUAUAGGGAAUUGUUAUACGAGGUUACCGAAAGUUGUUCGGAGUCCCGGAUGAGAUCCCGGAUGCCACGAGGAGCUCCGGAAUGGUCCGGAGGUAAAGAUUGAUAUACAGGACGGAUGAUUUCGGAUACCGGAAGUGUUUCGGGCAUCACCGGUAACGUACCGGGACCACCGGAGGUGGCCCCGGGGGACCACCGAAGGGGGGCAACGACCCCGGGAGGUAAGAUGGGCCAAGUGGGGGUGGGAACCAGCCCCUAGGUGGGCUGGUGCGCCUCCCCACUCAGCCCAAUGCGCAGGGGAGAGAAAAGGGGGGGGGACCCUAAGCCAGGUGGGCCUAAGGCCCACCAGGUGGUGCGCCACCCCCUCCUCCCCCCUCUGGCCGCCGCACCUCCCAUCUGGGGGGGCUGCCGCACCACCUAGGGUGGGAACCCUAGGGGUGGCACCCCUCUCCCCUUCCCCUAUAUAUAUCGGGCACUUUUGGCCAUUGAGAGAGAGGCUUUUCCCUCUCCCUCGACGCAGCCGUGCCCUUCUUCCUCCUCCUCUCUCCCGGUGCUUGGCGAAGCCCUGCCGGGAGACCUCGUCUCUCCAUCGACACCACGCCAUCGUGCUGCUGGAGUUCUUCCCCAACCUCUCCCUCCUCCUUGCUGGAUCAAGGUGCGGGAGACGUCACCGGGCUGCACGUGUGUUGAACGCGGAGGUGUCGUAGUUCGGCACUAGAUCGGAAUCGCUGCGAGUACGACUCCAUCAACCGCGUUCUAGCAACGCUUCCGCUUAGCGAUCUUCAAAGGUAUGAAGAUGCUCUUACCCCUCUCUCGUUGCUGGUCUCUCCAUAGGAAGAUCUGAAUGUGCGUAGGAAAAUUUUGAAUUUAUGCUACGUUACCCAACAGAGAGGACACCUUAUAUAGCUACGGGUGGGCGAGCACGCAGAGCGGCGCCAUGUGAACGUGUGACAGGAACGGACGGAACGUGCGUCGCCGGGACGCGCGUCGCUGCACCUUCAUUGCGCCGUCCGUGAAUCUAUGAAAGGCUGACCGACAGUGCAGCCUUCGCAUUUAUUUGUGUGGGAAACGAGGCAAUGGGACGACGACCGCGCGUGUUAGUUGCUGACUCGGGAGAUCCAGAGUUUUUUCGCGUCAAAAAUGUUUUCACCGGCGCCCCCGGACGAACCUAGCACGCUGAGUUCGGCUUAAUUUCGGUCCUAAUCGACGAAAAACGGACUUGUGAAAAUGCGACUGAACCCUUUUUUUUCUCCCGACGAUGAACUCUUUUUUGGCCGGAAGAGCCUAUUGGGGUGCGGCUAGACAUAUGCUUUUAUCUUAUGCUCGAACCUGCUUGUGCUGCCGCGGCGUUACGAUUCGGCAGGAAAGAUGAUGAUUCAGAGCUGUCAGAUUGGUGAAACAUUUACACAUGACCAGAAAAAUGCGCUCUGAGGGUUGUUAGUUUGGUACUUAAUUUGUACACGUUCAUCAUAAAAAGGGGAAUACCUAAUUAUUCAUUUUCAUUAUUAGCAUUGGAGAGUACUUAUAGCGUCGGAAAAAAGCUGAGAAAGCCAAGAAUGUGCCGUACAUGUACCAAAAUACUUGUAAGGACCAUCGCAAAACUUCAUCCGGCGUGCAAGCUACGAUAAGGGUUGUGUGGGAGCAUGAGGUGCAUGUGGUGGGAGAGACCGAUCACGGAAGGAUUUACCCAUGCGCGCGUACGUAUCCUCUCCUCUGUUCAUCGUCUACAUCUCUAAGGACAACUCCAACGGAUCGAUCCAAAUUAACAGUGAUUUCAUCCGUUUAGGUCGGCCACGCGGACAUAAACGUCCGCUUCCACAAAUGGGUCGGCUCGCGCGUCCAACGCUGAUCGGACCCAUUUUUUGCCGGCGAGAAAAAAAAGGCGGAGCACAAUAGAUACCUGCAACCUCGGUAGCCACCAAGUGCCCGCUCCCUAGGGUUCGUCCCACCCUCCCCCAGUCGUCGGCGCCGCUGUUGGCCUUCCUAGGGCCCCCGCCGCCGCCGGUCGUCCCCGCCCCCUCCCCAUAUCCCCCUCCCAGAUCCGCCCCAUGCCGUCUCCCCGGGAGGUGGCCGGGGCGGCGUGAGCCCCUCCCCUCUUCGGCCUCCCUCCAUCCCGUUCCCUCCCUGCCGCCGCCGAUGGUCGCCCCUGACUCUUGACCGGGUGGUGUUGGUGGCGGCGGGAGUGCCUGUCCCCUCGCGGGCGGCUCCCUGCCCGGGGCAUGGGGGCGGCGGUGGUGCUCCUCGGCUCGGAGACGGUCCGGCGACCCGGCAGCAGUGGCCGGCGGCGCAUGAGGUGGUGGUGUUGCCCUUUGGCGAUGAGAUGGCGUGGUGACGCAGGUUGGCCGGCGACGCGCCCCCGGCCCAGAUCGGGGCCCUGUGGGCCCUAUCUGUGUCCUAGAGGGCCGGCUCCCGGCGUGGCUUCAUCGUCGUCUAUGUGGUCAGGAGGAGGAGCAGCUCGGACGGGGGGCGACGACGCCGAUGGCGCGCCUGCUGCAGUGCGAUGGUGGGAGCUUUACGGGCGUGGAGGGCCUGGCCGGGCCUGUGGGCCCACGGGCCUGGUAUGCUCCUGCUAUUGUGCCCGUCGGCUACCGUCGUCGACGGUGGAGGUUGUACCCUCCCGCGUGCCGACGGUGCUGUGGUCCCUAGUCCCGGCUCCUAUUCCCCGUUGUGCAUGCCUCACUUCAUGAUGCCGUGGUGAGACGGUGUGGAGGCUUCAUCACCGCGGUGGCGCAAGAUGGUGGGCGGUUUGGUGGCAGGCUCUGGAGCAUCCGAGGUGAAGGUUGGGAUCGGGGGAAACCCCUGUCGGCCUGGCCGACACCGACGCGGCGAUGCCGGCAGGUGCCGCCGGACCUUCCUGGAGGGCGUCGGGAGCGACCCUUCCUCUUGCCUCGUCACGUACCGGGGAAAACCCUUGGCAGCAGCGUCGUCAUCGUCGCGGUCCUUCUUGGAGGUGUUGAUUGGUACCGAUGCUUCGGAGCCUUGGAGCUUGGUGGGAGAUCUUCGGUGGGCGCAGUGGUCGUGAAGCGUCUUCGUUUCCAUCGAUCCGCCGUUGUCGGCAUUUUUCUCUUGUCGUUUCUCUUUCGUUUCUUUUGGGUGUGAUCGUGCUGCUUCCGCCCCAGCACCUACUUGAUUGUAAUCUGGAUGAUGUAUGAUGUACUUUAUCUAUAAAGUGGGGCAAAAACUUGUUUCGAAAGAAAAAAGAGAGGCAUAAUACAUAAUUAAACAUUAAAGCCGGCCACGAGGGCCGACGAUAGUCCAUGCAUCGCUCGCAUUACACUAAAUAAAAAUAAAAACACUAGAACUGCAUGCAUGCAGCCCUAGGCGUCCUCGUCGUCGUCGUCGUCGGGACCGAUGAGGUCGACCAUGGUAGGCGGAGGGCCGGCCCAGGGAAACGCCAUGUUUCAUAGCGCUGCGGCCUGCUUCUCCGUCGAGUGUGGAGGUGGCGGUGGCAGCGCAGCAGCACGGAGGCGUUCCUCCUCCUCCGCCUUCGGGCGUUGGUCCUCCCUACCUUAGCCGCGGGCCUUCUUCGCGCUCCUCAAAAUACUUGUAAGGACCAUCGCAAAAGGAGAAACACUUGUAGAGAAACUUCAUCCGGCGUCCAAGCUACGGCAAGGGCUGUGUGGGAGCACGAGGUGCAUGUCGUGGGAGAAGGAUUUACACAUGCGCGCGUACGUAUCCUCUCCCCUGUUCAUCGUCUAUAGCUCUAAGCGAUGGUACACCUGUGACUGAGUAAUAGUAAUAACCAAAUACUCGUAACAGAGAAUUACCGCCGUAGUUUCGACCGUGAAGUUGUGUUGGGUGCCUGUGCCUGUGGCAGUCAGUGAUCUGACGACUCCAGCGCUAGCCGUGGAGCUACUGCCAGGUCGCGCCCGUACGAGCCGGAGCCGGAGCCGGCAGCCAUGCGUGUAUCUCGUCAUCCACACGUCGUGACUCACCGCACACGCGGCGUUCUCCUCGCCCUGGUCAGGGGCGACGGAAGCUCCGCCCCGCGCUUGUUGGCUGACGGUGAAACGUUCAACGUGCACGAAGCGCGCUGGUUACCUGUGCCUGUGCCUGUGCCGGUGCCGGUCAACAUCACCGUCCGAGUCGCCCCGCACUGCGUGGAGUUCGACGCUGGGAGGGGGAACAGCAACACACCCUAGUCUCCUAGGAUGUGUUUGGCCGGAGGAUCAUUUUGGAGCAUCUACAGUUUAAUAAACUUAUAAAUCUGGCCCAUAUCCAUUUUGAACCUUAUUACAAUGUUGCUUCAUUUAAAUAAAAUGGGGCAGGGAGGAGGAAAACCCUUUCAUCCAAAAAAUAAAAUAAAAAAUUAAAUCUUAUUUUUUCAUAUGUGCAACCAUACUUUUUAUAUUUUUUCCUCAUAUGUCCGACCACUUGCAUGUAAUUGGUGAAGAAGAAGAAGAGAAAGAAAGAAAAGAAUGAAUAAAGAAGGAGAAAAUAUGGCUGAGGGUGGGGGUCGCGUCUUACAUGGCGCGCCCGGAAGCCAUCAUAUCAUCCAUAUUUGAGAUGGUUAUGAGGGGUGUCGGUCAGUCCGGGUGUUUGAGAUGAGUAUGAGGGGUCUGGCUGGAUCGAUUUUUUGUGACCGGUCACGGAGCGGGCUGUGUGGCGUUUGAGGCGGAUUUAAGAGGUCCGGCCGCAGAUUCUCUUAUAGUUGUUUUCUUUGAUAUAUACUAUUGAGUAAAUGCAUUCACGGUGUGUUUGCUAAGGUGUAUAUAACUGAACCAGGCCCGUAAGGGAUGAAAAAUGCUCGUUUGGUUCCGUGUAAGGUGGUAUAUGUCGCACGUGCACCAUACUUAAAACAUCCUAUAGCCUGGAUUGAUGGAAACGCUUGAAUUGGAAAUUUCGGUGAGACAGACCGAAUCGGGCGCAUAAACUGAUCCCAACAUAGGGCGCGGUGCAUGGGGGAUUCAGACAGAGAUGGCAAGAGACGAAAAUCAAGGGAGACGGAAUGACGUGAAAUAUACCAUCCGCCCUUCCCCAAUUUACUCGCUCACCCGUGGCUCUAGGACAAGCCCUUCUUCUGUUCUUGGCACCGAUGGCGGUGGCGAGUCAAAUCUACGGUUGCAGUGUUGGUGGCAGCUGCUUUUCCCCUUCUUCUUCGUCACCGUCCAACCAUCCUCGUCUUAGUCAUGCCCCCGACCCUGAAGCUGGUAAGCACUCUCCCAUUUCAUUGUUGAACGUACCAUGGAUGUCGCUUAGGUUGUGGAUACACCCAUGAAGUUUGUAGUUCAGGUAGCAUCGCUGAUAGUUGUAGCUCAGACCUGGAUUCUGUUGAUCCAUAAGUGAGUUGUUCAUCGGAAUGAAAAGCCUCUCAUCCGUUAUGAUCCGAUUUUAAUUCCGGACCGGGAGAGGAUAUUGAAUUUGAGCUACAUCUACAACUACAAGGAGACAUAGGCUCUGUGGAUGCUUCGAAUGAGAAGAGUGCUUUUCGCAAGGCUUGUGUAGACGUUUAGACGCACGUGGUCGCUACAAGAUAGCAUCCACAUACACCACGGUGGAAAAGCAAAUAGACAUGUUCCUCCAUGUUGUUGGUCAUAACCAGAGGUUCAGGGUUAUGCAGAACGCAUUCAGGAGAUCAAUGGAGACCAUUUUCACAUACUCCAGGCAAGUGUUUUAUGCUUUGGGGGAACUCACCGGAUAGAUGAUUCGCACACCAACUGCCCGAACUACUAGAAAGAUUCGCACUAGCCCAAGAUGGUAUCCAUAAUUCAAGGUGAGCACUGACAGUAUGUAGUUCAUGCAUUGAUAAGUUGUUAUUGUUCUACGCUAGCCAUAACAUCAUCUUGUAUUGUCAUUUCAGGAUUGCAUUGGGGCAAUUGAUGAUACUCAUGUGACUACCAGAGUGUCGAUAUCACAAUCUACAUCAUACAAAGGGAGGAAGCACUACACAAGUCAGAAUGUGCUAGCUACUCUUGACUUCGAUCCAAAGUUCACAUAUGUGUUGACUCAAUAGGUGCACAUGAUGCUAACAUUCUAACACUAGUAGGAAAAACAUUAUAGGUAGGACCCCGUUAGUAGCACUGGAAUAUAGCAUGCGCUGCUGCUACUUAGGAGUAGCGCUCGAAUUGUAAAAAACACUACUGUUAAACAGGACCCAACGAGCCCACCGAUGGUAGUAGUAGUAGCAGCACACCCUUGUAAAAAGCGCUACUGCUAAGUAGAAUAGCAGUAGCGCUCGGCGAGAAUCAGCACUACUGCUAUUGGGCCCCACUUAGGAGUAGCGCUGCCCUAGAAAAGUGCUACUACUAAUACCAAUAGCAGUAGCACCCUUUGGAAAGCAGCGCUACUGCUACGUGUGGCUGGUGGUAGCUUUUCACCCACACCCCUCUCCCCCCCUUCCUCUCCCCUCCUUUCUCCUCUCCUCUCUCUAAGUUACUUCCCCACCAUUGUUGCCCUUCUUUUCUCUUCCUUAUACCUCUCUUCUCUCCCUAUUAAUGCCCCCUCCACCCUAAUUCUCCUCCAUAAAUGACCUCUUCUAACUUUAUCUUCCACAUUUAUUUGGCUUUUCCCUCCUUCCAUACAUAUAGAUCUAGCUAGAUCAUCUCUCUCCCUCUCCAUUAGUUAGCUAGAGUCAUAUCUCCUCAAAACAACUAGAUCUAGCUACUUAUUUAGCCCUGCACAAUCUCUCUUGGGUUAUAGGUGAGUAAAAAGUUGUGCAUUUCAGUAAUGGGAAUAUGUGUGUUUGCGAUAUGAAGGGAUUUGUGUGAGUGACAUGCCCCGUGAGUUGCUUAUGUUUUGCUUAAAUGUGGAUUUAUUUCCAUUUUGGCGAAUUUCGAGCAAACUCGAUAUGUCCUAUUUUUAGGCAAGGUUAUGCCAAAAUUUUACAUGACUUUGAUGCAUGCAUGUAUUUUGUUUAUAACCCUUUUGCUUGUUAUACUAUGCAACCAUGAAGGUGAGUGGAAGGAAGGUGUGGAGCGAUACUUGCAAUCCACGGUGAUGGACAUUUAUGCAAAUAAAUGAACUGGGAUUAGAUGUCCGUGUACAAGAUGCAAAGAAGGAGUAACUUUGGAUCCUUUUGAUCGUGGCAGUUUGAAGGCCCAUUUGUUGAUCAAUGGUUUCAUGGAUGGCUAUACUCGGUGGAUAAGUGAAGAUAUGAUGAGGACGUCCACAUGGCACAGAAUAAUGACAUGGGACUAGACGAAGAGAUGACUGAUCGACACGAAGACGAUGGCGCCAGACACGGCAGCGGCAAAGAGCCUGGACACGACGGCAGGAAAGAGUCCUAACACGGCGGCGGGGAAGAGUCUAAACGCGGCGGUGGAGAAUAUUCUAGACAUGGCGGGGAAGAGGCGACGGACAUGCCGCAGUCUUUGAUGCUACUAAGUUUAGUCAUGCAUGACCCUCAUGUUCGAGACCUCCUUCGCAAGAGUACGACUAGUGACAAAGUUGCUUCUAGAGAGGAGUCCAAGAUGGCACAACUUGAAGUAGACUCGAAGACUCCAUUAUAUGACGGUUGCGAUCCUGAGGUGACCCGCUUGAGUUUCACGCUCGAACUUCUAAAGACGAAGGCCAAAAACAAAUGGACAAACAAAAGGCUCGAUGAUCAUUUGAAGUAUCUACAUAAUAAAGUUCUUCCCGCGGGGAACGUGUGUCCUAUUAGUGUCGAGGAGGCCAAGAAAAUCGUUUUCCCUCUUGAUCUGCUGCACAUUAGAUACCAUGCUGUUGGAAAUAUGCCCUAGAGGCAAUAAUAAAUUAUUUAUUAUUAUAUUUCCUUGUUCAAGAUAAUCGUUUAUUAUCCAUGCUAUAAUUGUAUUGAUUGGAAACUCAAAUACAUGUGUGGAUACAUAGACAAAACACUGUCCCCAGUGAGCCUCUAGUUGACUAGCUCGUUGAUCAAAGAUAGCUAAGGUUUCCUAGCCAUAGACAAGUGUUGUCACUUGAUAACGGGAUCACAUCAUUAGGAGAAUCAUGUGAUGGACAAAGACCUAUAAUAUGAACGUAGCAUGUGAUCGUGUCAUUUUGUUGCUAUUGUGUUCUGCAUGUCAAGUAUAUAUUUCUAUGACCAUGAGAUCAUGUAAUUCACUAACAUCGGAGGAAUACUUUGUGUGUAUCAAACGUCACAACGUAACUGGGUGACUAUAAAGGUGCACUAUAGGUAUCUCCGAAGAUGUCAGUUGAGUUAGCAUGGAUCAAGACUAGGAUUUGUCACCCCGUGUGACGGAGAGGUAUCUCGGGGCCCACUCGGUAAUACAACAUCACAAACAAGCCUUGCAAGCAAUGUGACUAAAGAGUUAGCCACGGGAUCUUGUAUUACGGAAUGAGUAAAGAGACUUGCCGGUAACGAGAUUGAAAUAGGUAUUGGAUACCGACGAUCGAAUCUCGGGCAAGUAACAUGCCGAAGGACAAAGGGAAUAGUAUACGUGAUUAUAUGAAUCCUUGACAUAGAGGUUCAACCGAUAAUAUUAUCGUGGAAUAUGUAGGAUCCAAUAUGGGCAUCCAGGUCCUGCUAUUGGAUAUUGACUGAGAGGUGUCUCAGGUCAUGUCUACAUAGUUCCCGAACCUGCAAGGUCUGCACACUUAAGGUUCGGUGACUUUUCGGUAUAGUUGAGUUAUAGGUGCUGGUGACCGAAGUUUUGUUCGGAGUCCCGAAUGAGAUCCCGGAUGUCACGAGGAGUUCCGGAAUGGUUGGGAAACAAAGAUUGAUAUAUAGGAAGUGGGUAUUUGGAUUCCGGAAGAUUUUCGGGCACUACCGACAGUGUACCGGGAGUGACGAAUGGGUUCCGGGGGCCCACCAGGUGGGCCCACCACGCCCCAAGGGUUCCACAUGGUAUUAUUGGAUGCGCAAGAAAGGUUAUUGGGCUGACAAGUCGUCCAAGGAAAGCCCAUAAGGAAAAAGGUGGAAAAUCCAAAAGAGGUGGACAAAUUGGGAAGGAGUCAUAAUCCAAGUGGAAUUGGAGGAGGACUCCUCUCCUCCUUGCGCCAAAGAGAGAAAAAAGGGGCAGCCACGUGACAGCCACCUCCCUCCUCGCCUCCUAUAUAUACUAAGGGUUUUUGAGGAUUUUGGACAACAGAUUUUUGCCACGUGCAAACCCGAAACCUCUAGUUCUUCGUUUCACCUCUAGAUUAGAUUUCUGCGGAGCUCGGGCAGAGCCCUGCAGGAAUAGAUCGACACCACCACCACCCGGGGAGCUGUCACGCUGCUGGGGUCUCUACUUCCUCUUCGUUUCUCUUGCUGGAUCAAGAAGCCGGAGAUCGUCAUCGAGCUGUACAUGUGCUGAACGCGAAGGUGUCGUCCGUUCGGUACUUGAUCGGGACAUAUCGUGGGACGGUUCGUGGGCUGACCAUGAAGACAUACCACUACAUCAACCGCGUUGUCUAACGCUUUCCGUUGUGCAUCUACAAAGGGUAUGUAGAUCCGUUCUCCCUCUCAUAGAUGAUCAUCACCAUGAUAGGACUUCGUGUGCGUAGGAAUUUUUUUGUUUCCAAUGCAACGUUCCUGUCACGCCCAAGAUGCGACCCUAUCCUCAAUUUGGCACGAAGGCCUCGUCAGGGAUAGAAGCGCAUCUCGUCGUGUCGCAAGAAUGGAUAUCGUUACAAGUACAUGUACUAACAAGAAGAGAUAUAUAAAGAGUUGGCUUACACUCGCCACAAGCUACAUCAGAGUCACAUCAGUACAUUACAUAAUCAUCAAGAGUAAGAGCAGGGUCCGACUACGGACGAAAAUAAAUGACAAAAUAAGAACGACGUCCAUCCUUGCUAUCCCAGGCUGCCGGCCUGGAACCCAUCCUAGAUCGAUGAAGAAGAAGAAGAAGAAGCAAUUCCAAAUGAACAAUCAACGCGCUCGCGGCACGUAACCUUUACCUGUACUUGCAACUGGUGUUGUAGUAAUCUGUGAGCCACAGGGGACUCCGCAAUCUAAUUUCCAAAGGUAUCAAGACUAGCAAAGCUUAAUGGGUCAGGCAUGGUUAAGUGGUGGGGUUGCAGCAGCGGCUAAGCAUAUAUUUGGUGGCUAAACUUACGAGUACAAGAAAUAAGAGGGGGAAGAUCUACGCAUAACGGACGUGAACUACUGAUGAUCAAAUGAAUGAUCCUGAACACCUACCUACAUCAGACAUAACCCCACCGUGUCCUCGAUCGGAGAAAGAACUCACGAAAGAGACAGUCACGGUUACACACACAGUUGGCAAGUUUUAAUUAAGUUAACUUCAAGUUAUCUAGAACCAGUGUUAAACAAAGUUUCCACAUUGCCACAUAACCGCGGGCACGGUUUUCGAAAGAUUUAACCCUGCAGGGGUGCUCCAACUAGUCCAUCACAAAUUACCACAAGCCGCAUAGAAAUCCUCAAUCACGAAGCUCGCGAUCUCGUCAGAUUCCCAAGUGGAAAACCUCAACUCUGAGAUUACCCAAAGCAUGACCGGAAUCCCGUUGCACAAGAUAUCUCGUCAAAGGUAAAACUAAUCCAGCAAGGCCGCCCGACGUGUCGACGAUCCCGAUAGGAGUCGCGUACCUCGUUCUCAGGACACGACGGAUGGGUCACACUAGGAGAUACCAAACCUCAGGUUGCCCCGCGAUGGCCUCGUAGUCUGCCAAUUUGGACCAACACUCAUGAGGAGCACUGGCCCGGGGGUUGAUUAAAUUAUCCUCGGGGUCCGGAAAGUCCCUAUGCAAUUUUAUUAGGUGUUUAGGCAAAUGUAGUACCAAAGUUGGGCCUUGCCAGACCAGCUUUAAACUAAAACGAAUUAUCAAGGGGGUCCCCAUAACAACCCCGAUUGUGUUAGGAGCGCUCAAUUAUGGAACAUAACACCGGUAGCCGGAAACUAAGGGGGCAAAGGUGGAACAAAACACCAGGCUAGAAAGGCCGAGCCUUCCACCUUUUACCAAGUAUAUAGGUGCAUUAAGUUAAGUAGCAUUUCAAUAUGGUGAUAUAACAAGGAACCCGUGCUUUCACAUGGAAGCAAUGCACCUGCAACUAGCAACGCUAACACAGGGUUAAGCAAGCGGUAACAUGGCCAAUCAGUGGUUUGCUAGGUCGAACAGGUUGAAGGUCAACAUGGCAUGGUUGAGAGGCUGAUAUUUAACAUGUGGUAGGCAACGAGACAUAAACGGUAGCAACGGUAAAACUAGCAUGGCAAAGAUAGUAAUGGUAUCUGGGGAAAUGAUCAUCUUGCCUGAGAUCCCGCUUGGAAGAAGAACAACUCCGUGAAGCAGACGAACCGACGUAGUCGAACGGGUCCUCACAAUCCGGCACGCUGCGGAACUCUAUCGAGACGAAGCAAACCGAAAACACAAAUCAACACACGGAAUUCGCCCUANNNNNNNNNNNNNNNNNNNNNNNNNNNNNNNNNNNNNNNNNNNNNNNNNNNNNNNNNNNNNNNNNNNNNNNNNNNNNNNNNNNNNNNNNNNNNNNNNNNNAUAUAAAAAAUCUAGCUCCAGCAAUUUAGUGCAUGUCUCUGACUAUGGUUUUAAGAACUAAUUGCAACAAAAAUUGUAUUUGUAAAGAAUUGUAUUUCCUGAAGCCCAGUGGAUGUGUGGCACGCCUCCUUGAUUCUAGAUUGUCCCUCCAUUUUGGAAAUUAAUUCCGAAAUGUUGAGAGGCAACCUUUUGUGAUACAAAGCUCAAUAAAUAGAGGGUGGGGGUAGUAUCCAAGAACUAGGUAGAUUGUGUGUUGAGCACAAGUGAUGACUUUUAGGGGGGGGGGGGGGGGGGGGAGGAGGGGGGGGAUGAUAUCCAAGAACUAGGUGGUUUGUGUUUUAAGCACAGGCGAUAAGUUGUAAGUGAGAUUAUGUCAAUGCAAAUAAACGCUUCACAUCGAAUGUAUAGGAUUUAUGUUAAUUUGACACCAAACAGCAAACACAUGUGUACUUAAUAUAUAGAACUAGGAUCGAACAGACAUUUACGGUCUGAGGCUAUGCUAAUUUUACACCAGUGCAACAAUUAUGCUCCCUCCCUUAGCCUACGAUGAGAUUUGANNNNNNNNNNNNNNNNNNNNNNNNNNNNNNNNNNNNNNNNNNNNNNNNNNNNNNNNNNNNNNNNNNNNNNNNNNNNNNNNNNNNNNNNNNNNNNNNNNNNUAUACAUUAACAGUUCUUCGAUUCCAUGGGGUGUGGAAGCCUAAGAUCCACUGGAAGGGCAUAAAUGGAAUGCAACCGAGGGAAGCAGCGUAUACAUUAACAGUUCUUCGAUUCCAUGGGGUGUGGAAGCCUAAGAUCCACUGGAAGGGCAUAAAUGGAAUGAUAAGUGGGUUCAUAAACAGAAAACGCUACGCUUCCCUGUCGAAUCAAAUUGUCACCCAACCCAACUUGGGCCUAUCUUCUCUGGCCUUCAGGGCGUCGGAUUCUGACAGCCACGGCCAAGAAUAUAUGCUACAUCUACCUGCAAAAGCACAAAUAAUAGGAAGAUUCUUAAUCUUGGCGUGCAGCAGCGACAACAAAAUCAUUAUCAGGUCAGGGCUGUCCACGCCUCCACGGUGAUACAUGCUACCUGAUUUUUUGAUCAAAAACAGUUGUAGCAACUAGCAAGCAGGCUUGAGAUUGAGAAGAAGCAUAUAUAUAUUCUCCCAAAAGUUUGCGGCGCCGGCCACUAGCUGCAUCCUGCAUAUCUGUAAAUAUACAACUUGCACAUGUUAGAACCUUCAGCAGCUCCAACGGAGCUGGUCAAAGGCGNNNNNNNNNNNNNNNNNNNNNNNNNNNNNNNNNNNNNNNNNNNNNNNNNNNNNNNNNNNNNNNNNNNNNNNNNNNNNNNNNNNNNNNNNNNNNNNNNNNNUCCCCCCCUAGAAUCGUCCCUGCCGCGGACGCAUCCCUCCUCUCCAUUUUUGGCUAAGCCGAUGUCCAGAUGAAUCUUCGAUAUUCCCACUCCUGGAGACCUCCAAGUUUGGAAGGGGUGGUGGAAGUUACUUAUAUGCACCGGCAGAAUUGGGCCCUAGGCAACCAGGUGAAGCAUAGCUAUUUUUUCUUCCUAUUAACUACCAACAUUUCUAUAUUGGCCUGGGGUUAAGCACACCCAACAGUGCCGAACCUCAGCUCCCUUUCUAAUGCACAAACACUCCCGUCACCCAGAUAACGACGUAAAAGGGUGUUUCAACGCGGACCCUCAUUUCUCCCCUAUAUGUCUAGACCUGAUAUCCAGACACUUUUGGACUUCCAACGCUAUUCCUCAAUUGUUCGAGGACCGUACUGGACAUCCAAACUCCCCCACUCCAUGCCAAAUUGAGGGAAGGAACAUGGUAGUUCGGAUGAUCCUCGUGGACCACGUCUCCCCACAACGCACGUCUCUCUACUCAUCUCUUUUUGUUCUCAGUCAAUGUCCUGCCGAUUGUCUAUCACAUUCCGUAGUCCAAAAUAUGAGGGGUACCGUUGUAGAACGUCAGCCGGUUGGCUAUCUGUGGACACGUCCGUGGACAUUUGAGGGCGCUUUUUAAGGAUAGCGGUGAAGGUGUCUAACACUAUAAGACAUCAACACACAUGAUUGGAGUCAUGCAACCAAAUCUUCUACUCCUACAAGUCAGUCGUUGGUGUCGUCUCCCUCGCUCCCCGACUCUUCANNNNNNNNNNNNNNNNNNNNNNNNNNNNNNNNNNNNNNNNNNNNNNNNNNNNNNNNNNNNNNNNNNNNNNNNNNNNNNNNNNNNNNNNNNNNNNNNNNNNUGAUCCGGGGGACGGGAGACGUUUGAAGCUUGAAUGACUGAGACUGAAAGUGAAGGCGCAGCAGAGGCAGGCAGCAUUAGUAGUAAGUAGUAAGUAAGUAGCAGUGGAACAAAGUAAUAGUCGUUCGUUUUUCCCCUGUAAUAAAUAAGAGGCUGUGUGUUGAGGUAAAGAAAGUGGCAGCGAGCAAACAAACUCAAACUCCCGGGGGUUGUUGGUGUAAAUAAAACUCUUUGUCUAGACUUGUGAAAUUUUCAGAGGGUUUUUCCCGCUGCCUCUGUCGACCGACAUUGUCACUUUCGAGUGGUGGUUGCUUUAUCUAUGAAAUGGGGCGAAAGCCUAUUUACCAACUUCCGUUGCGGGGUGCCGCCAUCUUCGAAGGUGGAAAUGGCCAGAUACCGUGAGGAACUUUGAAUUUGAGAAUGACUCAUGCGCAUACUCCCUUGGGAGUUUGGAUGCCCUUCUGUGGCAACUCCUAAACCAACCAAGGGAGUUUGGAUGCCCUUCUGUGGCAACUCCUAAACCAACCAACCGUAAUUAAAAGCAUCUACAGCCGGACACCCUAAACGGCUCUAUCAAUGACCGGUCAAAAGAAAUGAUCCCGGAAAUUUCAGUUUAGCAUCAUGUUUCUUAAAGUUUGGUUGUAAUUGUUCACUGCCUAUCUUUGAGUUGUGAACCUCGAGCUUAUGAGAUAUUUUUCUUGUGCUUAUGUAUGCGAUUUUUUUUUACUUGAAUGCAACUACGAAAUGGAAACAUGCCAGUCCGUAAUACGAUGGCAUUUAAGCUGUACUGGUUGGAGCUUUUGAUAUAUAAAAAAGAAACUAUGUUGAUGGGCCAAGCUGAUUGUUUUGAUUUACAAACAUAACAUUUGAGCUACCAUUGAUAAUAAAAUGUUAUGAUGCUGAAUUACCUCUACUCGGGACUGAACAAGCGAGUGACCCAGGGACAGUAGACGUUCGUGUAAGCAAAACUCUACUAGACUUUUGUGAUUUUUUGGGGUGGUUCCUGUCAUGAUGGGUGAUUGUUUUAUCUAUAAAGCGAGACGAAAACUUACUUCUGAGACGUUGCCAUUUUUGCCAGCUAUCAGACAGUUCCAGAGUACCAGCAUCAGUGCGAAUUAACAUGGCCGAGUAUCACGGCAUGUUAGCCAUCGAAGGUAAAAAUGACCGCAUUCUGGAAAAAAAUGAAGCACAAAGAGAACAACGAACUCUUGGGGGUGUUCUCUCCUCCAAAUGGCCACCACCGCAAUAGCAGUGUUUGCCACCGGAGGUAGAAACAAUCGCGUUUCGGAAAAUCCGGAGCGGAAAAAGAGAGGCGGACUCCCCUCCCCUCCCGGUCGAUUGGUGUCCUCCUUUCCYUGGCACCCUUCUCCGGCAACUCCUUGUCAGCACUCCUGAUGCAUGUGCCGAAGUCACUGAAGAAACACAAAAGAAGCAAGAGAAUAACCAGCCUACUCAUGGGCCGAAGUCACUGAAGAAACACAAGAGAANNNNNNNNNNNNNNNNNNNNNNNNNNNNNNNNNNNNNNNNNNNNNNNNNNNNNNNNNNNNNNNNNNNNNNNNNNNNNNNNNNNNNNNNNNNNNNNNNNNNAACUGAAAAGAAAAAUAAAAGAACUAAACCAAAAAAACAGGCACCCAUGCAUGGGCCGGCCCAAAUAGGUGUGCUGCAUCUUUUUCCAACGGCCAGAGUGUAAUAUAGCAGGUGCCUACAUGGGCCGGCCCAGUCCGGAGAUUUUCYUGUUAWGWWAMGUUUUUWWUGACUUAUAGGUGGCAUUGAUGGGUAAUUUUAGUCAACUUUAGGGGCAAUUUAAAUGACGUACAACAGAAGCAAUAUUUGCUUUAUUAGUAGGUAAGAUUUAGGCCUAGUUUUAUAACGUUAGAAUGGCACAUUAACUUCAAGAUUAAUAUACUCGAUCAAUGCUUGUUUGCUAAGAAUAUAUAUACUACAUGGUUCGUAGAGAGAAUUACUAGCAACUGAUCCACUUCAUGUAAGUAGCAUGAAAAUGGAAAACAAAGAGCAAAGGUACUAGAUGAGAUACCUGCUUCCAUUAAAAGAACCACAUGGGAGGCACAAAAUCCGACCAGGAUAAAUGGAGCAAACGUGAUAGUGUGACACCAUCUUGUGUUUUGCUUUAUUGUACUNNNNNNNNNNNNNNNNNNNNNNNNNNNNNNNNNNNNNNNNNNNNNNNNNNNNNNNNNNNNNNNNNNNNNNNNNNNNNNNNNNNNNNNNNNNNNNNNNNNNCGUGUAGCUGGCUCUACUACUACUGUAUGUAUUGAUAUUUUAACCAUAAUUAGAAACCCAUAUACAUGUAUGUUUAUUCCAUUUUUGUCUGACUUAUUAUGUAGGAAAUAAUAUUGGCUAUUCGCGUACGUAUAUAUUUUUUGGAAAAAAGCACACAUGAAUGUACUUGUUUAAUUCCUCAAAUAAAAUAAUUUUAUGAUUUGCUUAUGCAUAGGUACAUAUCCUCGGACCAUAAAUCACAAGGUAAUGUCAAAUCUCAUCGUAGGCUAAGGGAGGGAGCAUAAUUGUUGCACUGGUGUAAAAUUAGCAUAGCCUCAGACCGUAAAUGUCUGUUCGAUCCUAGUUCUAUAUAUUAAGUACACAUGUGUUUGCUGUUUGGUGUCAAAUUAACAUAAAUCCUAUACAUUCGAUGUGAAGCGUUUAUUUGCAUUGACAUAAUCUCACUUACAACUUAUCGCCUGUGCUUAAAACACAAACCACCUAGUUCUUGGAUAUCAUGCCNNNNNNNNNNNNNNNNNNNNNNNNNNNNNNNNNNNNNNNNNNNNNNNNNNNNNNNNNNNNNNNNNNNNNNNNNNNNNNNNNNNNNNNNNNNNNNNNNNNNUGAUUGGAAACUCAAAUACAUGUGUGGAUACAUAGACAAAACACUGUCCCUAGUGAGCCUCUAGUUGACUAGCUCGUUGAUCAAGGAUGGCUAAGGUUUCCUAGCCAUAGACAAGUGUUGCCAUUUGAUAACGGGAUCACAUCAUUGUGAGAAUCAUGUGAUGGACGAAGACCUAAUAUAUGAACGUAGCAUGUGAUCGUGUUAUUUUGUUGCUACUGUGUUCUGCAUGUCAAGUAUAUAUUCCUANNNNNNNNNNCAGUGAGCCUCUAGUUGACUAGCUCGUUGAUCAAAGAUAGCUAAGGUUUCCUAGCCAUAGACAAGUGUUGUCACUUGAUAACGGGAUCACAUCAUUAGGAGAAUCAUGUGAUGGACAAAGACCUAUAAUAUGAACGUAGCAUGUGAUCGUGUCAUUUUGUUGCUAUUGUGUUCUGCAUGUCAAGUAUAUAUUUCUAUGACCAUGAGAUCAUGUAAUUCACUGACAUCGGAGGAAUACUUUGUGUGUAUCAAACGUCACAACGUAACUGGGUGACUAUAAAGGUGCACUAUAGGUAUCUCCGAAGAUGUCAGUUGAGUUAGCAUGGAUCAAGACUAGGAUUUGUCACCCCGUGUGACGGAGAGGUAUCUCGGGGCCCACUCGGUAAUACAACAUCACAAACAAGCCUUGCAAGCAAUGUGACUAAAGAGUUAGCCACGGGAUCUUGUAUUACGGAAUGAGUAAAGAGACUUGCCGGUAACGAGAUUGAAAUAGGUAUUGGAUACCNNNNNNNNNNGCCGAAGGACAAAGGGAAUAGUAUACGUGAUUAUAUGAAUCCUUGACAUAGAGGUUCAACCGAUAAUAUUAUCGUGGAAUAUGUAGGAUCCAAUAUGGGCAUCCAGGUCCUGCUAUUGGAUAUUGACUGAGAGGUGUCUCAGGUCAUGUCUACAUAGUUCCCGAACCCGCAAGGUCUGCACACUUAAGGUUCGGUGACUUUUCGGUAUAGUUGAGUUAUAGGUGCUGGUGACCGAAGUUUUGUUCGGAGUCCCGAAUGAGAUCCCGGAUGUCACGAGGAGUUCCGGAAUGGUUGGGAAACAAAGAUUGAUAUAUAGGAAGUGGGUAUUUGGAUUCCGGAAGAUUUUCGGGCACUACCGACAGUGUACCGGGAGUGACGAAUGGGUUCCGGGGGCCCACCAGGUGGGCCCACCACGCCCCAAGGGUUCCACAUGGUAUUAUUGGAUGCGCAAGAAAGGUUAUUGGGCUGACAAGUCGUCCAAGGAAAGCCCAUAAGGAAAAAGGUGGAAAAUCCAAAAGAGGUGGACAAAUUGGGAAGGAGUCAUAAUCCAAGUGGAAUUGGAGGAGGACUCCUCUCCUCCUUGCGCCAAAGAGAGAAAAAAGGGGCAGCCACGUGACAGCCACCUCCCUCCUCGCCUCCUAUAUAUACUAAGGGUUUUUGAGGAUUUUGGACAACAGAUUUUUGCCACGUGCAAACCCGAAACCUCUAGUUCUUCGUUUCACCUCUAGAUUAGAUUUCUGCGGAGCUCGGGCAGAGCCCUGCAGGAAUAGAUCGACACCACCACCACCCGGGGAGCUGUCACGCUGCUGGGGUCUCUACUUCCUCUUCGUUUCUCUUGCUGGAUCAAGAAGCCGGAGAUCGUCAUCGAGCUGUACAUGUGCUGAACGCGAAGGUGUCGUCCGUUCGGUACUUGAUCGGGACAUAUCGUGGGACGGUUCGUGGGCUGACCAUGAAGACAUACCACUACAUCAACCGCGUUGUCUAACGCUUUCCGUUGUGCAUCUACAAAGGGUAUGUAGAUCCGUUCUCCCUCUCAUAGAUGAUCAUCACCAUGAUAGGACUUCGUGUGCGUAGGAAUUUUUUUGUUUCCAAUGCAACGUUCCUGUCACGCCCAAGAUGCGACCCUAUCCUCAAUUUGGCACGAAGGCCUCGUCAGGGAUAGAAGCGCAUCUCGUCGUGUCGCAAGAAUGGAUAUCGUUACAAGUACAUGUACUAACAAGAAGAGAUAUAUAAAGAGUUGGCUUACACUCGCCACAAGCUACAUCAGAGUCACAUCAGUACAUUACAUAAUCAUCAAGAGUAAGAGCAGGGUCCGACUACGGACGAAAAUAAAUGACAAAAUAAGAACGACGUCCAUCCUUGCUAUCCCAGGCUGCCGGCCUGGAACCCAUCCUAGAUCGAUGAAGAAGAAGAAGAAGAAGCAAUUCCAAAUGAACAAUCAACGCGCUCGCGGCACGUAACCUUUACCUGUACUUGCAACUGGUGUUGUAGUAAUCUGUGAGCCACAGGGGACUCCGCAAUCUAAUUUCCAAAGGUAUCAAGACUAGCAAAGCUUAAUGGGUCAGGCAUGGUUAAGUGGUGGGGUUGCAGCAGCGGCUAAGCAUAUAUUUGGUGGCUAAACUUACGAGUACAAGAAAUAAGAGGGGGAAGAUCUACGCAUAACGGACGUGAACUACUGAUGAUCAAAUGAAUGAUCCUGAACACCUACCUACAUCAGACAUAACCCCACCGUGUCCUCGAUCGGAGAAAGAACUCACGAAAGAGACAGUCACGGUUACACACACAGUUGGCAAGUUUUAAUUAAGUUAACUUCAAGUUAUCUAGAACCAGUGUUAAACAAAGUUUCCACAUUGCCACAUAACCGCGGGCACGGUUUUCGAAAGAUUUAACCCUGCAGGGGUGCUCCAACUAGUCCAUCACAAAUUACCACAAGCCGCAUAGAAAUCCUCAAUCACGAAGCUCGCGAUCUCGUCAGAUUCCCAAGUGGAAAACCUCAACUCUGAGAUUACCCAAAGCAUGACCGGAAUCCCGUUGCACAAGAUAUCUCGUCAAAGGUAAAACUAAUCCAGCAAGGCCGCCCGACGUGUCGACGAUCCCGAUAGGAGUCGCGUACCUCGUUCUCAGGACACGACGGAUGGGUCACACUAGGAGAUACCAAACCUCAGGUUGCCCCGCGAUGGCCUCGUAGUCUGCCAAUUUGGACCAACACUCAUGAGGAGCACUGGCCCGGGGGUUGAUUAAAUUAUCCUCGGGGUCCGGAAAGUCCCUAUGCAAUUUUAUUAGGUGUUUAGGCAAAUGUAGUACCAAAGUUGGGCCUUGCCAGACCAGCUUUAAACUAAAACGAAUUAUCAAGGGGGUCCCCAUAACAACCCCGAUUGUGUUAGGAGCGCUCAAUUAUGGAACAUAACACCGGUAGCCGGAAACUAAGGGGGCAAAGGUGGAACAAAACACCAGGCUAGAAAGGCCGAGCCUUCCACCUUUUACCAAGUAUAUAGGUGCAUUAAGUUAAGUAGCAUUUCAAUAUGGUGAUAUAACAAGGAACCCGUGCUUUCACAUGGAAGCAAUGCACCUGCAACUAGCAACGCUAACACAGGGUUAAGCAAGCGGUAACAUGGCCAAUCAGUGGUUUGCUAGGUCGAACAGGUUGAAGGUCAACAUGGCAUGGUUGAGAGGCUGAUAUUUAACAUGUGGUAGGCAACGAGACAUAAACGGUAGCAACGGUAAAACUAGCAUGGCAAAGAUAGUAAUGGUAUCUGGGGAAAUGAUCAUCUUGCCUGAGAUCCCGCUUGGAAGAAGAACAACUCCGUGAAGCAGACGAACCGACGUAGUCGAACGGGUCCUCACAAUCCGGCACGCUGCGGAACUCUAUCGAGACGAAGCAAACCGAAAACACAAAUCAACACACGGAAUUCNNNNNNNNNNNNNNNNNNNNNNNNNNNNNNNNNNNNNNNNNNNNNNNNNNNNNNNNNNNNNNNNNNNNNNNNNNNNNNNNNNNNNNNNNNNNNNNNNNNNCUAGUCUAUUUCCAUAGUCCCUUGUGGACGNNNNNNNNNNCCUAGCCUCAAAAGAUGAUUGUGAGCGGAACCACGAAAAAGGAUCGAGGAAUAGGGGUUAGACCGUGUGCGUAUAUUUCUUACAUUCCUCUCAUCAGAUCAUAGCCAGUUCCUCACAUCUGGUACUUAGAGCCAUUUGAUCGUGGAGAUCCCACACACCACAUCUACGCCACGCGAUUCAGGCUCCAACAGCGGCGGGACGCCAUGAACAAGCUGUUCUCCGAGGGGCGGUAGAUCCAGGAGCUUCUUCAGCAGACUUCGCGGAGUCCCUCAACCACAAGUUCAAGGCACGCGGCGACAAGAUCAUACAGUCCAUCAGCAAGAUUCUCAAGGACACCACAGCGGCUUGUAGAUGUUAAUCAUGUUUCUCAUGUAGGAUUAGGAAAGAAAGCCAAACCGAGUCCUAGUGGUAUUAGGAUUCCUAGUCCUAGUCUAUUUCCAUAGUCCCUUGUGGACGUGUAUAAAAGACACCCUAGGGGUGUUGAUUGUAACACCAGAAAAACGAAAAGCAAUACAAAGCAAAGGCACGACACGAGCCUUUAGCCAUCAAAUCCAUCGAUCAGUUUUAUUCGUGUCGCUAGUUACGCAAGUUCCGUCAAGUANNNNNNNNNNNNNNNNNNNNNNNNNNNNNNNNNNNNNNNNNNNNNNNNNNNNNNNNNNNNNNNNNNNNNNNNNNNNNNNNNNNNNNNNNNNNNNNNNNNNACAUGGGUCUUCGUUUAUGGAAUUAGAAUGUUUUAGCCAAGUGAGAGAUGUAGGAAAUACUUAUGUGUGGCUUGCAACAUUUUAUAUAUAUACUACAUAGUUCCUGGAAUGGUUUACCUCAGUAUGGAAUUUACCGAUGCACUUGAAUAUUGCUUGGAAUACAUGAAUGGAAUAUAGUUCAUGGAAGCCGGUACAUAUAUGUUGGAAAACAAUAUUUAUUAAUGCUGGAAUAUUUAUUAUACUGAAUGUAUAUUUGCCCGGGCACAACAUAUUAUGGAAAGCCAGGUUGUUCAUGGGAUUGGCUCNNNNNNNNNNNNNNNNNNNNNNNNNNNNNNNNNNNNNNNNNNNNNNNNNNNNNNNNNNNNNNNNNNNNNNNNNNNNNNNNNNNNNNNNNNNNNNNNNNNNNNNNNNNNNNNNNNNNNNNNNNNNNNNNNNNNNNNNNNNNNNNNNNNNNNNNNNNNNNNNNNNNNNNNNAUGCUUAUGGGACAUAUUGCGGAUGAGACUCCUUGAUGGUUACUCAUGAUCGUGGUUGGUUAAGUUAACCUGGAGUCCUCACUUAAACAGAUUAUAUCUGGACACUUAUCUGCAAUUUAUACAGUUUAAAAUAAACUGGAAUAGCACUAUAUAAAGGUCCCUAACCACUAGCCUCAAAAGAUCAUUGUGAGCGGAACCACGGAAAAGGAUCGAGGAAUAGGGGUUAGACCGUGUGCGUAUAUCGCUUACACGUGUGGCAUGACAGCUGAUGGCCGACCCACAUGUGAGUGGGUGUAAGCGUGNNNNNNNNNNNNNNNNNNNNNNNNNNNNNNNNNNNNNNNNNNNNNNNNNNNNNNNNNNNNNNNNNNNNNNNNNNNNNNNNNNNNNNNNNNNNNNNNNNNNUUCUCCUUCUCCUUCUCUUAUUCUUANCUUUCUCUUCUUCUUCUUCCUUUCUUUUCAUUUCUCCUCUUCUCCUCUUCUUGGAGCUAAAUUAGGUAACUAUGUAUUUUUGGAGAUAAAUGGGCUAAUUAUGUCAUUACAGAGGAAAACAAACUAAGUAUAUAGUAUUAAUGAGCUAACCAAGGUUCUUAUGCCAUUUUGAGCUUAUUAUGGCAUUUUGUAGCUAAAUGGGCUAAUUAUCUCAUUGUUGGGGGAAAAUAAGGUAAGGAGAAUAAGAUAGAGGAGAAGAAAUAGGAGGAGGAGGAGAAGAAGAAGAAAUCAAGAAGAAGGAGAAGGAGGAGGAGGAGAAGAAGGAGGAGAAGUAGGAGAAGGAGGAGAAGGUAUUCUUCUUCUCUUCUUCUCUUCUUCAUCUCUUCUUGUUUCUUCUUCUUUUCUUCUUCUUCUUCUUAUUUUGUCUUCUCCUCCUCUUCUUCUUCUUCUCCUCCUCUUCUCCUCUUCUCCUCCUCCUCCUCCUCUUCUUCUUCCUAUUCUUUCUAUUAAGCUAACUAACUAACUAACCUAACUAACAAAGCUAACUAAACCUAUCGCUAAACCUAGAUAGCACUAAACAGCAAAAAAAUAACAAAAACAGAAUCUACCACUAAGUAACUAAAAAAGAAUCUAUCUACCACUAAAUAACAAAACAAAAUCUACCACUAAACUACCUACUAAAUCUACUAAUUAACUAACUAAAUCUACCAACUAACUAAACUACCACUAAAACUACUAAUUAACUAACCUACCAACUAAACUAUAUAUGCCACAACAACUACAAUAACAACAACAACUACAACAACUACAAUAACAAGAACAACUACUACAACAACAAUAAAAAAAUCAUGCCGGUAGUUAUAAUCUAAUUCCAAAAAACUAAAUACCAAACAAUAAAAAAUCAACUUCUUCUUCUUUUUUCUCUUCUUCUCCUUCUUAUUUUUUCUUAUUCUAUUCUUCUCUUCUUCUUUACUUCUUCUCCUUCUUAUUUUUUUCUUCUCUUCUUCUUCUUAUAUUAUUAUUAUUAUUUCUUCUCCUCUUCUUCUUCUUCCCCUUCUUUUUCUUCUCCUCCUCCUCCUCCUCCUACUCCUCUUCUUCUUCUCCUCUUCUCCUCCUCCUCCUCUUCUUCUUCUUCUUCCUCCAAAUAACUAAAUAACAAGGGGGUGGGGCUGGAUGGGCUUACCGGCAGUGGGGCUGCGNNNNNNNNNNNNNNNNNNNNNNNNNNNNNNNNNNNNNNNNNNNNNNNNNNNNNNNNNNNNNNNNNNNNNNNNNNNNNNNNNNNNNNNNNNNNNNNNNNNNACGGUACGGUACGUACUCCUCUCUCUCUCUCUCUCUCUCUUCUUCUUUCUUCUUCUUUCUUCUCUCCUCCUCCUUCCUCCUUCCUACUUACCCYCCUCCUCCUCCUCCUUCUUGUUUUUCUUCUCCUUGUUCUCUUCUUGCUUCUUUUCUUUCUUCCUCAAUUUAGCUUAAUUGUCAUAUAUAUGUUGUUGUUGUUCUUUUUCUGACUUUCUUAUUCCCAUUUUGCAGAUUGGAUAUACUACAUGCAUGGAAGCUGACAUUGAUGGAGUGCUUUAGUUCUAGUUUUCAUUUGAGUUGAUGAACAAUGUGGAAUUAUAUGUAUAUGUAUAUAUGGAUGAACAGUAUAUGUGAAACUAUAUGUGAAACUUUGUAUGUGUUGCUUAUUUUGAUAUAUGGGAUGUAUGUUGAUGAACAAAUGGCAUUGAUGAGCUUUAUAUGUAUAUCAUAUAUGUGUUGUGACCUAAUUAUCAUACAUGUGCUAUGAAUUAUAUAUGUAUGUGCUGUGAAAUAGAAAAAAUAAACAAAAAUGUGACAAUAUAGGCUCUUUGUCGUCUGCCAGCUGAUGGCAAAGGCCUUUGCCAUCAGGCAGCAGACGGCAAAGGUGCCACGUGGUGCCCAGUUGUGCAACCUGGGCAGCAGCAGCUGGCCAUAUAUUAUCUUUGCCGUCUGCUUCCUGGGGGSSGACGCCAAAGAAGAGGGCACAAAGGAGGGGGAGGAGGUGGAGGCAGACGGCAAAGAAGAGCGGAGCANNNNNNNNNNNNNNNNNNNNNNNNNNNNNNNNNNNNNNNNNNNNNNNNNNNNNNNNNNNNNNNNNNNNNNNNNNNNNNNNNNNNNNNNNNNNNNNNNNNNUAGAGGCAAUAAUAAAUUAGUUAUUAUUAUAUUUCCUUGUUCAAGAUAAUCGUUUAUUGUCCAUGCUAUAAUUGUAUUGAUUGGAAACUCAAAUACAUGUGUGGAUACAUAGACAAAACACUGUCCCUAGUGAGCCUCUAGUUGACUAGCUCGUUGAUCAGGAUGGCUAAGGUUUCCUAGCCAUAGACAAGUGUUGCCAUUUGAUAACGGGAUCACAUCAUUGUGAGAAUCAUGUGAUGGACGAAGACCUAAUAUAUGAACGUAGCAUGUGAUCGUGUUAUUUUGUUGCUACUGUGUUCUGCAUGUCAAGUAUAUAUUCCUAUGACCAUGAGAUCAUGUAAUCCACUGACAUCGGAGGAAUACUUUGUGUGUAUCAAACAUCACAACGUAACUGGGUGAUUAUAAAGGUGCACUACAAGUAUNUCCGAAGAUGUCAGUUGAGUUAUCAUGGAUCAAUACUGGGAUUUUUCACUCCGUGUGACGGGGAGUAUCUCGGGGCCCNNNNNNNNNNNNNNNNNNNNNNNNNNNNNNNNNNNNNNNNNNNNNNNNNNNNNNNNNNNNNNNNNNNNNNNNNNNNNNNNNNNNNNNNNNNNNNNNNNNNACCACAAGAUGUACAACACAUAUGAUGCAUGAGCAGCUGAUUACAUGCAAGUCACGGCAUGAUAAUUCACACAAUCAAACACUACACAUUAAGUGAAGUUCAAUAUGCAACGAGUUGCAUAUUGACGAAACUCCACGUUUAUUAUUUAGUUCUAUCCCGAUUAGUUACACGACAAUACUAAAUGUGGUUAAACAUGGCAAGAGGUGAAGCGUAAAUAAUCUACCUAUCUAGGCAUUUUAAAUGAGGUCGGAAAUGACAUAUAGCACCUCCGAAACGACCUCACAUGUUAAUUUACAAUUCUAUCCAGAUCUGAAUUAACACCUUUAAUUAGUUGUUAAACAGCAAAACAAAUAGGUUCACGUGAUUCUACGCGUCAAGGCAAGCAAUCUACACAUAAAGAACAUCUUCAACGGAGCUACGGUUCAAAAGAUACAAGCACCGCAAGAUAUGAUGGCAUGAAUGCAAUAUGUGUGCGACGACGGUCACGAGCACUUCAAAACAUACAAACAGCAAGAGAACAUGAAACUACACGAGAUUCUAAGAAAGUUUCAUGUAGGACACUAUCAAAUCGGAGCUACGGUUCAACAACUAGGAGCAAGACAAGAAAACACUACAAUCUGCCAAAAUCAGCCACAUAGCAUUUUCUACGCCCCACAACUACGAGCUACACAACUCCGAUAAACUCAUGCAAGGCAUGGAACGGAACAGGGCAAGAAGGACUACUACGAACAGCUAACAACUACUAGCAUGGAAGCAAGGAGCACUAGGAAAAGAAGACACAAAAUGACAUCCCACUCACUAUUUCAGACUUAGUGAAAAUUACACCUCAUGAAAGUGCAGUUUUCGAUCUGAAGCAAUAUUGACAGCAGCAAAAUCCUAAGCUACAGGACUCCAAAUGGCAUAAAAAUUUACAGCAUGCUAGAGAAACACAAGGGGUACAACUAACUCCAUUGGACCAACCUCAAAAGAGCUACAGAUCACAAGAUGCAAGCAAGACAAGAAAGCAACAAAAUAUAACAGAUUCCAGACUUAGAAAUAUUUCAGCUCCUCUAGAACAGCACUAUUUCUAGCAACUUGAGAACAAGAAAAUCACACCUAAACAUGCAUUUCUAUUGCAACCAAAAAUACCAGGGGCUAAACAAAACAUCCAAGAUCAACUCUCUAGUUGACAACUCCGUCAAACAACGCACGGAAUAAAUCCUACAAAUUAAACAAAAGGGCAUCACGGCAAAAUAUCUCGCGAACUAACUUGCUCUAAUGCUAAAACUAAUUGCACAGAAAAAUCCAUGGGAUUUUUCUACCCCGGAAACAUAUAAAACAUGUGGGGUUUGCAACACAAAAUAAUGCCACACAUUAAUGCAAGAUAAACACCUAUAUCCGGGAAAAUAAACUACCGGCAAUCUCUACACGUAAAAAUACAUAUGACUGCUCUAAAAUACAUGCAAAAAUGAUUCCUAAAACAUGGGCAUUCUAAUACGGCAUACGGACAAUUCAAACUCGUGCGGAAAAUAAAUACGGGCACUAUCCUAUCUAGACAGCACGUUAAACUAGGCGGUUGGCACGUAAAACUACGUCAAAUAAAUAUGCAAGUUGUAAAUUCGUACUCUACGCGCGAAACUACCACAAAAACAUAUAUAAUACGCGUCGUUCCGACUUACGGUUUAAAAACUACCGACGAUCUAAGAUAUGACUAUUUUUCUGGAAUUUAUUAAAUUCCGGAAAAAUCCUAAAUAGCUAACGGGCCUAAACUACUACUAACAGGCCGAAUUCCUAACUGGGCUAACAGGGGGCGCAAGAUAGGGAAAAUGCACAGGCGGGGAAUACUCACCUCGGGGCCUAGGGAGAGGAGGCCGAGGCUUGGGCCGAAUUGGAGGGGCUGGAGGCCACCCCAGCUGGGCCGGCUCGGGCAAAUCGGCCCACUGGCCAGGGCGAAGCGAGGCAGGCCUCGGCCUAGCUCGCGACUGGGCCGACGAGGGGAGGCUCGCGUGGCCCGCUCGGCGCUGGGACGAGGCGCUCGUCCCCUCCGUCGUUCUCCUCGAUCCAGGGGCGGCGGCGCUCGAGUUGGCUCCCCCGUGGACGAACAAGAGGCGGGGCGAGGCUUCGGCGCUGGGGCGGGGUCGGCCGGAGGAGGCACUAAGCAGCGGCGGCGGGGCGUGGAUCUGGCGCAUGCGGCGGCCGACGGGGUGGAGCGGGGAGGCUGCGAACGACGGCUUGGGGAGGCGGCCCUGGACGUCGAGCUCGGGCGCGGGCGCUAGGAGUACUCCGGCGAGCAUCCGGCAGGCGGGGCUCCCGCGAGGGGCUGGUGAGGGCGCGCGGGAGGUGUCCGGCGAGGGCGCGCGGGCAGGGAGAGCCAUGAGGAGGCGCGGCUCGGGUAGGGAGAACGGGGGCGGCGGCGCGCAGAUGGGCCCGGCGGGCCUCGGAUGGGCUCGGCGGGCCCGCGGUGGCUGGCGGCUGGCGGGAGAGAGAGAGGCGAUUAGGGUUAGGCAUGGUUUUCGAGGCAGAGGGGGGUGGCUGUCUAAAAAUUAGGAGGAGGGGGGUAUAUAUAGGGAAAAGAGGGGCUCGGUUAACCGGAAUCGCGUUCCGGAUCCAACCGCGGGGUCGGAUUCGGGCGAUUUCGAACGCAGGAAUGGGUACGCGGCCGUGUAGAGGGGAUAUCCGGAGACGAGAGGGAGAACGGGCGGCACGACAAUGAAUUUUUAAAACAGCAACAGACGUCCGACGAUAGCCCGAAUACGGUGCCGCUACGGGCGACCGUUCGGGUACCAGACGGUCUCCGAUCGCGACGAAAAUCGAUAGGCGGCCUGGCUAUAACUAAUCACGACCGCAUGCCAAGCUUCACCUCGAUCAGAGAAAGUUUUACGCACACUUUAAAAACAGGGUUUCGACGGUGCCGCGGGCGCGUGCGAGUACGGUCGGGCUCGGAACGGACAACGACGAGAACCGGCGACUACUAACGAAAGGAAGUUUUUGAAAACUGACGGCAGCGGAGAUGCCGAUGCAAUGCUGAUGAUGCGCAUGAUGCGAUGAUGAUGCGACAAAUAUAAAUAGACACACGACGAAAACGGAAAGAAAAGGGGAAGCUUCUGGAACGUCGGCAUCGGGCUGUCACAGUUCCCCAAUAGUACCAUCAUGAGCUAGGUGAUGGGGUUAUAGUCCCAGGGUAGGGUCAUAGGUCUGCCAUAUAGGUCCUACCCAAGGACUACCCUUCAUAGAAGACAAGGCCCUUAGACAGUUCUGACUGAACUAAGGACGCCCCCAUCAUCCAGUCGGCGAUGAUCCACUCAGAGCAUAUCUAACGUACCGACUAGAAUCCACUCUGUACAUCGUAACCUCCCAGGAGGGCAACGGUCAUACGUUUUCAUACACCAUUAUUAGCAUUUAAAACUUACGUUACCUGUAACGUAGGCAUUUAUUAGCCACUAUUCCACCCUUGUCCACCGGGCCAUUAUGAAGGGCAGCGCACUCUAUAUAAGCCGCCCUUCCCCACUGGUGCAAGGGUUGGCACUUGCUGUAAUCCUAUAAUCCACUCGACACAAAGCUCCCAAGAGCACUGAGACGUAGGGCUUUUACCUCCACCGUAGAGGGGCCUGAACUCAUACAUCCUCGCCGUAGCUAAGGCUCUGCCCAUCCUUUCGUACCCCAUACUUCUACUGUCAGACUUAUACCCACGACAGUUGGCGCCCACCUUUGGGCGGGCGUCUAAGCGACUUCCGGCGAGUUUGCGAUUUCAUCUUUUCGUCAUGUCGUCCGCCGGAGAUCUGUGCAUGGGUCAUGAGAUCCUCUUCGGUGCCCUCUCCUUCAUCGCCGACAAUUCGGCAUGGCUUCGGGAUGCGCCCCUCGACGUCGAGGCGCUUCCCAGUCGCGGGGCUACGCACUUCCGUGCCAGUUCCUGCGGUGUUCUUCUUCUCCAGCCAUCGACCCCGGUGUCGAUCUUCGCCCCCGUCACGCACCGCAACAAGCGAUCCCGUCGUCCGCGGCUCCAGCAUUGGGUGCGACACGCCCAGGCGCGACAGAGCGCGUCCUCUCAAGUGGCGGUGCUCGAAUCGGUUGUGGUCCCGCCGCCGUCCCAGUGCUUGGAGUCAGUUCCGACUGAGCUACCUUCCGAGUAUCCGGGUCGCGGGCCUGCAGCCGAAGUUCUCAUGGCCGAUUCCCAUGAAAGUCCCCUCGGGACUGGUCGGAACGAGCGUGAGUUCAUAGAAUCAUCCGGCGCUCGUCGUCAACACCAUCGUUCUUCCAGUCGACGCACUCGCGAGAGCAACGUCGAGGUGUUCCGCACACCCAUCCUCAACUUGGCUGCAGCCGCCAGGAUAGCCGAUUCUCUCCAGCCGACUGAUUUAGAGACUGGUAGAGGAAUCGAGCAGAUCCGUGCCCUGUUGCAUACGGCGCAGCAGCAAAAUUCGGCGGUCUCCCAGUCGCACAACAGGAUCCACAACAGUUCUGUUCAAGCGAACACGCAUCGGUCGGUUUUCAGUCCCGACUCUCAUCAGCGACGCAGAGGGGGCAGCCGUUCCAGGGACCCGAGUCGGAAUCCGCUUCCCAUUCGGUCUCAUCCAUAAGAUCGUUGCCGUUCGCAUACUCCUCCGCGGGGUGGGCCUUACGGGCCCCGGCAUCACGACGAUCAUCGUUCGGGCGGUGACGCACAUGAUCCAAGGCCUGAUGCAAGAGGGUACAUCGCCCAGAAGAAGGUCGACAGAAGUCGAGCCCACCGUGAUGGUCACGAUAGAGACCGUCCGAGUGGAAGCAGGACCGUCGUUUCUGGCCCCAAGUGCUUCAGUCGGGCCAUCCGCUCAGCUGACAUCCCUCCCAACUUCCGAUUGGCGACGGGAAUCAGCAGGUUCACAGGAGAGUCCAAACAGAAACUUGGUUGGACGACUAGAGAGUGGCGGUCCAGAUCGGUGGCGGAGAUGACCAUGUCGCCAUGAAACAUCUCCCACUGAUGCUCGACGGUUCGGCGCGAGCCUGGCUGAACCAGUUAGCUCCGUCAAGCAUCUACAGUUGGGCAGAUUUGGCCCGAGUCUUCAUCAGGACCUUUGAGGGUACGUGCAAAUGCCCUGAUGGUCUUGUAGAGCUCCAGCACUGUGUCUAGAAGCAGAACGAGCCCUUGCGCGAUUUCAUCUAGUGCUGGACGACCCUCUACCACACGGUGGAGAACGUCACAGAGCACCAAGCAGUCUGCGCCUUCAAGGCAGGCGUGCGGUACAGAGAUCUGUACCUGAAGUUCGGUCGGACAGGCGACAUCUCCAUGAGCAAGAUGAUGGAGAUAGCCGCGCGCUAUGCAAAUGGCGAAGAGGAGGACCGCAUACGUAGCGGCAAGCAUAAGUCAGUCACCGAUGGAGAUGGGAACAACAAUCGGAAGCAGAAGCAGAAAGCUCAAUCCACUCCGCAGGCAGAGGCAGCAGCCAUUACGAAUGCCAAGUUCAAAGGCAAGGGGAAAGCUCAGUACACCCCCAAGAAGAGGCAGUCAGGAAAUUCCAUCCUGGAUCAACCGUGUCCAAUCCACACGAAAACGGAUGAAGAAGGCAAUGUCAUAGUGUCGAAGCAUACCACUCGGCAGUGUCGCCUCCUGAUCCAAGGAUUCGCCGAAGGACAGCCGAGUGAGAAGGACACCGAGCAGGAUGAUGAGGACAAGGAGGAUCCGUUCCCCCAAGUCCAUGCAACGUUGAUGAUUUUUGCUGAUGUGGAAAGCAAAAGUCGACUGAAGCUGGUCAACAGGGAGGUAAACAUGGCAACCGCAUCCACUCCCACGUUCCUCAAGUGGUCACAGACUACGAUCACAUUUGAUCAGUCAGACCACCCAGCACACGUACCCACCCCAGGGAGGCAGGCUCUGGUCGUCGACCCGGUGGUGGAAGGAGUUAGGCUGCGCAAAGUCCUCAUGGACGGCGGCAGCGGCCUGAAUAUCAUGUACGCCGACACUCUCAAGGGAAUGGGCAUUCCGAUGUCCAAACUUAGCGAGAGCAGUAUGCAGUUCCACAGAGUCGUCCCAGGAAGAAAGGCCAAAUCACUCGGCCAGAUUGCGUUAGAUGUCGUCUUCGGCUCUGACAAGAACUUCCGCAAGGAGAAGCUGACAUUCGAGGUGGUGGACUUCCACACUGCAUACCAUGCGAUUCUGGGUCGUCCGGCAUAUGCGCGUUUCAUGGCCCGUCCAUGUUACGUCUAUUUGAAGCUGAAGAUGCCAGGUCCCAAAGGUGUGAUUACGGUCACAGGUAAUCGGCAGCGGGCCGAGGAGUGUCUGCAGCAGGGGUCGAGGAUUGCUGAUCAGCAGAUGGCUAUUCUCGAGCUGGAUGAGUACAAGAAGACCGCCGACCCCGCUGACCUGAUGCGUUCAAAGAAGCCAGCUUCUGAGUCCGCAUUUCAGUCGGCGGGAGACACGAAGAAAGUCAGCAUCCAUCCGACGGACGACACCGCCGCCCCGACAAACAUCUCCACCACCCUUGAUCCAAAAUAGGAAGCCGAGUUCAUCCAAUUCCUCCGUGAGAACUCGGACAUUUUCGCAUGGAAGCCUGCUGACAUGCCAGGUGUACCCAGGGAGUUGGCUGAGCACCGACUGCAUGUGGAUCCUGCUGCUCGGCCUGUCCGAGAACGCCUGCGUUGGUCCGCCGCGCACAAGAGGAAAGCAAUCGGAGAGGAGGUGGCUAAACUUUUGGCAGCCAACUUCAUUCGCGAGGUACACCACUCUGAGUGGCUCGCUAAUGUUGUCAUGGUGCCCAAGAAGGACAAGUCUCUCCGUAUGUGCAUCGAUUUCAAGCAUCUCAAUAAGGUAUGUCCGAAAGAUCACUUCCCGCUCCCCCGCAUUGAUCAAAUUAUUGAUUCGACUGCGGGUUGCGAGCGCUUAUCCUUCCUUGAUGCCUAUUCGGGCUAUCAUCAGAUCAAUCUGUAUGGUCCAGAUGAAUUAAAAACAGCCUUCAUCACCCCAUUCGGGUGUUUCUGUUACAUCACUAUGCCAUUCGGUUUGAAGAAUGCAGGAGCCACUUUUAUGCGCAUGAUCCAAAAAUGCCUCCUAGACCAGAUCGGUCGAAAUGUGGAGGCAUAUAUGGAUGAUAUCAUCGUCAAGUCACGCAAAUGUUCCGACCUGCUGACUGACUUGGCAGAAACAUUCGCCAACCUACGUAGGUACGAUAUCAAGCCCAACCCAGCCAAGUGUUCAUUCGGUGUUCCCAGCGAGAAGUUACUCGGUUUCUUCGUAUCCGAACGAGGGAUCGAUGUCAACCCCGAAAAGAUCGGGACCAUUGUCCGAAUGGAGCGGCCGUUAAGAGUACAUGAUGUUCAAAGGCUCACAGGUUGCCUAGUGGCUUUGAGCAGGUUUAUCGCUCGACUCGGCGAGAAGGCGUUACCUCUGUACCGACUCAUGAAGAAAUCAGAUACCUUAGAGUGGACAGACGAAUCCCAAAUUGCAUUCGACGAUCUCAAAGCCCUGCUUUCCACCUAGCCAGUUCUUACUGCCCCGCUCAGUAAAGAACCCCUUCUUCUGUACAUCGCGGCUACAAAUCAAGUCGUCAGCACCGUUCUGACAGUCGAACGCGAAGAAGAAGGCAAGGCGUAUAAGGUUCAGCGGCCAGUAUAUUAUGUUUCCGAAGUCCUGAGUCCUUCCAAGUAGAGGUAUCCCCAUUAUCAGAAGCUUAUUUAUGGGAUCUACAUGACUGCAAAGAAGGUGGCUCAUUAUUUCCAAGACCACUAGGUAUCUGUCAUAUCUGAUGCUCCGUUGUCGGAAAUUCUCCACAAUCGGGACGCGUCAGGCCGAGUGGCAAAGUGGGCAAUGGAGAUGCUAUACUGCGACAUCAAGUUCGAAGCCAAGAAAGCUAUAAAGUCUCAAGCUCUUGCUGACUUCAUAGCAGAACGGGUAGAACAACAACAACCGACUCACAUCUACUCGGCUCAUUGGACCAUGUUCUUCGAUGGGUCCAAGAUGUUGAAUGGCUCCGGCGCCGGCGUAGUGCUCAUAUCCCAGAAAGGUGAUAAACUCAAGUAUGUGUUGCAGAUCCAAUUUGAUUCCUCCAACAAUGAAGCAGAGUACGAAGCUCUCCUUUACGGGUUGCGCAUGGCCAUCUCACUCGACGUCCGUCGCGUGAUGGUCUAUGGCGACUCAGAUCUAGUGGUUAAUCAAGUAAUGAAGGAGUGGGAUGUAAGGAACCCCACCAUGACUGCAUACUGCAACGCAAUAAGGAAGCUCGAGAAGAAGUUCGAAGGCCUGGAACUUCAUCAUGUUCCCCGACUGAAAAACCAAGCAGCAGAUGAAUUGGCAAAGCUUGGAUCCACUCGGAGACCGGUCCCGAGUGAUGUCUGCCUCGAGCACCUACACCUCCCCUCGGUAAAAGAAGAUCGUUUUACAGAGGAACCAGUACAACCGAAGAGCUCAACAGAUCCGACUGAAAUUGAGGUCCCCGCUGUGGUUGAUUUGAUCAUGGAGAUUCUAGCUGUCAUUCCCGAAUGGACUGCGCCGUUCAUUGCAUACAUCACGAGGCAAGAGUUACCAGAAGACAAAGUCCAAGCUAGGCAUAUUGUUCACAGGUCGAAGUCCUUCACCGUCAUUGAUGACUAGCUAUACAGGGAAAGUGUUUCAGGCGUCCUUCAGCGGUGUAUCUCUCCUGAGGAGGGGCAGUUAAUCUUGGAAGAAAUUCACUCGAGAACCUGCGGUCAUCAUGCCUCCUCAAGAGCAAUCGUCGCCAAAGCAUUCAGAGCUGGUUUCUUCUGGUUGCAGGCGAAUGAAAUGGCAAAAGAUAUGGUCGACCGUUGCGAAGGUUGUGAGUUCUAUUCAAACAAGUCCCACAAGCCAACGUAUGUGCUGAAGACAAUUCCUCUUGCUUGGCCAUUCGCCGUGUGGGGAUUAGAUACAGUCGGACUAUUCAGAACAGGCCAAGGAGGAUUCACUCAUCUGCUGGUAGCAGUCGACAAGUUUACCAAGUGGAUUGAAGCCAAGCCAUCAAGAAGCUUGACGCCCUUACGGCCAUCAAAUUUAUCAGAGACAUCAUCGCCAGAUACGGGGUUCCGCACAACAUAAUCACCGACAAUGGCACAAACUUUGACUCGGACAGGUUCAAAGGUUUUUGCACAGGCCAAGGUAUCCGAGUGGAUUUUGCAUCCGUGGCGCACCCCCAAACAAACGGGCAAGCAGAGCGGGCGAAUGGUCUUAUUCUUCAAGGAUUGAAGACUCGACUCCUGCGAGAAGUUGGACAUGAUGCCGGCGCAUGGGUCACCGAGCUGCCUUCGGUGCUGUGGGGCCUCCGCACAACUCCUAAUAGAUCGACACGGCGAUCCCCGUUUUUCCUCGUUUAUGGAGCAGAGGCAGUCCUUCUGAGUGACUUGCUUCACAACUCUCCACGAGUCGAACUCUUCUCCGAAUCCGAAGCAGAGCAAGCCAGGCAAGACAGAGUGGAUCUUCUAGAAGAAGAGCGCGAGAUGGCACUGAUCCGUUCAACAAUUUAUCAACAAGAUCUACGGGGAUUUCACGCGCGGCACGUCAGGAGCCGCACAUUCCAAGCAGGCGACCUGGUGCUCCGAGUGGAUCAGCAGAGACCACACAAGUUGGCUCCUGCCUGGGAAAGACCGUUCAUCAUCUCUAAGGUGCUGAACAACGGAGCAUAUUGACUCUACAACCUCGACAGGGAAACGGACGAGCCGCGAGCAUGGAAUGGAGAUCUACUGAAGCGCUUCUACACAUAACCGCCGACGGAGACAAUGUAAAGAACAAGUAUCAUUGAAGUAAUACAAAGCAGAUUGAUUUCUUGCCGAUUCAAAAUUCUUCCGCGUUUGCAGACUCAGGUCUAAAAAAGUAACUCCGAGUGUGCACUAAAAGUCACACUCGGGGACUUAGCUGCGACCAAGAGUCGCCUAAGUACAAACUCGCUCCGAGUGUGCACUAAAAGUCACACUCGGAGACUUAGCUGCGACCCAGAGUCGCCUAAGUAAAAACUCGCUCCGAGUGUGCACCAAAAGUCACACUCGGGGACUUAGCCGCGACCCAGAGUCGCCUAAGUAAAAACUCGCUCCGAGUAUGCACCAAAAGUCACACUCGGAGACUUAGCUGCGAACCAAAGUCGCCUAAGUAAAGAGCUUCCUCCGAGUGGGCACUCGAGAUACACUCGGAGGCUUAGCAGACCCUCAUUGAGGCUCAUGUGGAUGUGAAGACAAUUGACACUAUAUGCUCCGCAUGUUUGCCAUUGGCUUCACCAAGAGAUGCCCAAACAAAAACCACGAGCCAAAAUCGUGUCAAAAAAAAACUCUACGAAAGAAGAGCAAAAGAUCCGAUUCGAAUUCAAGUUGGAUCUACGAUCAGUCGGCUCGGUGUGAAUCAAGUUUAUCCACACCGAACCACGAAUGUAACGGCCAACAGCAGUGGCCAAAGUUUAAUACAGAUUCCACUCGGCAUACCGAGGUAAAUGUGCGUUCACCAUAAAGUUUUUUCAAGCGUCGCCGGGACUGGCAGGCUCCACAAAGGUGUCGAGGUCGAUGCCAUCUGCAAUCCGAGUGGCUGUGUCGAGGAAGGUCUCCAUGAAAUCUUCAAAUCGAAGCUUCUUGGUGUUGGCGACCUGCAACGUCUUCAGCUUUUCUUCGCGGGCUUCCUUGCAGUGCACUCGGACCAGAGAUAGCGCCACGUCCGCACCACACCGAGCGGCAGACUUCCUCCAUGCAUGCACUCUGCUUGGGACGUCCUCCAGCCGAGUCAUCAACCCAUCUAUUUCGCUCCGGGAGUCGUCUUCAGGUCACAGCUCCUUGUCGAUUCGGCCGACAACUUUUCUGAGGCGACCAAUGAAAGGGCCCACCCUGUUAAGGCGAGAAUGCGCUCGGAGCAUGUCCCGGUUAGCUUCAUCGCCGAGUGGAACAUUCGAAACAAGCGACCGUUCAAUUUCGGCUGCUUCAGCCUGAACGUCCCGACAGAAAUUUGCAAAGAAAAGACAAGCAGAAAAUAAGCACGGAGUGAACUCCAAAGUCAAAAAGCACUCGGCAAGAACUUACCACCAAGCAGUGCGACCAUCUUCCUCACCCAAUCGUUGACGUAGUUCUCCUGCGCUCUGCACCGAGUGUUCAUCACCUUCAGCUGGGCCAUCCAGUCAGAUCUCUCCUUCUUCAUCUUUUCUACCUCGGCCACCAGUGCCUUGUUGGUCUCCAGAGAUUCCUCCAAAGAAUUCUCUCGGUCAGCGAGAGCCUUCUUCACGCCAGCCAGGUCAUUCACAGCCACCUCCAAGUUCGCAGCAAGCUGAGUCUUCUCAGCCUUCAGAGCAUUGUACGCAGAUCCCAUUUCACAACUCACAAGUCUUCUGCCAAAGAGACACAAAGGGAGGAUCAGCCACAUUCAACAAGGAAAAUGUCUCGACAGAUAUGACAAAACAAUCAAAGAUCAAAAUUCUUCAGACCCCUGCCGAUGCAAGCAAUCGACAGCGGUCUCGGGGACUACACCCAGUGGGUUCACUGAGAGUGAUCCCACUGGUAUGAAGCUCGAACAGGUCGGCCCUAUUGAGCUCCAUAGCAAACCAACAACACUAUGAGAUUACUAUCUCUCGACCCAAGUAACACUACUCUCGGGGACUACACCCAAUGGGUGCACUCGGCAUGCCCCCACUGGUACCAUUCGGGCAGAUCAGUUGUGAUCUGUUCAGAUUAAGGAAAAUACAUAUAAAGACAACUGUCGGUGCAAGCACUCGGCAGAAGUCUCGGGGACUACACCCACUGGGUUCACUCGGAGUGAACCCACUGCAAAAGAAGCCUAUUGCAUCUGAGUACCUCGCUGUAACACCAAGUGGGUUCCAAGAGGAAUGUAAACACUUACUAGCGCACUUACUCAGAUGUCGUCCCGAAGCUCCAAGCUCUUCUUGUACAGGGACGCGAUGGAGUCAUACGCUCCCUUGGCAUCGCCCACCAUCAGCUCCACCCGCACCAUGGCAUCCUUGGCGGCUCCUACCUGAUCCUCCGGGAGGCGUCGGGCAUCAUAUUGAACAGCCGACGGACCCGGCGCGGCAGAAGGCUCCCUGGGCAUCCCGAGCUCCGCUCCAGUCGGUUCCGCCGUGAGGGCCACCGUCUCAGUCGGCGGCACGUUCAUGGCGGGAUCAGCAGCAGGUUGGAUAACCCCAGGGACAUGCGCCAAAGCUGGCUCCGACCUCCUUUCGUCGUCAUCGUCCAUAUGGAUCACCUCCGAAGGAAGCCCGACUGAACAAAAUAAAAUUACAGAAAAAGGUCAAGAUCAAAGACAGCACUCGCGAAACAGUAAUACAGCUCUCGGAGUCGUGACAACAUACCUUGCUGGGACGUGGUGGCGUUAUCCGUGUCCAUGGGGUCAUCGUUCUGGCGCGGCAGAGAGGUGGCGGAGGUAGCAGCUCUGUUGAGUGAAAUCCACUCGACGGAUAAACAUGAGUUCCCAAAAAGAGGAGUUCAAUCGGAUAUUGAAGGAAGAUGAAAGAGUAAAGAUACCUACGCUGAGGCGACCGGAACAGCGAUCCUCAUCCGGGGCAAGGCUUUCCAAGGUUUAGGCCCACUAGGUUUGGCCACCUUGGACGGCUGGUUCACGGGCUCGGCAGAAGCACCCCUGGUUCUCUUCACGCUCCCAGCACUCGGAGCCACGGGAGGAGCUGGCGGAGCACUCGGGGCCGUGGGAGGAGCCGGCGGAGCAGCAGGGUCAUGAUGGCGCUUGGUUCGGUGCUCUAGUGGUGAGGGUGGCGAGCUCUUCUCUCCAUCCUCCUCCUCCUCCUCCUCUUUCGUCUCCUCCUCCAUCUCCCCACUGUCAAAGACGUACUCGGCGCUAUCCGCGCUGCCCUCCUCUUCCUCGGCUGGAUUCCCGUUCGAGACCGCAGAAUGCCAGUUAGUCCACUCCUACACAAAACACAGUCGGCAACGUCAGUCAGCGGGACAAUAAAAGCAAUAAAGCUGAGAAGAUUAAAAGCACUCGACAACAUGUACUCACCUCAUUCGGAGGAGGAUUUUCGGCGCGGAAGGGCUUCACCCGCCGGGCUCCCACGGGGUUAUCACACGCGCCUGUGAUGUUGCGGACCCACGCACUCACAGUCUCCCCGCUCACGUCCUCUCGAUGAGACCGAGUGGAAUCCGAAGGCCCCGCGUAGUGCCACAUGGCGUGGUCUCGGGCCUGCAGCGGCUGGAUACGCCGACCCAGAAAAGUCUCCAGCAGGUCCGUGCCGGUGACUCCCUUACGGACGACGGCUAUCAGCGCGUCGACCAAAGGCUGGAUCUGGAUCCUUUCUCCCUUAGAGAGCGCAAGCUUCCUGGGAGGGCCCGGACGGUCUAAACUGAAAGGUGGCAACCCACUCGAAGCAUUCGGACAAGCAAUGUCCUAGCAAUAGAACCAGGACAAUUGCCAGUUCCUAACUGACUCGGAUAGCUAGAGGGAGGGAUAGCUACUCUUUGUUUUCUUCUGGAAGCCUAAACCCCCGCAGAGCUGGAGGAUGUGGGUCUUAUCGUCCGACUGGCUAAGCUUUUUGACAGUUUGGGAUGUAGCGGAGAAGACAUACUUAAAGAGCCCCCAGUGGGGAGGACAUCCUAUGAAGCACUCGCAGAGGGUGACGAAUGCAGCAAGGUCAGCUAUUGCGUUCAGAGGAAAGUGAUGGAGUUGCGCCCCGAAGUAAGUCAUGAUACCUCGGAAGAAAGGAUGGGGAGGCAAGGAGUAGCCUCGAGCCACGUGGCUGAGCAGCAGAACGCGCUCCCCCUCCUUCGGCGCCGGCUCCGUCUCGCCCUCCGGCAGCCUCCAGGACUUGUUGGCGACCAUGCCGUGAUCCACCAGCUCCAGCAUGUCGUUCUCCGUCACCGAGGAGGGGAGGAAGUCCCCUUGGAUCCAGCCCGCCGGCAGGGCCCGCUGCCGCCGCUGAGUGGAGGCCGUCCCCUUCUUCUUCUUCUUCUUCUUCUGCGCCUCGAGCUUGCUGGUCUGCCCCUUCGUCAUGGCGAGGACGACGGAUCCGUGGAGGAGGAGAGGCAGGAUAUGGCUUGGGGUGUGCAGAGAGCUGCGGGAGAAGCAACAUUAAUGGGGGGAAGGAUGAGCAGUGCAACAGGAAAUCCCGCCGGGGGAGCUUUAAUAGGCUUCCGACUGGGUCACUUGCAGGUGGACCCAGGAUCUUAUCCCCCCAACCGGCCGCUGCAAGAUUAGUGGAGAAGAUAACGGCACGGUAAUCGAGGAGGCAAAAGCUACUCGAUGGCGAUGUCGUCAUCCCUCCUGAGCACGCGGCAACCGAAAUUUGAGGAUCCCGGAAAAUCCGGCGCUGUCAGUUUGACCAGUCAUGUCGAAAGAUUCUGCAGAAGCACUCAGUCCCUGACAGUUUGUUUCACUGGUAUAUUCACUCGGAUCACUGGCUGAAAGGAUAAAAUGGAUCGAGGCAAACAACGCUAAAGUCACCUCGAUACCACUCGGUUCCAAACUCCAGACGUCACUUCAUUGUUCCAACCCCGAUCCAUUCGGGGACUAAUGAUGGGGUUAUAGUCCCAGGGUAGGGUCAUAGGUCUGCCCUAUAGGUCCUAUCCAAGGACUACCCUUCACAGAAGACAAGGCCCUUAGACAGCCCCGACUGAACUAAGGACACCCCCAUCAUCCAGUCGGCGACGAUCCACUCGGAGCAUAUCUAACGUACCGACUGGAAUCCACUCUGUACAUCGUAACCUCCCAGGAGGGCAACGGUCAUACGUUUUCAUACACCAUUAUUAGCAUUUAAUACUUACGUUACCUGUAACGUAGGCAUUUAUUCGCCACUAUUCCACCCUUGUCCACCGGGCCAUUAUGAAGGGCAGCGCACUCUAUAUAAGCUGCCCUUCCCCACUGGUGCAAGGGUUGGCACUUGCUGUGAUCCUAUAAUCUACUCGACACAAAGCUCCCAAGAGCACUGAGACGUAGGGCUUUUACCUCCACCGUAGAGGGACCUGAACUCAUACAUCCUCGCCGUAGCUAAAGCUCUGCCCAUCCUUUCGUACCCCAUACUUCUACUGUCAGACUUAUACCCACGACACUAGGUUCAUGCGUAGAUGAUAUCUCGAGUAGAACACAAAGGAGUUUGUGGGCGUUGAUGUUGAAUUUGCUGCCCUCCUUAGUCUUUUCUUGGUUCAGCGGUAUUGUUGAAUCGAAGCGGCCCGGACCGACAUUACUCGUACGCUUACGAGAGACUGGUUUCAUUGCUGCCACGCACAUAGUUGCGUGAAAGAUGACUGGCGGGUGCCUGUUUCUUCAGCUUUAGUUGGAUCGGAUUUGACCAAGGUGGUCCUUGGAGAAGGUUAAAUAGCAAUUUAUGCAUCAUCGUUGUGGUUUUUGCGUAAGUAAGAUGCGAUCAUACUAGAUAACCAUAACAGCCACGUAAAACAUGCAACAACAAACUAGAGGACGUCUAACUUGUUUUUGCAGGGUAUGCUUGUGAUGUGAUAUGGCCAACAACAUGAUGCGAUAUAUUGGAUGUAGAGAUGAUCAUGUUGUAAUAGUUAAAUAUCGACUUGCACGUCGAUGCUACGGCAACCGGCAGGAGCCAUAGGGUUGUCUUUAAACUAACGUUUGUGCUUGCAGAUGCGUUACUAUUUUNNNNNNNNNNNNNNNNNNNNNNNNNNNNNNNNNNNNNNNNNNNNNNNNNNNNNNNNNNNNNNNNNNNNNNNNNNNNNNNNNNNNNNNNNNNNNNNNNNNNGUUCGGACACACCAUCACACCAUAGUGUUCCAGGCGGCAUUAUGUGUGAAACAAUUUUCACAUUGUCUUAAAUGUAUACCAAACUCGUAACUCAGAUAUUCAUCUCUAUGAUCAUAUCGUAGACAUGUUAUCCUCAUGUUACGAUGAUCUUCAACUUCACUCUGAAACUUCUUGAACCUUUCAAUAAUUCAGACGUGUGUUUCAUCAAGCAAAUACACUAGUAUCCACCCAAAUCUGCUGUGAAAUAAGAACAUAACGAUAUCCACUGCGUGCCUUAGCACUCAUUGGACUGGAUACAUCAAAUGUAUUACUUCCAAUAAGUUACUCUCUUGUUCCAUCUCAAUGGAAAACGAGGCCUUAAGCCAUCUUACCCAUGUGGCAUGAUUUGCAUGUCUCAAGUGAUUCAAAAUCAAGUGAGUCCUAACGAUCCAUCUGCAUGGAGUUUCUUCAUGCGUUUAUACCAAUAGGUAUGGUUUGCAUGUCUCAAACGUUUCAAAAAUGAGUGAGUACAAAGAUCCAUCAGCAUGGAGCUUAUUCAUGCAUUUUAUACCAACAUGACUCAAGUGGCAGUGCCACAAGUAAGUGGUACUAUCAUUACUACUUUGCAUCUUUUGGCAUCAAUAUUAUGAACAUGUGUAUCACUACGAUCAAGAUUCAAUGAACCAUUUACAUCGGUGUAUGACCAUUGAAGGUAUUAUUCAUGUAAACAGAAUAAAUUUUAUUCUUGGACUUAAAUGAAUAACCGUAUUGCAGUAAACAUGAUCUAACCAUGUUCAUGCUCAACGCAAACACCAAAUAACAAUUAUUUAGGUUCAACACUAAUCCCGAUGGUAGAAGGAGCGUGCGAUGUUGANNNNNNNNNNNNNNNNNNNNNNNNNNNNNNNNNNNNNNNNNNNNNNNNNNNNNNNNNNNNNNNNNNNNNNNNNNNNNNNNNNNNNNNNNNNNNNNNNNNNCAUGGCAUGGCAUGGCGUCCGCUGUGCCAGCACUGUGAUCCCCAUGUCGCUGCCAUGCCGCUCGUGCCGUGCACGCACUGAAGCUCGCCUGCGACGACGCUCCUUUGUUUUUGUCCCUGGCCCUGGCUCCCGUUGCGGGUCGGGUGGCUGCACGAGGAACCGUCGUGUGGCGCCACGGACGGGGCGCCGGUCGACAUGUCGGUCUCCGGGCUCUGCCCGCACGUGGCCUCGCGGCAACCCAUCCGCCAUGGACGGGAGACGUCCACGGGUUCCCAGGCGCCCAGCCCCGGCCAGAUUCCCCCAACAAGGCCUGUGCGUAUCGCCCGCUCGCUGCCCCCCUGCUCCUGUUCCUGCUCCUAUGGCGCCGCGCGCCCGUGCGCGCGUGUNAAUCGAGUGAGUAAUCCUUGGGCUAGUACGUGCACGGCUGGCACUAAACUAAUCUGGCGUACAAAAUUAACUAGCCCCAUCCACACGUCGCCCUCGACCGGUGACAUGAACGCACCCAACAAACACUCGAGGGACGCUCACCCGAUGGACCGCGCGCACAUGCACGCUCAUUAGCUAGAUGCCUAGAGCACAGACGUGUAGCACGCUCGUUAACAAGGAGCAAACGGAGCAAUCCUUUGGCCUAGCCNNNNNNNNNNNNNNNNNNNNNNNNNNNNNNNNNNNNNNNNNNNNNNNNNNNNNNNNNNNNNNNNNNNNNNNNNNNNNNNNNNNNNNNNNNNNNNNNNNNNCUCCUUCUUCUUCUCCUUCUUCUUCUCUUCUUAUUUUUUCUUCUUCUCGUCCUCCUUCUCCUUCUCCUUCCCCUCCUCCUCCUCCUCCUUCUUGUUUUUCUUCUCCUUGUUCUCUUCUUGCUUAUUAAUUUCCCCAACAAUGACAUAAUUAGCCCAUUUAGCUCCAAAAUGCCAUAAUAAGCUCAAAAUGGCAUAAGAACCUUGGUUAGCUCAUUAAUACUAUAUACGUAGCUUGUUUUCCUCUAUAAUGACAUAAUUAGCGCAUCUAACUCCAAAAAGACAUAGUUAGCUAAUUUAUCUCCAAGAAGAGGAGAAGAGGAGAAAUGAAAAGAAGGAAGAAGAAGAAGAGAAAGAGAAGAAUAAGAGAAGGAGGAGGAGGAGAAGAAGAGAAGAAGAAGGAGAAGGAGGAGGAGGAGGAGGAAGAGAAGAAGGAGGAUAAGGAGCCCUCCUUCUUCUCCUUCUUCACUCCUCCUCCUCCUCCUUCUUCUCCUUCCUCUUCCCUUCUUCUUUUUUCUUCUUCUCCUCCUCCUUCUCCUUCUCCUUCCCCACCUCCUCCUCCUCCUCCUCCUUGUUUUUCUUCUCCUUGUUCUCUUCUUGCUUAUUAAUUUCCCCAACAAUGACAUAAUUAGCCCAUUUAGCUCCAAAAUGCCAUAAUAAGCUCAAAAUGGCAUAAGAACCUUGGUUAGCUCAUUAAUACUAUAUACUUAGCUUGUUUUCCUCUGUAAUGAAAUGAUUAGCCCACUUAGCUCCAAAAAGACAUAGUUAGCUAAUUUAGCUCCAAGAAUAGGAGAAGAGGAGAAAUGAAAAGAAGGAAGAAGAAGAAGNNNNNNNNNNNNNNNNNNNNNNNNNNNNNNNNNNNNNNNNNNNNNNNNNNNNNNNNNNNNNNNNNNNNNNNNNNNNNNNNNNNNNNNNNNNNNNNNNNNNGACAUGGCCUCGGAACACAGGAGCCGAAAGGUCGAGCAUGAAUCAUAUGGUUGAUAUGAUCAACAUCGAGAUGUUCACCAUUGAAGCUAAACUCAACUCACGUGAUGAUCGGACUUGAGUUAGUGAAUUUGGAUCAUGCGACACUCGAAUAACUAGAGAGAUGUUUAUUUGAGUGGGAGUUUACUAGUAAUAUGAUUAACUAAACUCAAUUAUCAUGAACAUAGUCAAAAGGUCUUUGCAAAUUUUGUUGUAGCUUGCGUUGUAGCUCUAUUGUUGUUGAUAUGUUCCUAGAGAAAAUUUAGUUGAAAGAUGAUAGUAGCAAUUACGCAGACUGGGUCCGUAAACUGAGGAUUGUCCUCAUUGGUGCACAGAAGGCUUGUGUCCUUAAUGCACCGCUUGAUGACCCACAAGUUGUUGGGGAACAUCGCAUGGGAAACAAAAAAUUUCCUACGCGCACGAAGUCCUAUCAUGGUGAUGAUCAUCUACGAGUGGGAGAACGGAUCUACAUGCCCUUUGUAGAUGAACAGCGGGAAGCGUUUAGACAACGCGGUUGAUGUAGUGGUAUGUCUUCACGAUCCCAUGAACCGUCCAACGAUCCGUCCCGCGAACAGUCCCGCGAUCCAUCCCGAUCAAGUACCGAACGGACGACACCUCCGCGUUCAACACACGUACAGCUCGAUGACGAUCUCCACCUUCUUGAUCUAGCAAGAGAGAUGGGGAGGUAGAUGGGUUCACCGGCAGCCUAACGGCGCUUCGGUGGUGGUGGUGUUGCUGAUCCUGCAGGGCUUCGCAUAAGCUCCACAGAAAACUGAUCUAGAGGAGAAAAGAAGAAGUAGAGGUGUCUAGAUCUGAAUUUUCCCUUGGCAAAAGUUGUCUCAAAUCAGCCAUAGACCACCCGUAUAUAAAGGAGGAAGGGAGGGGAGGAGGCAGCCUCAAACCCUCAAGGUUUGGCCGAAAUUGGAGGUGGAGGAGUCCUACUCCAAUCCUACUUGGAGUAGGAUUCCUCCUUUCCACUUGGAAACUAUUUCCACCUUUUCCACCUUUGGGUUUUUGCCUCUCAAACCUCAUGUGCCUUAGUGGGAACUUAUUCCAGACCACCAGGAACUGGUUUUAUCUCUUCCCACGCCCAUGAGGCCCCUUGGGGCGUGACACCCCUCCCGAUGGUCCCCGGCACCCCUCCCGGCACUCCCGGUACACUACCGAUGAGCCUGAAACUUUUCUGGUGACCAAAACAGGACUUCCUAUAUAUCAAUCUUUGUUUCCGGACCAUUCCGGAACUCCUCGUGACAUCCGGGAUCUCAUCCGGGACUCCAAACAAACUUCGGUCACCAGCACCUAUAACUCCAGUAUACUGAAAUGUCACCGAACCUUAAGUGUGCAGACCUUGCGUGUUCGGGAACUAUGUAGACAUGACCUGAGACACCUCUCAGUCAAUAUCCAAUAGCGGGACCUGGAUGCCCAUAUUGGAUCCUACAUAUUCCACGAUAAUCUUAUCGGUCGAACCUCUAUGCCAAGGAUUCAUAUAAUCUCGUAUAACAUUCCCUUUGUCCUUCGGUAUCACUACUGGAAAACAGUUUUUUGCCAUCUGCCUAGUCUUUGCCGUCUGCUAGAUGACGGCAAAGACACUCUUUGCCAUCAGUUUCAGCAAAACUGACAGCAAAGAACUGGUUGAUGGCAAAGAAGGUCUUUGCCAGCAGUGAACUCUUUGUCGUCUGCCGCAGACGGCAAAGAAGGGGCCAGCAGACGGCAAAGAAGGGAGUAGUUUGACUUAAGGUUCCCCCGGCCAGAUGAGCUUCUUUGCCGUCUGCNNNNNNNNNNNNNNNNNNNNNNNNNNNNNNNNNNNNNNNNNNNNNNNNNNNNNNNNNNNNNNNNNNNNNNNNNNNNNNNNNNNNNNNNNNNNNNNNNNNNNNNNNNNNNNNNNNNNNNNNNNNNNNNNNNNNNNNNNNNNNNNNNNNNNNNNNNNNNNNNNNNNNNNNNNNNNNNNNNNNNNNNNNNNNNNNNNNNNNNNNNNNNNNNNNNNNNNNNNNNNNNNNNNNNNNNNNNNNNNNNNNNNNNNNNNNNNNNNNNNNNNNNNNNNNNNNNNNNNNNNNNNNNNNNNNNNNNNNNNNNNNNNNNNNNNNNNNNNNNNNNNNNNNNNNNNNNNNNNNNNNNNNNNNNNNNNNNNNNNNNNNNNNNNNNNNNNNNNNNNNNNNNNNNNNNNNNNNNNNNNNNNNNNNNNNNNNNNNNNNNNNNNNNNNNNNNNNNNNNNNNNNNNNNNNNNNNNNNNNNNNNNNNNNNNNNNNNNNNNNNNNNNNNNNNNNNNNNNNNNNNNNNNNNNNNNNNNNNNNNNNNNNNNNNNNNNNNNNNNNNNNNNNNNNNNNNNNNNNNNNNNNNNNNNNNNNNNNNNNNNNNNNNNNNNNNNNNNNNNNNNNNNNNNNNNNNNNNNNNNNNNNNNNNNNNNNNNNNNNNNNNNNNNNNNNNNNNNNNNNNNNNNNNNNNNNNNNNNNNNNNNNNNNNNNNNNNNNNNNNNNNNNNNNNNNNNNNNNNNNNNNNNNNNNNNNNNNNNNNNNNNNNNNNNNNNNNNNNNNNNNNNNNNNNNNNNNNNNNNNNNNNNNNNNNNNNNNNNNNNNNNNNNNNNNNNNNNNNNNNNNNNNNNNNNNNNNNNNNNNNNNNNNNNNNNNNNNNNNNNNNNNNNNNNNNNNNNNNNNNNNNNNNNNNNNNNNNNNNNNNNNNNNNNNNNNNNNNNNNNNNNNNNNNNNNNNNNNNNNNNNNNNNNNNNNNNNNNNNNNNNNNNNNNNNNNNNNNNNNNNNNNNNNNNNNNNNNNNNNNNNNNNNNNNNNNNNNNNNNNNNNNNNNNNNNNNNNNNNNNNNNNNNNNNNNNNNNNNNNNNNNNNNNNNNNNNNNNNNNNNNNNNNNNNNNNNNNNNNNNNNNNNNNNNNNNNNNNNNNNNNNNNNNNNNNNNNNNNNNNNNNNNNNNNNNNNNNNNNNNNNNNNNNNNNNNNNNNNNNNNNNNNNNNNNNNNNNNNNNNNNNNNNNNNNNNNNNNNNNNNNNNNNNNNNNNNNNNNNNNNNNNNNNNNNNNNNNNNNNNNNNNNNNNNNNNNNNNNNNNNNNNNNNNNNNNNNNNNNNNNNNNNNNNNNNNNNNNNNNNNNNNNNNNNNNNNNNNNNNNNNNNNNNNNNNNNNNNNNNNNNNNNNNNNNNNNNNNNNNNNNNNNNNNNNNNNNNNNNNNNNNNNNNNNNNNNNNNNNNNNNNNNNNNNNNNNNNNNNNNNNNNNNNNNNNNNNNNNNNNNNNNNNNNNNNNNNNNNNNNNNNNNNNNNNNNNNNNNNNNNNNNNNNNNNNNNNNNNNNNNNNNNNNNNNNNNNNNNNNNNNNNNNNNNNNNNNNNNNNNNNNNNNNNNNNNNNNNNNNNNNNNNNNNNNNNNNNNNNNNNNNNCAUUUAGCUCCAAAAUGCUAUAAUAAGCUCAAAAUGGCAUAAGAACCUUGGUUAGCUCAUUAAUACUAUAUACUUAGCUUGUUCUCCUCUAUAAUGACAUAAUUAGCGCAUCUAGCUCCAAAAAGACAUUGUUAGCUAAUUUAGCUCCAAGAAGAGGAGAAGAGGAGAAAUGUAAAGAAGGAAGAAGAAGAAGAAGAGAAAGAGAAGAAUAAGAGUAAGGAGAAGGAGAAGAAGAAGAAGGAGGAGCAGAAGAAGAGAAGAAGAAGGAGAAGGAGGAGGAGGAGAAGGAAGAGAAGAAGGAGGAGGAGGAGGAGAAGGAGCCCUCCUUCUUCUCCUUCUUCUCCUUCUUCUUCUCCUUCUUCUUUUUUCUUCUUCUCCUCCUCCUUCUCCUUCUCCUUCCCCUCCUCCUCAUCCUCCGUCUUGUUUUUCUUCUCCUUGUUCUCUUCUUGCUUAUUAAUUUCCCCAACAAUGACAUAAUUAGCUCAUUUAGCUCCAAAAUGCCAUAAUAAGCUCAAAAUGGCAUAAAACCUUGGUUAGCUCAUUAAUACUAUAUACUUAGCUUGUUUUCCUCUAUAAUGACAUAAUUAGCCCAUUUAGCUCCAAAAUGACAUAGUUAGCUAAUUUAGCUCCAAGAAGAGGAGAAGAGGAGAAAUGAAAAGAAGGAAGAAGAAAAAAAGAAAGAGAAGAAGAAGAGAAGGAGAAGGAGAAGAAGAAGGAGGAUGAGGAGAAGAAGAGAAGAAGAAGGAGAAGGAGGAGGAGGAGGAGCAAGAGAAGAAGGAGGAGGAGGAGAAGGAGCCCUCCUUCUUCUCCUUCUUCACUCCUCCUUCUUCUCCUUCUUCUUCUCCUUCUUCUUCCCUUCUUCUUUUUUCUUCUUCUCCUCCUCCUUCUCCUUCUCCUUCCCCUCCUCCUCCUCCUCCUCCUCCUUGUUUUUCUUAUCCUUGUUCUCUUCUUGCUUAUUAAUUUCCCCAACAAUGACAUAAUUAGCCCAUUUAGCUCCAAAAUACCAUAAUAAGCACAAAAUGGCAUAAGAACCUUGGUUAGCUCAUUAAUACUAUAUACUUAGCUUGUUUUCCUCUGUAAUGACAUAAUUAGCCCAUUUAGCUCCAAAAAGACAUAGUUAGCUAAUUUAGCUCCAAGAAUAGGAGAAGAGGAGAAAUGAAAAGAAGGAAGAAGAAGAAGUGAAAGAGAAUAAGAAGAGAAGGAGAAGGAGAAGAAGAAGGAGGAGGAGGAGAAGAAGAGAAGGAGAAGGAGAAGGAGGAGGAGGAGGAGGAAGAGAAGAAGAAGGAGGAGGAGGAGGGGGGAAGGAGCCCUCCUUCUUCUUCUCUCCUCCUUCUUCUCCUUCUUCUUUUGUUCUUCUUUUUUCUUCUUCUCCUCCUCCUUCUCCUUCUACUUACCCUCCUCCUCCUCCUUCUUGUUUUUCUUCUCCUUGUUCUCUUCUUGCUUCUUUUCUUUCUUCCUCAAUUUAGCUUAAUUGUCAUAUAUAUGUUGUUGUUGUUCUUUUUCUGACUUUCUUAUUCCCAUUUUGCAGAUUGGAUAUACUACAUGCAUGGAAGCUGACAUUGAUGGAGUGCUUUAGUUCUAGUUUUCAUUUGAGUUGAUGAACAAUGUGGAAUUAUAUGUAUAUGUAUAUAUGGAUGAACAGUAUAUGUGAAACUAUAUGUGAAACUUUGUAUGUGUUGCUUAUUUUGAUAUAUGGGAUGUAUGUUGAUGAACAAAUGGCAUUGAUGAGCUUUAUAUGUAUAUCAUAUAUGUGUUGUGACCUAAUUAUCAUACAUGUGCUAUGAAUUAUAUAUGUAUGUGCUGUGAAAUAGAAAAAAUAAACAAAAAUGUGACAAUAUAGGCUCUUUGUCGUCUGCCAGCUGAUGGCAAAGGCCUUUGCCAUCAGGCAGCAGACGGCAAAGGUGCCACGUGGUGCCCAGUUGUGCAACCUGGGCAGCAGCAGCUGGCCAUAUAUUAUCUUUGCCGUCUGCUUCCUGGGGGGCGGACGCCAAAGAAGAGGGCACAAAGGAGGGGGGAGGAGGUGGAGGNNNNNNNNNNNNNNNNNNNNNNNNNNNNNNNNNNNNNNNNNNNNNNNNNNNNNNNNNNNNNNNNNNNNNNNNNNNNNNNNNNNNNNNNNNNNNNNNNNNNNNNNNNNNNNNNNNNNNNNNNNNNNNNNNNNNNNNNNNNNNNNNNNNNNNNNNNNNNNNNNNNNNNNNNNNNNNNNNNNNNNNNNNNNNNNNNNNNNNNNNNNNNNNNNNNNNNNNNNNNNNNNNNNNNNNNNNNNNNNNNNNNNNNNNNNNNNNNNNNNNNNNNNNNNNNNNNNNNNNNNNNNNNNNNNNNNNNNNNNNNNNNNNNNNNNNNNNNNNNNNNNNNNNNNNNNNNNNNNNNNGCAGACGGCAAAGAAGAGGGGGGAGGCAGACGGCAAAGAAGGUAGGAGGCAAACGGCAAAGCCUCCGUUAGCCCGUAACGGAGGCAACGCCUGUCGGCUGCCGUCUCGACCUCUUUGCCGACAACUCUUAUGAAAAGCUGAUGGCAAAGAUCUUUGCCAUCCGCUUAGGUGAGGCAGACGGCAAAGAAGCUACAAUGACGUCGUAGGAUGACGCAGAAAUUUUGCCGACAGUGGGAUUCUUUGCCGUCUGGGAUAUACUCUUUGCCGUCCGGGAUAUACUCUUUGCCGUCCGUGAUGGCAGACGGCAAAGAAGGUAAUUCCUGUAGUUUAUGUUACUUGCCCGAGAUUCGAUCGUCGGUAUCCAAUACCUAUUUCAAUCUCGUUACCGGCAAGUCUCUUUACUCGUUCCGUAAUACAAGAUCCCGUGGCUAACAUCUUAGGCACAUUGCUUGCAAGGCUUGUUUGCGAUGUUGUAUUACCGAGUGGGCUCCGAGAUACCUCUCCGUCACACGGAGUGACAAAUCCCAGUAUUGAUCCAUGCUAACUCAACUGACAUCUUCGGAGAUACCUGUAGUGCACCUUUAUAAUCACCCAGUUAUGUUGUGACGUUUGAUAUACAAAAAGCAUUCCUCCGAUGUCAGUGAAUUACAUGAUCUCAUGGUCAUAGGGAUAUAUACUUGACAUGCAGAACACAGUAGCAACAAAAUGACACGAUCACAUGCUACGUUCAUAUAUUAGGCCUUCAUCCAUCACAUGAUUCUCACAAUGAUGUGAUCCCGUUAUCAAGUGACAACACUUGUCUAUGGCUAGGAAACCUUAGCCAUCCUUGACCAACGAGCUAGUCAACUAGAGGCUCACUAGGGACAGUGUUUUGUCUAUGUAUCCACACAUGUAUUUGAGUUUCCAAUCAAUACAAUUAUAGCAUGGAUAAUAAACGAUUAUCUUGAACAAGGAAAUAUAAUAAUAACUAAUUUAUUAUUGCCUCUAGGGCAUAUUUCCAACAGUCUCCCACUUGCACUAGAGUCAAUAAUCUAGUUACAUUGUGAUGUAUCGAACACCCAUAGAGUUCUGGUGUUGAUCAUGUUUUACUCGUGGAAGCGGUUUAGUCAACGGAUCUGCAACAUUCAGAUCCGUAUGUACUUUACAAAUAUCUAUGUAUCCUUCCUAAAUGUAAUCACGAAUGGAGUUGAAGCGGCGCUUGAUGUGCUUGGUCUUCCUGUGAAACCUGGGCUCCUUGGCUAUGGCAAUAGCUACAGUGUUGCCACAGAAAAGUGCCAUCGGACCUGAUGCACUUGGAAUCACUCCAAGGUCGGUGAUGAACUCCUUCAUCCGGAUCCCUUCUUGAGCUGCUUCCGAAGCAGCUAUGUACUCCGCUUCACAUGUAGAUGUCGCCACGACGCUUUGCUUGCAGCUGCACCAGCUCACUGCCCCACCAUUCAGAACGUACACGUAUCCGGUUUGCGACUUAGAGUCAUCCGGAUCUGUGUCGAAUCUAGCAUCAACGUAACCCUUUACGAUGAGAUCUUCAGCACCUCCAUACACGAGAAACAUAUCCUUGGUCCAUUUCAGGUAUUUAAGGAUAUUCUUGACCGUUAUCCAGUGCUCCAUACCUGGAUCACUUUGGUACCUCCCUACCAAGCUGACAGCAAGGUUUACAUCGGGUCUGGUACACAGCAUGGCAUACAUAAUAGAGCCUAUGGCUGAAGCAUAGGGGAUGGUACUCAUCUUUUCUCUAUCUUCUGCCGUGGUCGGUGAUUGAGUCUUACUCAAUCUCACACCUUGCAAUACAGGCAAGAACCCCUUCUUUGCAUUUUCCAUAUUGAACUUCUUCAAUAUCUUGUCAAGGUAUGUACUUUGUGAAAGACCUAUGAGGCGUCUCGAUCUAUCUCUAUAGAUCUUAAUGCCUAAUAUGUAUGCAGCUUCUCCAAGGUCCUUCAUUGAAAAACUCUUAUUCAAAUAGGCCUUUAUGCUUUCCAAGAGUUCUAUAUCAUUUCCCAUCAGCAAUAUGUCAUCCACAUACAGUAUGAGAAAUGCUACAGAGCUCCCACUCACUUUCUUGUAAAUACAGGCCUCUCCAUAGGUCUGUAUAAACCCAAACGCUUUAAUCACCUCAUUAAAGCGAGUGUUCCAACUCCGAGAUGCUUGCACCAACCCAUAGAUGGAGCGCUGGAGCUUGCAUACUUUGUUAGCACCUUUAGGAUCGACAAAACCCUCUGGUUGCAUCAUAUACAAUUCUUCCUUAAGGAAGCCAUUGAGGAAUGCCGUUUUGACGUCCAUUUGCCAGAUUUCAUAAUCAUAAAAUGCGGCAAUUGCUAACAUGAUUUGGAUAGACUUCAGCAUCGCUACGGGUGAAAAAGUCUCAUCGUAGUCAACCCCUUGAACUUGUCGAUAACCCUUAGCGACAAGUCGAGCUUUAUAGACGGUCACAUUACCGUCCGCGUCUGUCUUCUUCUUGAAGAUCCAUUUAUUUUCUAUGGCUCGCCGAUCGUCGGGCAAGUCCACCAAAGUCCAUACUUUGUUUUCAUACAUGGAUCCUAUCUCGGAUUUCAUGGCCUCAAGUCAUUUGUUGGAAUCCGAGCCCGCCAUCGCUUCUUCAUAGUUCGAAGGUUCACCGUUGUCUAACAACAUGAUUUCCAUGACAGGGUUGGUGUACCACUCAGGUGCAGAACGUACCCUUGUCGACCUUCGAGGUUCAAUAGCAACUUGAUCCGGAGCUUCAUGAUCAUCAUCAUGAACUUCUUCUCUAGUUGGCGCAGGCACUUCAGAAACGUUUUCUUGUGCUGCAUUACUCUCCAGUUCGAGAGGAGGCAUGAUUACCUCAUCAAGUUCUAUUUUCCUCCCACUCACUUCUUUCGAGAGAAACUCUUUCUCCAGAAAGGAUCCGUUCUUGGCAACAAAGAUUUUGCCUUUGGAUCUAUGGUAGAAGGUGUACCCAAUAGUUUCCUUUGGGUAUCCUAUGAAGACGCAUUUCUCCGCUUUGGGUUCGAGAUUCUCUGGUUGAAGUUUCUUCACAUAAGCAUCGCAGCCCCAAACUUUCAGAAACGACAGCUUAGGUUUCUUGCCAAACCAUAGUUCAUACGGUGUCGUUUCAAAGGAUUUAGACGGUGUCCUAUUUAAAGUGAAUGCGGCAGUUUCCAAUGCAUAUCCCCAAAAUGAUAGCGGCAAGUUGGUAAGAGACAUCAUGGAUCGCACCAUAUCUAAUAGAGUGCGAUUACGAUGUUCAGACACACCGUUACGCUGCGGUGUGCCAGGCGGCGUGAGUUGUGAAACGAUUCCACAUUUCCUUAAGUGUGUGCCAAAUUCAUGACUCAAAUAUUCUCCUCCACGAUCAGAUCGUAGACACUUUAUUUUCUUGUCACGUUGAUUCUCUACCUCACUCUGAAAUUCCUUGAACUUUUCAAAGGUUUCAGACUUGUGUUUCAUCAAGUAGACAUAUCCAUAUCUACUUAAGUCAUCAGUGAGGGUGAGAACAUAACGAUAGCCACCGUGAGCCUCAACGCUCAUUGGUCCGCAUACAUCAGUAUGUAUUAUUUCCAAUAAGCUGGUUGCUCUCUCCAUCGUUCCAGAGAACGGUGUCUUGGUCAUCUUGCCCAUGAGGCACGGUUCGCAUGUGUCAAAUGAUUCAAAAUCAAGAUACUCUAAAAGUCCAUCUGUAUGGAGUUUCUUCAUGCGCUUGACACCGAUAUGACCAAGGCGGCAGUGCCACAAGUAUGUGGGACUAUCAUUAUCAACUUUGCAUUUCUUGGCACAGACACUAUGUAUGUGUGUAUCACGAUCGAGAUUCAUUAGGAAUAAACCAUUAACCAGCAGAGCAUGACCGUAGAACAUUCCACUCAUAUAAAUAGAACAACCAUUAUUCUCAUAUUUAAAUGAGUAGCCAUCUUGCAUUAAGCGAGAUCCAGAUACAAUGUUCAUGCUCAAAGCUGGUACUAAAUAACAAUUAUUGAGGUUUAUAACUAAUCCCGAAGGUAGUUGUAGAGGUAGCUUGCCGAUGCCGAUCACAUCGACCUUGGAACCAUUCCCGACGCGCAUCGUCACCUCGUCCUUGGCCAGCCUACGCUUGUUCUGUAGUUCCUGCUUAGAGUCCCAAAUAUGAGCAACAACACCGGUAUCAAAUACCCAGGAGCUACUACGAGCGCUGGUGAGCUACACAUCAAUGACAAGUAUAUCAUAUAUACCUUGAAUUUUGCCGUCCUUCUUGUCUGCUAAGUACUUGGGGCAGUUGCGCUUCCAGUGACUCGUCCCCUUGCAGUAGUAGCACUCUGUCUCAGGCUUGGGUCCUUUCUUUGACUUCUUCCCGGCAACUCGCUUACCGGGCGCGGCAACAACUUUGCCGUCUUUCUUGAAGUUCUUCUUCUUUCCCUUGCCUUUCUUGUAACUGGUGGUCUUGUUGACCAUCAACACUUGAUGCUCUUUCUUGAUUUCUACCUCCGCAGAUUUCAGCAUUGAAUACAACUCGGGAAUGGAUUUCUCCAUCCCUUGCAUGUCGUAAUUCAUCACAAAGCCUUUAUAGCUAGGUGGGAGCGACUGGAGGAUUCUGUCAAUGACCGCAUCAUCCGGAGGUUUGACUCCCAGUUGAGUCAGACGACCGUGCAACCCAGACAUUCUGAGUAUGUGCUCACUAACAGAACUGUUUUCCUCCAUCUUGCAGCUAAAGAACUUGUCGGAGACUUCAUAUCUCUCGACCCGGGCAUGAGCUUGAAAAACAAGUCUCAGCUCCUGGAACAUCUCAUAUGGUCCAUGUUGCUCAAAACGCCUUUGGGGCCCCGGUUCUAAGUUGUAGAGCAUGCCGCACUGAACGAGGGAGUAGUCAUCACUCCGCGCCUGCCAGACGUUCCUAACGUACUCGGUUGCCGCGGGUACGGGAGGGUCACCUAGCGGUGCAUCAAGGACAUAUGCCUUCUCGGAAGCUAUUAGGAUAAGCUUCAAGUUACGGACCCAGUCCGCAUAGUUACUACCAUCGUCUUUCAACUUGGUUUUCUCUAGGAACGCGUUGAAGUUCAGUGGGACAUUAGCGUUGGCCAUUGGAUCUUCAAUAUUUGUAAAACAUCUUUAGACUAAGUUCAUGAUAAUCAAGUUCAUUUAAUCAAAUUACUAAUGAACUCCCACUUAGAUAGACAACCCUCUAGCCAUCCAAGUGUUACAUGAUCCACAUCAACUAGCCCGUGUCCGAUCAUCACGUGAGACGGACUAGUCAUCAAUGGUGAGCAUCUCCAUACUGAUCGUAUCAACCAUACGACUCAUGUUCGACCUUUCGGUCUCUUGUAUUCGAGGCCAUGUCUGUACAUGCUAGGCUCGUCGAGUCAACCUAAGUGUUCUGCAUGUGUAAACUGGCUUACACCUGUUGUAUGCGAACGUUAGAAUUUAUCACACCCGAUCAUCACGUGGUGCUUCGAGACAACGAUCAUUCACAAUGGUGCACACUUAGGGGAAUACAUUCUCGAAAUUUUAUGAGGGAUCAUCUUAUCUUUGCUACCGUCAUUCUAAGCAAUAAGAUGUAAAACAUGAUAAACAUCACAUGCAAUCAUAUAGUGACAUGAUAUGGCCAUAUCAUCUUGCUCCUUGGAUCUCCAUCUUUGGGGCGCCAUGAUCAUCAAUGUCACUGGCAUGACACCAUGAUCUCCAUCAUCGUGUCUCCGUGGAGCCGUCACGCCAAUCUAUUACUACUAUUAUAGCUAACGUUUAGCAAUGAAGUAAAGUAAUCACAUGGCGUUUUCAUCUCAUACAAUAAAUUAAGACAACUCCGUUGGCUCCUGCUGGUAGUCAUACUCAUAGACAUGCAAGUCGUGAAUCCUAUUACAAGAACAUGAUCAUCUCAUACAUCACACAUGCAUCAUCACAUUCUUUUGGCCAUAUCACAUCACAUGUCAUUCCCUGCAAAAACAAGUUAGACGUCCUCUAAUUGUUGUUGCAAGUUUUACGUGGCUGAUUUGGGUUUGUCGCAAGAACGCUCCUUACCUACGUGACAGCCACAACAUUGAUAUGCUAAUGCUAUUUACCCUUCAUAAGGACCCUUUUCAUCGAAUCCGAUCUGACUAAAGUGGGAGAGACAGACACCCGCUAGCCACCUUCUGCAACUAGUGCAUGUCAGGCGGUGGAACCAGUCUCGCGUAAGCGUACGCGUAAAGUCAGUCCGGGCCGCUUCAUCCCACGAUGCCGCCGAAUCAAGAUAAGACUAGUAGCGGCAAGCAAUUAACAUAACAGCGCCCACAACCUUUGUGUUCUACUCGUGCAUAGAAUCUACGCAUAGAAACCUUGGCUCUGAUGCCACUGUUGGUGAACGUAGUAAUUUCAAAAAACUUCCUACGCCAAUCAAGGAUCUAUCUAUGGAGAGACCAGCAACGAUAUAAGGAUUAGAGUAUCUUCGUACCCCAGAAGAUGGCUAGCGGAAGCGUUGCACAAUCGCGGUUGGUGGAGUCGUACUCGCAGCGAUCCCGAUCGCGGUCGAUUCCGAUCUAUGUGCCGAAACACGGCACCUCCGCGUUCAACACACGUGCAGCUCGGUGACGUCUCCUUCACCUUGAACCAGCAAGGAUGAGGGAGAGGUUAGGGAAGGGCUCCGGCAGCACGACGGAAUGGUGGCGAUGGAGCUAUGAGGUCUCCCGGCAGGGCUUCACCAAGCACCGACGGAGAGAAGGAGGAGGAAGAGUAGGGCUGCGCCGUGGGAGAGGGUUAUUCGUGUGUUCCGAAUGGCCAAAGUGCCCACUAUAUAUAGGAGGAGGGAGGGGCUGCGCCCCCCCCUUAGGGUUUCCCCCUUGUGGGAGGGGCGGUAGCCCUAGAUGGGGCUGGUUGGUGCGGCCAGGAGGGGAGGAGGGGGAGGCGCACCCUCUGGUGGGCCUUAGGCCCACCUGCGCUAGGGUUUGCCCCCUCUCCCCACUUAUUUCGCCUUGGGCCCCUUGGUGGUAGCGCACCAGCCCACUUUGGGCUGGUUGCCCACCACCUUUUGGCCCAUGCUACCUCUUGGGGUGGUGGCCCCCUUCCUGUGGACCCCCGGGACUAUUCCCGGUGGUUCCGGUACGUUACCGGUGACGCCCGAAACACUUCCGGUGUCCAAACCCAUCCAUCCUAUAUAUCAAUCUUCAUCUCCGGACCAAUCCGGAAUUCCUCAUGACGUGCGGGAUCUCAUCCGGGACNGAUGAUCUCAUCGGAUGAACCACGAUGUCAAGGAUUCAAUCAAUCACGUACAUGAUUCCCUUUGUCUAUCGGUAUGAUACUUGCCCGAGAUUCGAUCGUCGGUAUCCCCAUACCUUGUUCAAUCUCGUUACCGGCAAGUCUCUUUACUCUUUCCAUAUCACAUCAUCCCGUGGCUAACUCCUUAGUCACAUUGAUCUCAUGAUGAUGUUCUACCGAGUGGGCCCAGAGAUACCUCCCCACUGUGUGGAGUGACAAAUCCCGGUCUCGAUUCAUACCAACCCAACAGACACUUUCAGAGAUACCCAUAGUGCACCUUUAUAGUCACCCAGUUACGUUGUGACGUUUGGUACACCCAAAGCAUUCCUACGGUAUCCGGGAGUUGCACAAUCUCACGGUCUAAGGAAAAGAUACAUUGACAUUAUAAAAGCUUUAGCAUACGAACAACACGAUCUAGUGCUAUGCUUAGGAUUGGGUCUUGUCCAUCACAUCAUUCUCCAAUGAUGUGAUGCCGUUAUCAAUGACAUCCAAUGUCCAUGAUCAGGAAACCAUGAUCAUCUAUUGAUCAACGAGCUAGCCAACUAGAGGCACACUUAUAGCAUGAAUAAUAGACAAUUACCAUGAACUGGAAAUAUAAUAAUAACCACUUUAUUAUUGCCUCUAGGGCAUAUUUCCAACACUCACGAUCAUCAAGUAGUUCUUCCAAAGUCCAUACUUUGUUUUCACACAUGGAUCCUCUCUCGGAUUUCAUGGCCUCCAGCCAUUUGUCGGAAUCUGGGCCCACCAUCGCUUCUUCACAGCUCGUAGGUUCAUUGUUGUCCAGCAACAUGACCUCCAAGACAGGAUUGCUGUGCUACUGUCGAGCAGCGUGUAUCCUUGUCGACCUACGAGGUUUAGUAGUGACUUGAUCUGAAGCUACAUGAUCACCAUCAUUGGCUUCCACUCCAACUAGUGUAGGCGCCACAUGAACAACUUCAUGUGCCCUGCCACACUCUGGUUGAAGUGACGGUUCAAUAACCUCAUCAAGUUCCUCCACACUCCCACUCAAUUCUUUCGAGAGAAACUUUUCCUUGAGAAAGGACAUGUUUCCAGAAACAAACACUUUGCUUCCGGAUCUGAGAAAGGAGGUAUACCUAACUGAUUUGGGCGUCCUAUGAAGAUGGAUUUAUCCGCUUUGGGUUUGAGCUUAUCAUGCUGAAACUUUUUCACAUAAACGUCGCAGCCCCAAACUUUUAAGAAACGCAUCUUAGGUUUCUCCAAACCAUAGUCUAUAUUGUGUCAUCUCAACGAAAAUACGUGGUGACCUAUUUCAAGUGAAUGCGGUUGUCUCUAAUGCAUAACCCAUAAAUGAUUGUGGUAAUUCGAUAAGAGACAUCAUAGUAUGCACCAUAUAUAAUAGGAUGCACCUACGAUGUUCGGACACACCAUCACACCAUAGUGUUCCAGGCGGCAUUAUGUGUGAAACAAUUUUCACAUUGUCUUAAAUGUAUACCAAACUCGUAACUCAGAUAUUCAUCUCUAUGAUCAUAUCGUAGACAUGUUAUCCUCUUGUUACAACGAUCUUCAACUUCACUCUGAAACUUCUUGAACCUUUCAAUAAUUCAGACGUGUGUUUCAUCAAGCAAAUACACUAGUAUCCACCCAAAUCUGCUGUGAAAUAAGAACAUAACGAUAUCCACUGCGUGCCUUAGCACUCAUUGGACUGGAUACAUCAAAUGUAUUACUUCCAAUAAGUUACUCUCUUGUUCCAUCUCAAUGGAAAACGAGGCCUUAAGCCAUCUUACCCAUGUGGCAUGAUUUGCAUGUCUCAAGUGAUUCAAAAUCAAGUGAGUCCUAACGAUCCAUCUGCAUGGAGUUUCUUCAUGCGUUUAUACCAAUAGGUAUGGUUUGCAUGUCUCAAACGUUUCAAAAAUGAGUGAGUACAAAGAUCCAUCAGCAUGGAGCUUAUUCAUGCAUUUUAUACCAACAUGACUCAAGUGGCACUGCCACAAGUAAGUGGUACUAUCAUUACUACUUUGCAUCUUUUGGCAUCAAUAUUAUGAACAUGUGUAUCACUACGAUCAAGAUUCAAUGAACCAUUUACAUCGGUGUAUGACCAUUGAAGGUAUUAUUCAUGUAAACAGAAUAACUUUUAUUCUUGGAGUUAAAUGAAUAACCGUAUUGCAGUAAACAUGAUCUAACCAUGUUCAUGCUCAACGCAAACACCAAAUAACAAUUAUUUAGGUUCAACACUAAUCCCGAUGGUAGAAGGAGCGUGCGAUGUUGAUCAUAUCAACCUUGGAAACACUUUCAACACAUCGUCACCUCACCUUUAGCUAGUCUCCGUUUAUUCCGUAGCUUUUCAUUUCGAGUUACUAACACUUAGCAACCGAACCGGUAUCUAAUACCCUCAUGCUAUUAGGAGUACUAGUAAAGAACACAUCAAUAUCAUGUAUAUCCAAUAUACGUUUGUCGACUUUGCCAGCCUUCUCAUCUACCAAGUAUCUAGGGUAGUUCCGCUUCAGUGACUUUCCCCCUUACAACAGAAGCACUCAGUCUUGGGUUUGGGUUCAACCUUGGGUUUCUUCACUAGAGCAGCAACUGGUUUGCCGUUUCAUGAAGUAACUCCUUCUUGCCCUUGCCCUUCUUGAAACUAGUGGUUUUACUAACCAUCAACAAUUGAUGCUCCAAUAUGAUUUCUACUUUCGCGGUGUCGAACAUCACAAAUAGCUCAAGGAUCAUCAUAUCUAUCCUUGAUCUGUUAUAGUUCAUCACUAAGCUCUAGUAGCUUGGUGACAGUGACUUUGGAGAACUAUGUCAGUCACUAUCUUAUCUGGAAGAUCAACUCCCACUCGAUUCAAGUGAUUGUAGCACUCAAACAAUCUGAGCACAUGCUCAACGAUUGAGCUUUUCUCCCUUACUUUGUAGACAAAGAAUCUUGUCGAAGGUCUUAUAACUAUCAACGAGGGCACGAGCAUGAAAUCCCAAUUUCAUCUCUUGGAACAUCUCAUAUGUUCUGUGACGUUCAGAACGUCUUUGGCGCCAUAAUUCUAAGCCGUUUAAGCAUUAAGCACUGAACUAUCACGUAGUCAUCAAGAACGUGCAUGUCAGAUGUUCGCAACAUCCACACACGACACUCGAGGUUCAGCAUACCGAGCGGUGCAUUAAGGACAUAAGCUUUCUGCGCAGCAAUGAGGACAAUCCUUAGUUUACGGACCCAGUCCGCAUAAUUGCUACUAUCAUCUUUCAACUAAAAUUUCUCUAGGAACAUAUCAACAACAGUAGAGCUACAGCGCAAGCUACAACAUAAUUUGCAAAUACCUUUUGACUAUGUUCAUGAUAAUUUUAGUUAAUCAUAUUACUAAUAAACUCCCACUCAAAUAAACAUCUCUCUAGUUAUUCGAAUGUCGCAUGAGCCAAAUUCACUAACUCAAGUCCGAUCAUCACGUGAGUUGAGUUUAGCUUCAAUGGUGAACAUCUCCAUGUUGAUCAUAUCAACCAUAUGAUUCAUGCUCGACCUUUCAGUCUCCAGUGUUCCGAGGCCAUGUCUGUACAUGCUAGGCUCGUCAAGUUAAACCCGAGUGUUCCGCGUGUGCAACUGUUUUGCACCCGUUGUAUGUGAACGUUGAGUCUAUCACACCCGAUCAUCAUGUGGUGUCUCGAAACGACGAACUGUCGCAACGGUGCACAGUCGGGGAGAACACAAUUUAUCUUGAUAAUUUGUGAUAGAUCACCUUAUAAUGGUACCGCCGUUACUAAGCAAGAUAAGGUGCAUAAAAGGAUUAACAUCACAUGCAAAUCAUAAGUGACAUGAUAUGGCCAUGAACUUGUGCUUCUUGAUCUCCAUCAUCAAAGCACCGGCAUGAUCUCCAUCGUCACCGGCGCAUCACCAUGAUCUCCAUCAUCAUGAUCUCCAUCAUUGUGCCGCCAUCGUGGUUGUCAUGCUAUCUAUGCUAUUACUACUAAAGCUACUCCUAGCAAAAAAUAGUAACGCAUCUGCAAGCACAAACGUUAGUUUAAAGACAACCCUAUGGCUCCUGCCGGGUGCCGUAGCAUCGACGUGCAAGUCGAUAUUUAACUAUUACAACAUGAUCAUCUCAUACAUCACAUAUAUCACAUCAUGUCAUUGGCCAUAUCACAUCACAAGCAUACCCUGCAAAAACAAGUUAGACGUCCUCUAAUUUGUUGUUGCAUGUUUUACGUGGCUGCUAUGGGUAUCUAGUAAGAUCGCAUCUUAGCUACGCAAAAACCACAACGGUGAUGCAUAAAUUGCUAUUUAACCUUCUCCAAGGACCAUCUUGGUCAAACCCAAUCCAACUAAAGCUAAAGAAACAUGCACCCACCAGUCACCUUGAUGCAAUCUCAUUGCAUGUUAACGGUGAAACCAGUCUCACGUAAGCGUACGAGUAAUGUCAGUCUGGGCCGCUUCGAUUCAACAAUACCGCGGAACCAAGAGAAGACUAAGGAAGGCAGCAAAAUAAACAUCAACGCCCACAAACUCCUUUGUGUUCUACUCGAGAUAUCAUCUACGCAUGAACCUAGCUCAUGAUGCCACUGUUGGGGAACGUUGCAUGAGAAACAAAAAUUUUCCUACGCGCACGAAGUCCUAUCAUGGUGAUGAUCAUCUAAGAGUGGGAGAACGGAUCUACAUACCCUUUGUAGAUGCACAACGGAAAGCGUUUAGACAACGCGGUUGAUGUAGUGGUACGUCUUCACGAUCCGUCCUGCGAACAGUUCCACGAUCCAUCCCGAUCAAGUACCGAACGGACGGCACCUCCGCGUUCAGCACACGUACAACUCGAUGACGAUCUCCGCCUCCUUGAUCCAGCAAGAGAGACGGGGAGGUAGAUGAGUUCAUCGGCAGCCUAACGGCGCUUCGGUGGUGGUGGUGUUGCUGAUCCUGCAGGGCUUCGCAUAAGCUCCACAGAAAACCGAUCUAGAGGAGAAACGGAGAAGUAGAGGUGUCUAGAUCUGAAUUUGCCCUUGGCAAAAGUUAUCUCAAAUCAGCCCUAGACCACCCGUAUAUAAAGGAGGAAGGGAGGGGAGGAGGCAGCCUCAAACCCUCAAGGUUUGGCCGAAAUUGGAUUCCUCCUUUCCACUUGGAAACUCUUUCCACAUUUUCCACCUUUGGGUUUUUGCCUCUCAAACCUCAUGGGCCUUAGUGGGAACUUAUUCCAGCCCACGAGGGACUGGUUUUAUCUCUUCUCACGCCCAUGAGGCCCCUUGGGGCGUGUCACCCCUCCCGAUGGUCCCCGGCACCCCUUCCGGCACUCCUGGUACACUACCGAUGAGCCCGAAACUUUUCCGGUGACCAAAACAGGACUUCCUAUAUAUCAAUCUUCGUUUCCGAACCAUUCCGGAACUUCUCGUGACAUCCGGGAUCUCAUCCGGGACUCCGAACAAACUUCGGUACUUUUUUUGAAAAAUGCAGCCAUUUUUUGGUUAAAUGUUUUUCAAAUGAACAAAUAUUUUUCUAAAUCAAUGAACCCUUUUAAAAAAUUUAUAAAUUUUUAAGUAAAUUUCUAUGAAUUUUUUGAAUAUCAAACAAUUUUUUUCAAAUUUUGAUGAACUUUCUUGAGAGUUGAUGAAUUUUUUUUGAAAUGGAUGAACUCUUUACAAAAAUGAUAAAAAAAAAUUAAAAUUUGUGAACUUUUGUUCAGUUCAAUGAACAUUUUAAAAACUUUUUUUGAAAUUCUAUGAACAUUUUAUAAAUUUAUGAACUUCUGUAGAUCAUAGUGAAUUUUUUCAAAUUCGUGAAAUUUUUGUUUCAAAAUUUAUGAACCAUUUUUCACUUUUAUGAACCUUUUAUGUUCUUUUUUUUUCUUUUCUUUAUAAAACAUUUCGUCCUGAAAUUGGACCGACUCAUUAUGCAGAACGUGUGGGCGCUGGUUCUCCUAGCCGGCACUUAAGGCGCCGACUAACAGCUCCCCGCAAAACUUGCGGUCGGCCGGUAUAAAAGUUUCCUAAUUUGCAGCACACGUGAUACUAAAUAGAGAAGCAUUUUUUUUUGCGGAUGAAAUAGGAGAAGCAUUGCUCCGUCAAUACACACUAGAAGGCUGAGGCGCUGCGGCACGCCGCGCCCAUGAGAGAACCCGUGUGAGUUGUUCCUUUGUUUAGCUCUUGAAAUUCUGCUGUGCAUUUUGUGCGUCAUGUCUUUGUGACAAACUAACAAUGUGAGAAACGACUAUGCACUGGUUGUAUUUUGCCGAAUAAAAGAGAGCAAAACUGUAGGUUGAGAUAAACAACCACAGUUUCAUACAGAAGCCGAUACAGUUUCAGUCAAGUAUGUAUAUCUCGAGUCACACACACCACACACGCACAUUUCUUGUCUCUCCCAAGAAUGAACAUGCGCUUUUACAUGAAUUGGCCAGUUUAAAUCUUGUAGAUAUGAACUCGGAUGUACGUACAUGCAUUGGUGCAGUGCGUGGAAGACAUGUGUUCAAUGGCUAAAAAGUUAGAAGAAUGGAUAAAAGGGGUAAAGAAUGGUAUACAUGAAUUGGCCAGUUUAAAUUUUGUAGAUAUGAACUCGGAUGUACGUACAUGCAUUGGUGCAGUUGGUGGAAGACAUGUCUUCAGUGGCUAAAAAGUUAGAAGAAUGGAUAAAAGGGGUAAAGAAUGGUAUAAUACAACACAUAGAUCAACAACACCGGUAGUGAAAUAGGUCUCUACAUGUCCUAGGAAGCUACUCUAGCUUCCAGAUCCUCGAAUGAAAUCAGGCAAUAUCAGAAAAAGUUGGCGUACCCCCUCCACAAUUAGAGAGUAAUUCCUAUCUCUGAAAACAUUCUAUCACUUAGGAGAACAGAACAGAUUUAACUGUGCAAAAUAUAGAAGAGCACAUUUCUUCUCUAGCUAUUCAGAAUUUUAGAAAUCUGUCUGGCAUGUUCACCACCAGCUAUAUAUGUAGAGGUUUCUAAAGGACGAUUUCUUACUAUCAGCAAACAAUAAGAAUAUGAGAAACUAUUAAAUUUUCAGUAAGGGCACGCUAACUAAUCUGUACACUUGCUGCAAUGUGUUGAUUGUUAACUUUUGAUUCCCAAAACCUAGUAAAAGGAAAACUGAACUCAAAAUUUAUAUACGUAUACAUAGAUGAUGUUGGGUUGUUGCUGAUCAAUACCUAUGGUCCCAAUCUGUUUAACAUCAAGUAAUGGCCUAUUUAUCUUUUUCAGGCAAACGAAAAUAUAAACAAACUGUGCUUGCAAUAAGAUGUAAUCACUGCUCUCACCAAUUGCAUAAAAAAUGUGACCGACCUCCCCAUCUCAUGCAAUUGGAGCACUGAGUGGCCUGAAAGCAUACUUACAUGUGAUGUGUAUUUCAACAAAUCCGGACCAUGGGAGCAUUCACGGAAAACGCGGCCACAAUUCACACCUCGACCCAAAGAUCCUCACUGGACAACCCCCGAGUAAGGCAGCCGAUCGAGUGAGAUCUGAAAGAAUCUGAUCAGAUGUACUGUAGUACAAUACAAUAAUACUGUUAUCAAACUUGUACCAAUGAGUUAUCCAUGACCUUACCGAGACAACCGAACCAAACCUAAUGAGGCCAAGCAGAGGAGGGCAAUAGCAUGCAACAGUCAUGCCGUGGUCGCAGUUGCCGGAGACGAACUACCCCGCGCGUCGAGAGGAGGAGGAGGCAGUCGAGCUGGUUCAAUUAAUUGGUGACCAACACACAGUCAGGCACACUGGCAGGCUCAGCCAGUCCAGUUCCAGUAAAAAGGAAAGAAUACGUAAUAAGGAACAAAAAGGAAAGAAUACGUAAGGCAAUCCAUCGGUAGCACGUACUGCGGCCGGGUGAUUAAUGGACAAGUACAGGAAGAAGAGUACGAGACGGAAACUGAAGCCGAUCGAUCCACAAAGCUGUGGCUAAUUCGGACACGGUGAGGUAAGCUAGCUAUUCACCAAAUAUAUUAAUCCCUAUAUAUCCAACACCGACGGAAUCAACUUAUCAAAGCCUCCACCGGCAAGCAGCAAAACCAUAACCCUAACGACAUCGAUCGCCAUGGGUUUGUGGAAGCGAACCAGAAACACGUUGGCCAUACUCCCCGACAUUGUGCGCGUCGUCCAUGACAUGAGAGACGGUGGUUGCCUCAAGGAGUUUGAGAUGGCGUUGGAGCAGUGCGACAAGAAGCCCAAGGAAGACGUCUCGUGCGCUAAGGCGACCGCAGCGCUGCGUAAGUGCAUGGAGGGCAAGGACGUCUUGGCGAAGCACCUCGUCGCCAUGGAUGACGGCAUCAUGGAGGAAGAGUUUCGGCGGUGGGAUCCAUAUGUGCAGAAGAAGCUGAAGCAGGAGGCGAGGUAUAGGUGGUGGACCGGAAUGAAGAAGAGUCAAGAAGAGUAGAAGCCUGACUAGCUCAUCACUAGCCCCACCACAUGGAUUGAUAAGCUAUUUAGUUUUUCUUUUUAAUAUUGGGCAAGUCAGUCCCAAGACUUUAUUCCUAGCAAAAUAAUUUAUACAUCUAGUUAAUACAUGUAUAAGUGAUCGGGUAAUGGAUGCAGAAUUGUGAAGCUCUUGUUCUUCUUAGACCUGGGAUAUUGAUCCUCCAGCUGGGUUUGUCUCUGUAAUGUAGUGAUAGAGAGAUAUUGCAAAGAAAAAACAGAUAACUACAAUGUACUCCCUUUAAAGUAAUAUAUAAACGUUUUGAAUCAUUAAAGUAGUGAUCUAAAAGUCCUAUAUAAAGAGUAGUUUGCACAUGUUGUUACAAAGAGUUCCUUCAUUUGCUAAAAGUCCUAUAUAAAGAGUAGUGGGCUAGACAAGUUUGACCAGUAAAAAAAAUAACGACCAUAAACAACCCAGCCACGUGUCAUUUUUGUAGCAGCCGUAAAAAAACUCAGAAAAACCAGAAAAAUCAGACCCUUGCGGGCAUAGUAAUUGUUAUUAUUACAUCCUCCUAAGUAGUGGGCAAGACAAGUUUGACCAGUAAAAAAACAACGACCAGAAACAACUCAGCACACGCGUCAUUUUUUGUUGCAGCGUAAAAAAAACUCAAAAAACCCAGAAAAACCAGACCCUUGCGGGCAUAGUAGUUUUAGUAUGUGUCAAACUGUCAUCCGACUAGAUCAAAUCUAGUAAUUAACAGUUAUCUACUCCCUCCGUUCCUAAAUAUAAGUCCUUUUAAAGAUUUCACUAGUGAACUACAUACGGAUGUAUAUAGACAUAUUUUAAAAUGUAGAUUCACUCAUUUUGCUUCGUAUGUACUCCCUCUGUUCCUAAAUACUUGUUCUUGGGGAGAACUAAACUAGUUUUCUUCAACAACAAGUAUUGUGGUACGAAGGGAGUAGAUCAUUAGUGAAAUCUCUUAAAAGACUUAUAUUUAGGAACGAAGGAGGGAGUAGGUUAAUCAUGUCAAAUACUAAGUUAUUUGUAACCGUCAACUUUUCGCUUUCUUUAUGUUGUCAAUGGAAUCAAGUGUCAACUAUCACUGCUCUAGUAACGUUGAAUUAAUUGUUGCCUGAAAUUAAUUGGCCGAGUUAACUGGAUACCUCUGUCGAGGUGCCUACGGCAUGCUUGUACUCUUAGCUUGUCAACUAGCAAAAGGGUCGUACGUUGCAACGGGAUAAGAAAAACUAUAUAUUGAUCAUUUGUUAUUACAAUGAGUGUUGAGUACGUGAAGAUUUUGACCGUCCCAUAUCUAGUCGAUAUAUGAUUGUUAGAUAAACACGUUAACACUCUAUGAGUUAAUUUAUCAUUAACGAUUACAAUUCUAAUGCAUAGACUAAUUCUAGCGUUUUACGAUGGAAUAAAACUCUUCUUCUAUCGCAAAAAACAUUCUUUUAUGUGCACUGCUUGCCCCUUGACCACAACAUCGCUUCCUCCAUCUCCAUCUCCAUCUUCCUCCCUCUCCCUCUCUUAUCCGCUGCAGGCCAUGGCUGGUUGCCCGUGCGAGGCCCGCCGAGCCCAUCGCGCCGCGUCGCCUGCCCCUGCCCCGAGAGCUGCGCCGCACUCCUCCCGCUCGCCCAUAAUCCCUCCUCCCGAGCGUCGCCCCGCCGCAGCCCCUAGCAUGCCGCCCCGCCGCACGCCGCACGCCGCGCCGCCCGUUCCCCCGGCCAGAUCCGCCGAGCCAAAGCCCCUGCGCCCAGCCGUCGCACCGCCCGUCUCAGCUGCGUCGCAAGCCGUCGCCGAUUGGAUCUAGCGAGCGCGCCGUUUGCUGCCGCCAUGCCUCCUCGCCUCGGAACAUGUAGGGUCUUUUUCAGAAAAGUGAAACGUCUUUUUCACUUAAAUAGGGACUGCGGGAUUAAUUACCAUUAAACAGAAGGAAAUUUUUUGUAAAAGUGUCGUGACGAUGGACGACAGAAGUAGUCGGUGGUUUAGUAUUAGCUAAAAAUUUGACCAAGUUAAUUGGUCAAGUAGUACUUUUAGGUUGUCAAUUUGACGAAUCAAAUAUAUGUGUUAGGACGUCUAACUUGUUUUUGCAGGGUAUGCAUGUGAUGUGAUAUGGCCAACGACAUGAUAUGAUAUAUUGGAUGUAUGAGAUGAUCAUGUUGUAAUAGUUAAAUAUCGACUUGCACGUCGAUGCUAUGGCAAUCGGUAGGAGCCAUAGGGUUGGCUUUAAACUAACGUGUGUGCUUGCAGAUGCGUUUACUAUAUUGCUAGGUGGUAGCUUUAGUAGUAAUAGCAUAGAUAGCACGACAACCUCGAUGGCGGCACAAUGAUGGAGAUCAUGGUGCGGCACCGGUGACGAUGGAGAUCAUGCCGGUGUUUUGGUGAUGGAGAUCAAGAAGCACAAGUUCAUGGCCAUAUCAUGUCACUUAUGAUUUGCAUGUGAUGUUAAUCCUUUUAUGGACCUUACUGUGCUUAGAAUGACGGUAGCAUUAUAAGGUGAUCUCUCACUAAAAUUUCAAGAUAAAUUUUGUUCUCCCCGGUUGUGCACCGUUGCGACAGUUCGUCGUUUCGAGACACCACGUGAUGAUCGGGUGUGAUAGACUCAACGUUCACAUACAAUGAGUGCAAAACAGUUGCACACGCAGAACACUUGGGUUAAACUUGACGAGCUAGCAUGUACAAACAUGGACUCGGAACACAAAAGACCGAAAGAUCGAGCAUGAAUCAUAUAGUUGAUAUGAUCAACAUGGAGAUGUUCAGCACUGAAACUAUACUCAACUCACGUGAUGAUCGGACUUGAGUUAGUGAAUUUGGAUCAUGCGACACUCAGAUGACUAGAGAGAUGUCAAUUUGAGUGGGAGUUUAUUAGUAAUAUGAUUAGCAAAACUCUAUUAUCUUAAACAUAGUCUAAGUGACCUUUGCAAAAUUUUAUGUUAUAGAUCAAUAGCUCGAGCGAUAGCUACCCUGAAUUUUAAGACGUUCCUACAGAAGGCUAAUUUGAAAGAUGAUGGAAGCAACUUUGUUGACUGGGCUCGUAAUCUGAGGCUUAUCCUCUAUGUUGGCCAAAAGAAUUAUGUCCUUGAUGCAACGCUACGGCCGACCAAGACGUUUUGAAUGCUUGGCAGGAGCGUAAGGAUGGCUACUCACUAGUUCAAUGUGCAGUUUUGUAUGACUUAGAACCGGGACUUCAAAGAUGUUUUGAACGUCAUGGAGCAUAUGAGAUAUUCCAGGAUUAUAAGUUUAUCUUUGAGAAGAACGCCCGGAUCGAGAGGUAUGAGACCUCCGAUAAGUUCUAUGCUUGCAAGAUGGAGGCGAAUUUGUCUGUCAGUGAACAUGUGCUCAGAAUGUCUGGGUACUCAAACCGCCUAGUUGAGCUGGGGAUUGCUCUCCCGCAAGAAGCUAUCACUGACAGAAUUCUUCAAUUACUGCCCCCUAGCUAUAAAGGCUUCGUGUUGAACUAUAACAUGCAAGGGAUGAACAAGUCGCCCGGUGAGCUGUUUGCGAUGCUGAAAGUCGCAGAGUCAGAAAUCCAAAAAGAGCAUCAAGUGUUGAUGGUCAAUAAGACCACUAGUUUCAAGAAAAACGACAAAGGCAAGAAGGGUAACUCCAAGAAGAGCGGCAAAGCUGUUGCCCCUUCGAUGAAGAAACCCAAGGCUGGAUCUAAGCCGGAAACUGAGUGUUAUUAUUGCAAAGGGACUGGUCACUGGAAGCGCAACUGCCCCAAGUAUCUGGCCGAUAAGAAGGCGGCCAACAACAAACAAGGUAUAUUUAAUAUACAUAUUAUUGAUGUGUACCUUACCGGUUCUCGUAGUAGUGCCUGGGUAUUUGAUACCGGUUCUGUUGCUCACAUUUGCAACUCGAAACGGGAACUGCGGAAUAAACAAAGACUGGCAAAGAAUGAAGUGACGAUGCGCGUCGGGAAUGGUUCCAAGGUUGAUGCGAUCGCCGUCAGCACGGUCUCACUCCAGUUACCGUUGGGACUAGUGAUGAACUUAAAUAAGUGUUAUUUAGUGCGUGUGUUAAGCAUGAACAUUAUAUCUGGAUCUUGUUUAUUGAGAGACGGUUACUCAUUUAAAUCAAAGAAUAAUGAUUGUUCUAUUUUUAUGAGUAAUAUCUUUUAUGGUCAUACACCCAAUGUGAGGGGUUUGUUCAUAUUGAAUCUCGACAAUGAUGAAACUCACGUCCAUAACAUUGAGGCCAAAAGAUGUCGAGUUAAUGACGAUAGUGCCACUUUCUUGUGGCACUGCCGCUUAGGUCAUAUUGGUGUGAAACACAUUAAGAAACUCCAUGCUAAUGGACUUUUGGAGUCACUUGAUUUUUAAUAACUUGACACGUGCGAACCAUGCCUCAUGGGCAAGAUGACUAAGACUCCAUUCUCCGGAACAAUGGAGCGUGCAAGUGACUUGUUGGAGAUCAUAUAUACUAAUGUGUGCGGACCGAUGAGCAUAGAGGCGCUUGGUGGAUAUCGUUAUUUUCUCACCUUCAGUUAUGAUUUGAGUAGAUAUGGCUAUGUUUACUUGAUGAAGCACAAGUCUGAAACGUUUGAAAAGUUCAAGCAAUUUCGGACUGAAGUAGAAAAUCAUCGGAACAAGAAGAUCAAGUUCCUGCGAUCUGAUCAAGGAGGAGAAUACCUGAGUUUUGAGUUUGGUGCUCACUUAAGACAAUGUGGAAUUGUUUCACAGUUGACACCGCCUGGAACACCACAACGCAAUGGUGUGUCCGAACAUCGUAAUCGUACUUUAUUAGAUAUGGUGCGUUCUAUGAUGUCUCUUACCGAUUUGUCGUUAUCUUUUUGGGGCUAUGCAUUAGAGAAAGCCGCAUUCACUUUAAAUAGGGCACCAUCAAAAUCCAUUGAGACGACACCAUAUGAGCUGUGGUAUGGCAAGAUGCCAAAGUUGUCGUUUCUUAAAGUUUGGGGAUGUGAUGCUUAUGUCAAAAAGCUUCAGCCUGAAAAGCUGGAACCCAAAGCGGAAAAGUGCGUCUUCACAGGAUACCCAAAAGAGACAGUUGGAUAUACCUUCUAUCUCAAAUCUGAGGGCAAAGUUUUUGUUGCUAAGAACGGAGCUUUUCUUGAGAAAGAGUUUCUCUCGAAAGAAUUGAGUGGGAGGAAGAUAGAACUUGAUGAUGUUGAGGAACCUUUACUUCAACAUGCUGGUGGCGCAGGACAGAAAGAAGUUUCUGUUGAGGCUUCACCAGUUGAAGAGGAAGCUAAUGAUGGAGAUCAUGAGACUUCGGAUCAAGUUUCUAUCGAACCUCACAGGUUGACAAGAGUACGCUCUGCUCCAGAGUGGUAAAGAAAUCUUGUCUUGUCAAUCUUGUUGUUAGACAACAUUGAGCCUGCAAAUUAUGAAGAAGCAAUGGUGGGCCCGGAUUCCAACAAAUGGUUAGUGGCCAUGAAAUCCGAGAUACAAUCUAUGUAUGAAAACAAACUAUGGACUUUGGAAGUAUUACGUGAAGGCCGAAAGUCUAUUUAAAACAAAUGGAUCUUUAAGAAGAAGACGGACACGGAUAGUAAUGUGAUCGUCUAUAAAGCUUGACUUGUGGCAAAGGGGUUUUCACAAGUUCAAGGAGUUGACUAUGAUGAGACUUUCUCACCUGUAGCGAUGCUCAAGUCCAUCCGAAUCAUGUUAGUGAUGACCCACAAGUAUAGGGGAUCUAUAGUAGUUCUUUCGAUAAGUAAGAGUGUCGAACCCAAGGAGGAGCAGAAGAAGAUGACAAGUGGUUUUCAGCAAGGUAUUCUCUGCAAGCACUGAAAUUGUCGGUAACAGAUAGUUGUGUGAUAAGAUAAUUCGUAACCGGUAGCAAGUAACAAAAGUAACAAAGGUGCAGCAAUAUGGCCCAAUCCCUUUUGCAGCAAGGGACAAGCCUGGACAAACUCUUAUAUGAAGCAAAGUGCUCCCGAGGACACAUGGGAAUUUCUGUCAAGCGAACUUUCAUCAUGUUCAUAUGAUUCGCUUUCGCUACUUUGAUAGUUUGAUAUGUGGGCAGACCAGUGCUUGGGUGCUGCCCUUACUUGGACAAACAUCCCACUUAUGAUUAACCCCUCGCGCAAGCAUCCGCAACUACGAAAGAAGUAUUAAGACAAAGUCUAACCAUAGCAUUAAACUAGUGGAUCCAAAUCAGCCCCUUGCAAAGCAAUGCAUAAACUAGGGUUUAAGCUUCUGUCACUCUAGCAACCCAUCAUCUACUUAUUACUUCCCAAUGCCUUCCUCUAGUCCCAAAUAAUGGUGAAAUGUUAUGUAGUCGACGUUCACAUAACACCACUAGAGGAACGACAACAUAUAACAUAUCAAAAUAUCGAACGAAUACCAAAUUCACAUGACUAUUUAUAGCAAGACCUAUCCCAUGUCCUGAGGAACAAAAGUAACUACUCACAAAGCAUAAUUAUGUUCAUGAUCAGAGAGGUAUUGAAUAGCAUUAAGGAUCUGAACAUAAUAUAUUCCACCAAGUAAUCCAACUACCAUUAAGUACAAGGAGUAAUUAACACUACUAGCAACCUUACAAGUACCAAUCGGAGUCGCGAGACGAAGACUGAAUACAAGAGAUGAACUAGGGUUUGGAGAUGAGACGGUGCUGAUGAACAUGUUGAUGGAGACGAGUCCUCUCCGACGAGAGUAGUGUUGGUAAUGAUGAUGGCGACGAUUUCCCCUUCCGAGAGGAAAAUUUCCCCGGCACGACAGCCCUGCCGGAGCUCUAGAUUGGUUCUGCUCGAGUCCCGCCUCGUGGCGGCGGCGUCUCCUCCGAAAAGCCUCCUCCUGAUUUAUUUUUUCUGGAAUGAAACCCUUCAUAUAGAGGAAGAUGGGCGUCGGAGGGCCAACAGGGGGCCCACGAGCCACCACCCCGCGACCACGGGGGGCCCGCGGCCUGAAGGCUCGUGGCCUCCUAGCUGCCCCCAUCCGGUACUUCUUUUGCCCGGUAUUUUUUAUAUAUUCCAAAAUAAUUCUCCGUUGAUUUUCACGACUUUUGGAGUUGCGCAGAAUAGGUGUUCCAGACUUGCUCCUUCUCCAGUCCAGAAUCUCAGUUGUCGGUAUUCUCCCUCUUCAUGUAAACCUUGCAAAAUAAAAGAGAAAAGGCAUAAGAAUUGUACCAUAACGUGUAAUAACAGUCCAUAAAGCGAUAAAUAUCAACAUGAAAGCAUAAUGCAAAAUGGACGUAUCAACUCCCCCAAGCUUAGACCUCGCUUGUCCUCAAGCGAAAGCCGAGAUCAAUAAAUAUGCCCACAUGUUUAGAGAUAGAGGUGUCGAGAAAAUAGAAUACGGACAUGCAGGCAUCAUGAUCACCAAUAGAACAGCAAUAAAGUCAUAAAACUCUUAUGCUAAAGUGAUAAUUUCUUCACAAUGUAAAGCAUGGAUCAAGAACCUUAUUGAGAGUCAACAACCAAUAGUCCUUAGUCAUCGAAGCAAUUGCAAUUUAUCAUAACAUAGGAAAGAGUAAAAUAAGAGCUUGUAAAGCAAAUCCACAUACUCAAUCAUCUUUUAGUCUUCCACAAUUGUUGAAACUCACGUGGUACUCAUGGGAUCAAAGUUUCAGUUGGACAGAGAGAAAGAUAGGGGCUUAUAGUUUGGCCUCCCAACUAUUUACCUUAAAGGUAAUGUCAACAAUAAUAAUUCAUGAGUGCCUGUUUCCAAGUUGAAAUAUGAAGAUAAAUCUUUCCCUAACACAUGACGCUUGCCAAGAUAACGGCAAAAAGGAAUUGGUGUUGAUCACCAUGACUCUUUUAAAAAACAAAAGUAAAGGUGCAAGAAAGGCCCUUCGUAGAGGGAAGCAGAGGUUGCCAUGCACUUUUAAAGUUUGGAUGCAUGAUCUCUUAGUGUGAAGGAACGUUACUUUUUAUUGCCCCCUGUGAUAAAGAAAUUUAUUAUGCAGUCCGUCGCUUUUAUGUCUUCUUCAUCACAGGUUCGUACAAAGCUUAUUUUCCAAACACUAAUAGAGCAUACAUAUUUAGAGAGCAAUUUUUAUUGCUUGCACCGAUGACAACUUACUUGAAGGAUCUUCUUUAAUCCAUAGGUAGGUAUGGUGGACUCUCAUGGCAAAACUGGGUUGAAGGUUCAUGGAUGCACAAGUAGUAUCUCUACUUAGUGCGGGAGUUUUGACUAAUAUGAGGUGGAAGCAAGCGUCACAUGUUAAGGGAUCUCUAGUCAUAUAACAUUGUUCAGAACCAAGCAGGCAUAAUUCAUUAUAUUGUCUUCCUUGUCCAACAUCUACUUCUUAGCAUAUAAUAGUUCAAUGUGUGUUCACAAUCAUGGAUGGUGUCAAAGAUGAUAUAUUUAUAUGUGAACCUCUCUUUCUUUAUUACUUCCUAUUAAUUGCAACAAUGACCAAGAUCUACGUUUGCCUACUCACAACAAGUUCCAAUCAACAUUCUUCUUAUAUGUGAAGCUAACACUUCCCGUAAGAUCAUCAUAUGGUCUUUCAUGCUUUCGUUGUUUUACUAUUUUAUUAAGAUCAUGGCAUGAAGCAAAGCCCUUAACUAAGACACCUCUUAAUAUAUAAAUCACGGGCACGAAUACAAAGGGGAGUAAAACUCAGGCCUAGAUCAUACUAAGAACUUUAUCCUACUAGAAAAGAAAUGAAAACUAAAAAGGAGAUAAAACUGAAACAAAAAUAAAAAUAAAGACAAAAGGAAGUGAAGGUGAUACGAUAUCGGGACAACUCCCCCAAGCUUGGCACAAGCCAAGGGAGUGCCCAUACCCAAGUGUUUAGUUGCCGUCCUUCGGAGGUGAUGGUGGUGUGGUGAUGGUGGUGGAAUUGUUGGAAUCUGGGGCUGAUCCUCUGUCUUCCAAGGCAUAGGUUCUCCAUCAUAGAAAGAUGAUCGAGUCUCCGGAAUGCUCAAACCUGCAGCUGAUUUUAUUGCUUUAAAUCUAUAUUCAUACUCACAGUUUUGAUUCUACAGGUCGUAGAUCUGGGUUUGGAGAUGAUCGAUCCUAUCAUAAAGCUUGAAGAGGUGGUCCCCAAUGUCCUUGGUGUCGAGCUUGUGCUUGUCGGUGAACUCCGUGAUCAUCAUGUGAUUCGCGUUGAGUCCCCGUUUCACCAUGCUUUGGCACUUGAAAACUUGUUGCUCCAUUGCUUCGAGCCUUGCCUCUACGCUUCCGGUGUUCUUGGGCCCCUCAACAUCGCGGAUGUGCAGCACCCCCUCCUGCAUCUCAAUAGAUUGAGGGUGUUGCAGCACCUCCACGAGGUAGGGAUUGAUAACCUUCUCGAAGAACUUGUCCUUGGGAACUUUUGGGGAAGCCAUAGCGAUCUAGAUCUGCCUGCACAACAGCUCGAAACAAAAACAGAGGAUAAUUGCGUGAUACGAGAGUCAGAACUUUGGGAGAAUAUAUAAUGAAUUUUUGCCGACCCAAAGGGAAGUACCACUUGAAAACGGAGUCCGGGAGGCACACGAAGUGCCCACGAGUGCACAGGCCGCGGCCGAGGGGGGGGGCGCGGCAUGCGAGCUCGUGGCUCCCUCGUGCGCUCUCCGGACUACUUCAAAUUUUUCUAUUCCCUCCAUCCCGAAAUUAAUGUCGAGCAUGUAGUUCAUUGGUCAUUUUGCAAAAAAAACCUAGUAUUUACAAAACUCUCUUAAACAAGCACCUCCGUCCCUGUCUUCUUCACCCAGCCUCGCCUGCGCAUCGCCGGCCGGCACCACCCAGCGAUUUACCUCCCCGUCGCCUCCGCCGCCGGAUCUGUUGCCGCCGCCGCCACCGCUCCCGGAUCUGUUGCCGUCGCCACCGCCGUCAAUUACCUCCUCCGUCGCCACAGCCUAGAUUUGCGCCGCCGGAUCCCUUCCCGCUGCGGUUACCUGCCGGCGUCGUCCUCGAGCUCCUGCCGGCGUCGGAACCUUCCUCCACUUCCUCCUCCAGCUCCCGUGGUCAUCCUCGAGCUCCCGUGCAUCCUCCCCAAGCCGGAACCUGUGCUGCUCCUUCUCCCCUGUCGCCGGAACCUGUGUUGCUCCUUCCCUGUCGCCGGAACCUGUGCUGCUCCUUCUCCCCUGUUGCAGGAACCUGUGCCGACAUCUGUCUGAGCUGCUGCUAUUCCUCUGCUGGAGUUGCCGCUCCUCUGCUGGAGCUACUGCCGCUGUGCACCUGAAGAAGGUACCUGAAACUGCUGCUGCUGUUCACCAAAUUAACAGAUGAUAUCAAACGUGCUGUUGCUAUACACAUCCUAUCAGUCAGUUGUUUGCUUCUAUAGGCAGUCUUGCUCUCAACAUAAUGCUGAAGACGAGUUUCUGUUUGUUGAACCAGGAUUUCCCGGUAUCAAUGGCAGUAAAAUUCCUAGGGCUGUAUCGGCCAUUGCCAGUCAGGGUCUCUGUCAUUCUUGUACAGCAUUUGCAGUCGACAAGACUGCUCUGUUAUCAACUUAUAGGUCGAGGGAUGAUCCCGUGCCACCAGGGAGUAUGUGUUCCUUCGACCAUCAACUGCCAAAUAAGAGCACCACCGCCUGCCUGAAGCUUUCUCGCUGAAUCAUAGAUUUUGUCGUAAACAAUUCUUAGAAGAAUAUCUCUAUCAACUGUGCUGUUAGCAUCUACAUGCUGCAGAUAACCUACUUCUGAGAACAUAACGGGUUUUUUCAAGAUGUGUUCGCUGUCAUUAACGUGUGAAUCAACCCAAGCAGUCGACGUGGUCGUUCAGGCAGGAAGUCCCAGGACCAUCACUGACUUCCAGACGCAGAGCACGCCUGUAUUGCUCGCUGCACGGGAGCGAGCUGACCUAGCAACUGAAAAGUAACUACAGAACGUUUCUCAGACGAAUCUUAUGUUCAGUUACUUGAUUCUUGCUCGAGCUUAUUGCUAUUCCUGCGUGUAGAUAUAUUCCGCUGACACCAGUUCUGGAGGGCUUUGUGAUCCUGAGGAAGAACCCAGAGCAUCAUGAAGAUUGAGAGAUCGGUGUGGAUGGAGUGUCACGAAGAGGCUUGGUCAACAUCUAACUGCCACACAAGCAAGCGACAAUGACUAUUGUAAAGAGGCUGCAAGUAUUCCUUGAACAGAGUACACGGACAAUACAAAGUAUAGAAUAGCUCAGGGGCCAAUGUACAGAGGGAGGUUGGAACAUCGAAAGAGGAGAAGCGGCUUUGUCGAAACGGAAACAGUGGGGUGACUGAUGGCUGCAUAGCAUAGCCUCAAUCAAAUUUUGUGUUUCCACUCACUAGACUGUCCAUGUUCCUUAACAUGCGCAUAUUCUUUUGAGAUGCAUAUACUAGAUGCACUUUGUGUCCCCCUUUGUAAUCUUCUUCUCCUUCUUUUUUCAUUGAUUGUGGGAGUAUGGAUUUGAACAUGGUACCUCAAGAGAAAGAGGAUGAAGGUAUAGAUUUGAACAUGAUGCCUCAAGAGGAAGAUGAAGAAGCUAUGAAUUGGAUGCCUCAAGAAGAUGAAGAGGAAGAGGAUGAAGUUAUAAAUUGGAUACUUCAAGAAGAUGAAUAGUGAAUAUGAAUUGUGUAAUCCUUGUACUCCUUGUGUAUGUCUUGUGUAAUCUUGUGUAUUGGGAAAUUACUUGAAUUUAUCUGAAUUCAUUUUAAUUGUUUGGACUAGUUGAAUUUGUUGGAAUUAUUCAAAUUAAAAAUAAGUACUCCCUCCGUCUUGAAAAUAUUUGUUGCCGUUGGGAAAUUACUUGAGUUUAUCUGAAUUCAUUUUAAUUGUUUGGACUAGUUCAAUUUUUUGGAAUUAUUCGAAUUAAGCAGUACACUUUAUAUCCAGACAAGAUAAGCAAACACUUUAUGGGCAAUACUGAUUUCUGAAUUUAUGGACAAACUUAUUUGCAAUAAGCAGUACACUUUAUAUCUAGACAGGGUACAAUACUGAUUGUUUACAGACAUUUACACUUGCUCUACCAGUUUCACACAUCUUACAUCUACCAGUUUACAUCGAGUUACACAGGUCCAGCAACGUUUAGUUAAACAAAAAUGUACACCAGACUUGAUGUCUAAGGCUCUUGGCUCGGAAGGGCUACCAACGCCGCUUGCAAAAGAGAAAUCAAUUUCAGCCUUAGACUGCACCUAGUGAGUGACUGACCGACACACCAUCUCUGUCCACUCCAUGAAGCCGUUCAUUGACCUCUGCUGAUCUCUGAAUAUUUCCCCUGAUGCAGCGUCAACAUCGACUCGAGUGAGCAGUUCCUUAAGACAGGACCAAUGCCAGCAGCUCUUGGUCGUCGACAUUCGUUGAGGUGGACGCAGUGCAGGGCUUGGACAACAUGUACAUAUGAAUCAGCUACCAUGCCUGACAGUUUGGUGGACAUUGAAGAUAGAGAUGCACUGUCCAAUUUCAGCAAACCCGUACAUAUGAAUCACCUCUUCUAGUUUGUUGAGCCGGAGAAGCGCUUCAGACCUCAUGGCAAGGAGCUGCAGGAGAAACAUGGCUUGUUUGUGAGAGACUGAAUCCUAGUAACACUAACCCAAAAACGGAGUAUAUCUUCAGGAUGAAAAAUAUCACGAGCUACAAGGCCAGAGAGGUACACAUUCUGGUCCAAAUGCACAAUGCAGAUAAGCACUCCAUCUGAACCACAUUCUGCGAUUACAAACAAAUUAAGAACACAUUGAUUGACUACAAUAAACCCACUACAUAAACCUGAUUUGUGUUGUUCGAACAUGUCCCACAACACAAAAACAAGCUUUUGAUGGGUCCAUUUACUUCAAAUUCGCAGUUGCUAGUUAGGAAAAUCUAUGCAUAUGUAAGAAUUCAGAAUUAACAGGAAUAUGGUGGGUUCCAGAAUUCAGAUCCUAGUAGUCCAGAAUUCAGAUCCUAGAACUCCUAGUACUCCAAAAUCAUGUCUUUGGAUCCUGCAGAUCCUAGUACUUCUAUUGUGGGUCUUCGGAUACUAGUACUCCCCAUCUAGUCAGAAUUAACAGGAAUGAUGAUGCGCAGGGCCAGGCACUAACCAGAGAUGAGAGCAGAGCAAGCAAGGAAGAAGACGACGCCAGAAGUAGCGGCGCUCCCGCACGGGCUUGUCGACGGUCCUGCAGGCCCGAGGACGUACUUCUGCGUCUCGCGCCCGUGGACCCGCGGCCUGCUCGCCGACGUCCUUGUGGGCCGUGGCCGCUGGAUCCCACAACGGCUUCGUGCAUCACCACCACUCGCUGCCGCGCCGCCGCCAUCCAUGGGUGCAAAGAUUAAAAUUUUCUCCUCCUGCUCUGGCUUCUGGUCGCCAGGGUUUGUGGUGGGGGCUGCGAAUCGACGCCGUGGAAUCGGUAUAGGGAAAGGAGAGGGUGCCGGUAAAGGUUAGCAAGGCAUGGACUGGCCGGAUUUGGCCGGGAGUUGCCGUCGACGGAGUUGGCGGAGAGGGGAAUGGGGAAGCUCGCACGAGAGAAGACAAGUGGGAACAGCAAGGAGUGCGGGUUGUGUCGGGAUAAACUCAAGGGGGUUUUCAAAAAAUUGUCGUUGCGACAAUAAUUACGGGACGGAUGGAGUAUUUAUCUAAAAAUUUCAAAACGGAGAAAAUUUCCUAUUGGAAAAGUUUUAGAGUCGGUUUACUUACCGUAACGCAUACAUCUCUGUUUUCGGAGUCUGAAACAGGCUGGGGAACAUCUCUUAUGUACUCCUCCAAAGUUAUGAUAUUAAUAAUAUUGCUUUCAACAUUCACGGGAGUACGUGAGAUAUAAUGCUUGAUUCUUUGUCAAUUCACAAUUCUUGGAAAAUUACCCUAUGUGUUGUUAAUUUUGAGAUAUAAUGCUUUCAACAUUCACGGAUGUAAGGAAACAAUCCCAUUUGGAGAGAAGUUUGCCUGCAAAAAAUCUUAAACGAGAAUUGUAUAGCAAGACAUAAUCACCCACAUUAAACUCGCGUUUUUGUAUCCUCCUAUCAUGCCACCUCUUAACCUUCUCUUUAAGCAACUUGGCAUUUUCAUACGCCUGAGUUCUUCAUUCAUCUAGCGAGCUAAUAUCAAAUAACCUCUUCUCACCAGCAAGUUUGAAAUCAAAGUUGAGCUCUUUGAUCGCCCAAUAAGCUUUAUGCUCUAGCUCAAGAGGUAAAUGACAUGCUUUGCCGUAAACCAUUUUGUAUGGUGACAAGCCCAUGAGAUUCUUAUAAGCAGUCCUAUAAGCCCACAGUGCAUCAUCAAGUUUGCUAGACAAUUUCUUAGACCUAUUGACAGUCUUCUGCAAGAUAAACUUGAUCUCAUUAUUACUCAACUGCACCUGACCAUUAGACUGAGGAUGAUACGGAGAUGCAACUCUAUGGUUGACAUCAUACUUAGCAAGCAUCUUGCGGAAAACACCAUGGAUAAAGUGUGAACCACCAUCGGUCAUCAAAAAUCUAGGGACUCCAAAUCUCGGGAAUAUGACUUCUUUAAGCAUCUUAAUAGAAGUGUGGUGAUCAGCACUACUAGUGGGAAUAGCUUCUACCCACUUAGUAACGUAAUCCACAGCAACUAGAAUGUGAGUAUACCCGUUGGAUUUUGGAAAAGGUCCCAUAUAAUCAAAACCCCAUACGUCAAAUGGUUCAAUGACCAGUGAGUAGUUCAUAGGGAUUUCCUGACGUCUACUAAGAUUACCUAUUCUUUGGCAUUCAUCACAAGACAGGACAAACUUACGGGCAUCUUUGAAGAGAGUGGGCCAAUAAAAACCGGAUUGCAAUACCUUGUGUGCAGUUCUAUCUCUCGCAUGGUGUCCUCCGUAAGCCUCGGAGUGACACUUCUAUAGGAUCUAUCCCUGUUCAUGCUCAGGUACACAACGUCUAAUAAUGCAAUCUACUCCUUCUUUAUAAAGGUGAGGGUCAUAUCAAAAGUAAUGUCUCAAGUCAUAGAAGAACUUCUUCUUCUGUUGAUAUGUGAAACAAGGUGGUAUAAAUUUUGCCACAAUAUAGUUAGCAUAAUCAGCAUACCAAGGUGCACUACGUGAGGCAUUGAUGACAUUCAAUUGUUCAUCAAGAAAGCUAUCAUCAAUAGGUUGUGGGUCAUGAAGAACAUUCUCUAACCUAGACAGGUUAUCUGCUACUGGGUUCUCUGCACCCUUCCUAUCAACGAUAUGCAAGUCAAAUUCUUGCAACUAGAGAACCCAUCUAAUGGGUCUAGGCUUAGCAUCUUUCUUCUCCAUGAGAUACUUACAUUUACCACUCGGGCAGCACGCCUACAGGUUGGGUUCAGAUGAGAUAACUUGAUAACCCCCCAAAAAACUUGUAAAGAGAAGAUGUUCGUAUACAUACCAUGAGGUGUCCCCGGGUCUAGGAUCCACUUGCAUGCCGAGCUCCCUGCGCAGCCGGCUGAUAUUUUUGCCUGCCCUGCCAGGGAUAUUGUAGGUCCUUUCCGCGUGCGAAACCUUAUCGUACAGCUCCUCUUUCAUGUUAUGGAUCUCUGUCAGGAGUUUCUCCCGAUCUUCACAGCCCUGCUUUGCAGAUUGCGGUAGAGAGCAUAAGAUGAGUUCCUACAUAAAUGAUCAUGCAAUGGAAAAAACCGUAGUACUAGCUGGUCCAUGGAUUUUGCUACUCGGUCCUUGGUUUAUGCAUCUUCCUAGGUCGAAAAUAAUUUUUAUUUUAUUUCUUUUUUUGAGGAAUCACGAGAAGUGGAUUCAAUUUUGAGAUGCCCUGGCUGUUUGGCGAAACAUGGAGUUGGAUUAUCGAACUAGCUAUCAGCACAGAAUAUGUUAGUCGAGGUUGCAGAAACAAUUGCAAAAGAAGAUAUGAACUUGGGUGAGCCGACGCGCGUGAAGUACGUACCUUGCCCGCCACCACGUUGGAGUCUGCGGCAGCAGCAGCGGAGGAUGUGGUAGACCUAGUAGCCUAGUCGACCCGGAAGAGCCUCGGGAAGAGCCAGCGUUGCGCAUCUUCCACGGCCACCGUCGGCGUCUGCAGGCCACCGCCGACGAACCUCCGCGCCGCGACUCGAAGCGCCGCCAUCGAUAGUCGUCUGCUCUUGGGUUUCCAAUCGCCCGCGCACCAGUUCUUGGGUUCUUAGGGUUCCUCCGUCGCUCGCCUCCUUUUCUUUCUUCCCAUGGGAACCAAAACGCCGGGAAAGCGACGUAACGCGCACCCCAGCUGUAUUGGGCCGGCCCAAGUAAGCGUUGGACGCUCUGUUUUCUCUUCUUCUUUGUUCUUUCUGAUUCUUGUCUUUACUUCAAGAAAGGUCAUGAAUAUCAAAUCCGAAAAUACUUUUCAAUGUUUAAGAUAACUUCAAAAAAUGUCCAUGAUUUGAAUUUUUUUCCACGAAUUUAAAUAAUGCACGGGAUUUCAAAAAAUCUUCACGAAAUUGAAAAAGUAUUCGGCGAUAGAUUUUUUUUCACUAAUUUCUAAAAACGUUUCGUACUCUCUAAAAAUCUGAUCAAACUAUAAAAACAGUCGAAAAUUUCUGAAAAUAUUCAUUGAUUCGAAAAAUGAUUGUGAAUUCCUGAAAUUGCUCCUGGUUCUAAAAAACAUGUUCUAUUCUAAAACAUUGUUUACGAAUUUCAAAAAGUUGUUAACCAUUUCAGACAAAGUCCAGCGAUACUUAGGAAGUUCAUGAUUUUCAAAAACUGUUCAAAACUUUCAAAAUUUCUCAUGGCUUUGGAAAAAUUGUUUACUAAUUAAAAAAAAUUCAUGAAGUUUGAAAAUUGUUAUGAGUUUGGAAAAACUUCGUGGCUUUCAAGAAAAUGUAUCGAGUUUCAAAAAUAUGUUAGCAAAUUUAAAAAAUUGUACUCGAAUUUGAAAUUUGUUCCUAAAAUUCAAAAAUAAUCACGAAUUUUUCAAAUUUUCAUGUAUUAGUGAUUCUAAAAGUUAUACUACUGAAUUUUAAAAAACACGAAUUUGAAAAAGUUUCAUGAUUUUUGAAAGGCACUCGCGGUUUCGAUAAAUGUUCACAGUGUCUGAAACAAUGUUCUUGAUUCCAAGCGAUGUUGACGAAUAUGUGAAAAUUCCGCCAAACAAAAUUUAAAAUAAAAAGGAAAGGAACAAGUAAAAAAUAAUAAUAAAUAGGAACAAAAAAAAUAAAAAAGGAAAUAUAAAAUCAGGAUUCUAGAACCUUAACAAAAUCGGAUUAGGCCGUCUCACAUACAAAGUCUAAUUGGGCCGGACCAUUUAAGAGCGCAAUAACGUGGUUUCCUCUCUGGUUUUGGGAAUUUUCCACAAAGCUUCCCGGCCAGUUUCCGGAAGCUUUUGCAAGCUUCCAGACCAGAUUAUUUCCCCUUUUUUGUCUUCGCGUUUUCCUAUAAUCCUAUUUGUUCUAUUUUAUUUUGGUUUUUUAGUUUUUGUUUUCUUUAUAAUUUUCCUUUUUUCCUUCAUUUUUUCAUAUAUAUUUUUCAAAUGCAUGGACUUUUCUAAAAAUCUGAAAAGGAUUCAAAUUCAUGAAUUUUCCAACUACGUGAACUUUUGUAUAAAUCCGUGAAUUUUUUCAUUCUUUUCUUUUUAGUGAGCCUUUCAAAUUCCCACAAACUAUUUUUGAAUCCAUGAAUUAUUUGGUACAUAUUUUCACUAAUUUGUGGAAUUUUUCCAGGUUAGUGUUGUUUCUUCAAAUUAUUAUUUUUAAAUAAAAAUCGCAUGAACUCUUUUUCAUGACUGUUUUUUAUUUUUGCGAACUUUUCCAUGAUAACUCAAUGGUCAACGGGCAGCAAUGAACUGCAACAAUCAAUUGUGGACCAGUUGAUCGAUACUUCAUCAAGUGGUGGAAUAAACAACGAUCUUGACUGAGUGGUGGAAUGAAUCACCAUUUUGACUGAGCGGUCAAACGAACGACCGGUUUUUGCAGAAUUCCCUAUUUGACGCAUUCUGCAUCAAAUCGGUGGAGCUUUGGAGAGAUGAGUGAGAAGAACUGUUUGGUGGGCUGGCCCAUUACAAAAAUUCAACAUAGUUAUUUCGGACGUUUUCUACCGGUUUUUGCAACCUUCUAGAUUUUUUCAGCCGCUUUAUUCUGGUUUGGGGAGCUUUCUUUCUUCCUUUAUUUUCCUUUUUAUUCUUUUUUCCUUUUUAUUUUUCAAGGUUUAUUUAAUUUCUUUGAAACUAAGUUCAUGUUCGAUAAUUGUUCCUAAUUUUUUAACAAUAUUAUUGCUUUUAGAAAAUGUUCUAAAUUUUUAAAAAAUGUUGUUCUUCAAAAAUACUUUAUAAAUUCAACAAAUGUUACAACUUUUCAAUAAAUGUUCUUGUUUUUAGAAAAAUUCUGCAGGUGAUUUCUAUAAAUUCGAAAAUUGAAAAACAGUUUUUCCAAUUUUCCAAAUUUAUACACAAAUUGCAAAAAAUGUUCACUUUUUUCCUUUUUCCGGAGUUUCAAAUGAUGUCCAGUUUCAUAAAUUGUUCACAAGUUUCAAAAAAUGCCUGAGUAUUUAAUUUUAUGAAAACACAAAGUAUGCAUAUGAUGCAUAUCACAAAAAAUAUGGAAGUCUGUGUUUUUGGGGCUUGAAGUAUUGGGAACUACUCAGUUCGCCGUAUUCUCUUGAUAUGAUCCAUAUCACAAAAAAUAUUCGGGAGAGUUUGCUUGGCACACUGUUUGACAUGCCAAAAAAAGCAAUGAUGUUACGAGGGCGAGACAAGAUUUGAAGGAUAUAGGUAUUAGGGAAGAGCUUCAACCCGCAUCCCUUAAAAGAACCAAGGAGACGGCCAAAGGCAAAAAAAUCACCAUAACCGACGAGACAAAGAAGGGCAAAACCGUGUCAAAUACCAAAGAAGAUUAUUGUCCCCCAGCUUGCUUCACCCUCGACGAGGAUGAGCUUCAUCGACUUUUCAAGUGCCUUGACUGCAUCAAAGUUCCAUCUGGUUACUCGGGGCUCAUAGCAGAUAUCUAACACAAAAAAGCAAAGGUUUAGCAACAUGAAGUUCCAUGAUUGUCAUGUGAUGAUGACACAAUUACUUUCCAUAGCUCCGAGAGGAAUAAUGGAUGAUCACGUUCGCAAUACACUUCUUGACUUUUGCGACAUUUUUGAUGUUCUCUCUCGAAUGUCAAUUAGUGUGCGACGCCUCACGCGACUACAAGAGUAGAUCAUUGAUACGUCUCAAACAUAUCUAUAAUAUUUUAUUAUUUCAUGUUGUUAUAUUAUCAUUUUUGUAUGUUUUAUGAUCAUUUUUAGCAACUUUAUAUCAUUUUUUGGGACUAACCUAUUGACAUGGUGCCUAGUGCCAGUUGCAGUUUUUUGUUUUUUUCCUUCGCAGAAAAUCCAUAUCAGAUGAAGUCCAAAUACCACGAAACUUUACGGCGAUUUUUUGGACGAGAAGGAAACUUGGGAGCCAAGAAUGAGUAGCAGUCGAGGCCUAGGGGCGCCACUAGACACCAAGGCGCGCUAGAGGCCCCUGGCGCGGCCUCGUGUCUAGUACUAGAGCCCUCGGGCGCCUCCUCCACUGCCUCUCAGCUUUAUAAAUACCCCAAUAUUCGAAAAACCCUAGAGGAGUUGACAAAAAAUUGUUUCAGUUGUCGUAAGUUCCAGAGCCACGAAUUCCAAUCCAGAGCCCAUUCCGGAGAGGAACACGAUCACAGAGGGAUUCACCAUCCUCAUUGGUGCUCCUCCGAUGAUGCGGAAGUAGUUCAUAUAAGACCUACGGGUUCAUAGGAAGUAGCUAGAUGGCUUUCUCUCUCGUUUGUUUCUCAAUACAAUGGUCUCUUGGAGAUCCAUAUGAUGUGACUCUUUCUUUUGUGGUGUGUUAGUUGGGAUCCGAUGAAUUGUGAGUUUAUGAUCAGAUCUAUGGAAAUAUAUAUCAUGCUUGAUUAUUAUAGCCUCGUAUUUCUUCUCUGCUAUUUGGUUUUUGUUUGACCAACUUGAUCUUUUAUCUUGCAAUGGGAAGAGGUGGUUUGUGAUGGGUUCGAUCUUGCGGUGCUCAAUCUCAAUGACAGAAAGAGACAUGACACGCAUGUACCGUUACUAUCAAGGAUAAGACAAUGGGAUUUAUACCUACGUGAAUAGAUCUUGUCUACAUCAUGUCAUCGUUCUUAAGGCAUUACUCCGUUUUUCCAUGAACUCAAUACACUAGGGGCAUGAUGGAUAGCGGUCAAUGUGUGGAGUAAUAGAAGUAGAUGCAAGCAGAAGUCGGUCUACUUAUCUUGGAUGUGAUGCCUAUCUACUUAUCGUUAUAAUUAUUUGCUCUUCUUUGAAUUGCCCAACAGUAAUUUGUCUACCCACUGCUUGCUAUUUUCUCGAGAGAAGUUACUAGUGAAACCUACGGCCCCUGGGUCUACUUCACAUCAUCUAUUUACGAUCUCUACUCUGCUAUUUGCGUUUCUACUUUAUUUGCUCUUUUGUUUUCAGAUCUAUAUUAUCAAAAAACCCAAAAAUACCUUGUUGCAUUCUAUUUGCUAUCACUCUUAUUUGCACAUAUCAAUCUUUCCUUACUUUACCCACGAGGGAUUGACAACCCCUCCACACGUUGGGUUGCAAGGACUUGCUAUUUGUGUGGAGGUGUUGCUUACAUAGUCUUGUGGAUCUUCCUACUGGAUUUAUACCUUGGUUUAUUAACUGAGAGAAAUACUUAUCGUCGAUGUGCUACAUCACCCUUUAAGAAUAACUCUUAUCACUACAACAAGAACCCCCUUUCAGCAACGCAUUGAUGUGUUGUUGUAUGUCCAUAUAAGUGUUGCUAAGGCCUACACCAACGGAUUAAUAUGCGUUGCCGUAGGUGGCGUUGGAAGGGUCUACAACAACAUAUAUAAAUGCAUUGGUAAAUGGCAUGAAAAAACGUUGCAGGCUCGCAACAUAUAUAACUAGAUUCCAACAACACUUCGCAUGUGUUGCUCGCUUCAUUGUAGAACAGGAUUUCCAAAUGGACACAACACAUCAUUGCAACAUAUAUUGUUAUCAUAAUGAUAUGGUCAGUGGUGACAAUACAUGGAGCUAUAGUAUAACAAACAUAAAGGUCUAAUAUAUUAAUUUGACUUUGUUGCUUUACAAAGAACAUGAUCCGAAGGAUACAAUAAGUGAUACUAACAUAGCAGCUAAGUCUGGACGUUUCAAUCAACACCUCGAUCGACCAUUCUAAAAUAUAAUGUUUGAAUUAUCCACGCUAGAGAUGACAUCCUAAAACACUACAUAAGACAAUCAAAUAGAAGCCCCAUUCUCCACCUUGCAAUCAACAUCUGGGCCUUGCAUCAUCAAUUUACCUUAGCAAUCUACAACAAUAAAGAAAUGAUAUCAGCAAGUUAUUGUAGAUAAAACAAGGUUAAGAGCGGCAAAAUUAAAGGACGAGGAACAUACAAAGGUUGAAGGCCAUGCAAUAAUUAAUCCUGCCGCAUGACCAAUAAUGUUGACCUUUUUGAAAGGUCGUAUGAACUGAAUAUAGAUGUACACAUGAUGAAUCACAAUGUAUCGUAUACGCAGAGUAUUCUCUAACCCAUUGAGGCUUUUUGUUAAGUUGGAGGUCAAUUUAAUAGUGCAAGCAUAAUUAUUUAGUAAAUGAUGGCAUGUCAUGUCGUACACUAGAUUGUUGUGCAAGAAGGCCACAUGUAUAAUAAUAUUUGUCAAGUUCCUUUUUGUAGCUACUAUCUCUUACAAUGCCACUUAUCCUCUCUAUUAUGUUAAGAAUUACUGCUACUAGUAAUGUACUUCUUAGCAAAUCUACACAACAGUUUAGUAAUUAUUUUUUCAUGUAUGAAGUCUGCAACAUUAUGCAAACGAAAGACUAAAAUAGCAAUGUGAAAGGAUUUUCCUCUUCGUGAAAGUAGAUGCACUUUAUCUCUUAGGUUGUUAUCUCACAUAGUUUUACACAAUAUUGAAAUUGUUAUAGAUGUGAGACAUCAUUUCUAGCAUGCGUAUGCACUGGAAAUGUACACAAAAAAAUCUUGACACAUGAGAGCAGAGAUGAUUGUGAAAAUAAGCUUUGAAAGUUUAGAAGAUAUGGAGUGCACUAACCUUAUUUGCACUAGAGUUUUCCUUCUCUUGUUGCACAUAUUCAUCAUGGAUAGAAGUAUCUUUGUUCUGUGACAGAAGAUAUAUCGUAAGAUUUAAAAGAAUUGUAAUAAACAUUCCUACCAUGAGAUCAGUAAGUACCAAUUUAUUGUGGCUCAACCAUAUUGGACUCCAAACUAUACAUAAAUGAGCAUACCUUAUCCUUCGAAGGGCGUUUGUUUGAUGGUUGCAUCUCCAUGUCAUAUAUAAACUUUUCCUUACUCUAUAAUGAAUGGCUAGAGGUGAUUAAUUUCUAUACAAGCAAGCAUAAAUAUAUUAAUGCAUGCAUACAGAACCAUCACAUUCUUCUUGGUCCCAACAGUACCAAGCUGUUGACUAUGACCGUCACUAUAUACUCUAUGUCUGUUGAAACAAAAUAAGAAAAUGGUCAAAUUUAUCUAAAUGACUUGGCCUUUAUUAUUAUAAUAUUCUAGAGAUAAAUACUUUUUGUUUCAAAUUUGUAUUUCCAAUACAAAGAGCAUCUUGGUAUGUAGACUUCUGACCAAAAGAAUCCUCUAACGAGAACCUAACAAUUAGUACAUGUAUUGAAUAAUGAAGAGCAUUCUAAAGAUAAACAUUUUUCUUGUUUUGAAACAGAUUCAGAGUUGCGAAUAAAUAAGCAUACACAAGAUAAUCAUAUAAUGAAAAGAAGCAACAACAUCUACACAAUGAGUAUCUAGUAUUUUAGAUCUGAUUUCAUUGAUGUAUCAUCAUAAAAGUUUGUACGGUAAUCUUCUCAAAAUUUUGGACAUUGGUAAUGAGUUCAUAAAGGGAAGGAGUUACUAACCUUUAUCAGCACUAGUGUUUUCCCACUCUUGCAGCCCAUUUUCAUCAUGGUAGUCAUGUGUUUUUAGCCCAGAAAUUUUUCCUUCAGCAGACUUCACACAUUUAGAUAUAUUUCCACAAUAGCCAUCAGGAAUCAUUAUAGACUCAAGAACUUCAAGGAACAAUUUUAUCUCACUUCUGAAAAUAAAUCCAUCUGUACUCAAGCCAAACCGUAUAUUACGGCAAUUAGAUGCAAUUUUUGAGUACGUUUCAUCUAAAGCCUUCCAUACUGGGGAAUCAGCCUGAUGUCGUAGUGAUAGCUGUGAUAAUCCACAUCCCGACCAUAAAGGCUUCUUCGAAUCGUUGAUUAAUCUAUAAAAUUCCCCAACUUCUAAAUUUGGUCCAUGUUAAUUCGAUGGAUCUCGACUCUCACUCAUUGGCACAUCAUCAUACAUAUUCCUAAAAGCAUCAUUGAUCAACCCAUGCAUGAGCAAGAAUUUUCUAAAACUACUAGCUAAUGAAACCGAACAUGCAUGUUCUAAAAAGAUGGCGAGUAGAGAGUCUCCGACAUGUAGAUGGUAAACUUGAAGGUUUCAUCCACUUUGAACAAUAUUGCGAUGAUAAAUGUUUCAUCCCAACCUAGUCCCGUUGCCUCAAUUUUCAGGACCAUGGAUUUUAUAUAUUGUCUCUUCAACAUGUCUCAUUUUUUAAAACCGAGUUUAAGUACAUAUUUUCCCGAUCCCAUCAAAGAACCAUGUUCAUGUUCCAAUUUGACCUCAUACAUGCAGCACACACUAUGAACACACAAAAUCUAGAACUAGUCACAUAAGUUACUGCCAUACAAAAUACAUGUAUCAAAAAAUAUUUAUCAAAUUGGUACAACUACAACAUUCAAUACUGUCAUACAACAUACACAUAUCACAAACUAGUUUCACUAGAUCCAUCAAAAUUACUCAGUCCAUGGUCAAUCAAAUGAAAAUAAACAUUCAUAUGGAACACUGAUGAAUCUGAAGAAGAUGUGAUGUACCUUGGGAGAGUGGGGUGAUGCGGAUGGACAAGAAAGCAGGACAGCGAAGAGGAAGACAAGGCCGAUUAGUGUUGGUUACCCCUGGUGAAUCGGUGGCCGGCGGGGACCUUGGAAGAGGAGGCCGGGCUGAGGCGGCCGGCGUCCGUCGGCGGCGCACCAUCCGUCGCGCAACGGCGUGCUGGUGGGGAACAGCAAGACGGCGGUGGCGGAGGAGGCGCACCGUCAGUCACGCAACGGCGUGCUGGUGGCGAACACAGCAAGACGGCGGCGGCGGCGACGCACCGUUAGUCGCGCAAGGGCGUGCUGGUCGCGAACAGCAAGACAGUGGCGGCGACACACCGUCAUUCGCGCAAGGGCGUGCUGGUGGCGGACAGCAAGACGGCGGCGGCGCUGGCGAACCCUAGAAUCGCCAGAGAAGGGCGAGGAGGAAAGGGGCGAGCGGUUUGGACAGGCUCGUCUUGAUGCGCUGGUGAAUAAAAAAAAGACCUGGUCAAUGGCAAAGGUGGGUAGUUUCACGUAUAGGAUCAGGCAAUUAUAAGUAUUCAAUUCUUACAUUUCUAUACGAAUUAUUGGAAAGUAAAGAAUAUAACUAACAAAUAACGAAAACAAAAAAGUGUUAUUAUUAUUUUGGGGCCUAGGAGUCAGAAUUCUAGAUGGGAGGACGAUAUGUUCCUCCGUUCAUUAACACAUAGCAAGACAAAACUGUAACAUAUGGUAUUCGUUAUUAUCCAUACAACGACAACAGAUGUCCUCGCCAACGUAUAUAUGUGUUGUAACGAUGAUAUAUUGCAACACAUUUUCAAAGUGUUGCAAACCAUGCAUUGCUAUAUGGGGGUUCUUGUUGUAGUGUCUUGGGGAGGCCAAUCUCCAUCAACACCUUCACCAACACCAUCUCCUAUCAAAACCCUAGUUCAUCUCUUGUACUCAAUCUUGUAUCGGAACCUCGGAUUGGUACCUGGGGUGUGUCUAGUAGUGUUAGUUACAUCUUGUAGUUGAUGCUUCAUGGUUUAUUUGGUGGAAGAUCAUAUGUUCAGAUUCAUUAUGCUAUAUAAUACCUCUCUGAUCACGAAAAUGUUCAUCCCUUGUGAGUAGUUACUUUUGUUCUUGAGGCCAUGGGAUAAAUCAUGUUGCAAGUAGUCACGUGAAGUUGAUAUUCGUUCGAUAUUUUGAUGAUAUGAAUGUUGUGAUUUUCCGUAGUGGUGUUAUGUGAACGUCGACUACAUAAUACUUCACCAUAUUUUGGGCCUAAGGGAACGCAUUGUGUUGUAGUAAUUGGAGUGUGGGUAAGAGAGGAGCACCGCAACAUCGAUCCCCCCAAAGCUCCACAACCUGUGUGUGUUGCGUCACAAUAUCUUCGUCGCCGUCGGGUUGUGUCACAAUAUCCGCCAUCGUCGUCGCAUGAUUCAUCCCAGCACCCUGUCACCAUUGCAUUCCGCUGUAGUUAAGCUUUGCCGGUGCCCGUCGGGUGCUGCGGUGGAGCUUUGACGGGACAACCGGUGCUGCGAUGGAGCACGGUCGUGCGGUGGUGGAUACGCUGCAGGGAAGCGCCCGCCGCCGGCCACCGGGGUGCUACGAUGGAGCACCACCGUGUCGGUGUUGGCGUUGCAACCAAACGUCGUCGAGAUUGCGAUGAAGGGCCGCCGGAGCUGUAGUGAAAGCGCCAACGGUUGUUCGAGCUCCGACGAGGUUGCAGUGAAGCGUCGGGGCGGUCGUUGAAUCUCCAACGAGGUUGCAGUGAAGCUCCAGCGAGGUUGCAGUGAAGCGUCGCGGCGGUCGUCGGAAGCUCCGCCGAGGUUGCAAUAAAGGGCCCGCCGGUGCUGUCAUGGGAGACUGCUGCGUGGUGCGUCCCGAUCCUGCGGCUGGAAGCAUUUAAAUCGGAUGGCUGUGGAGGCGACUUAAUUUUUUUUUUUUUUAACAAAUCAAUCAACCGGUUGAUUUGUAGGAGUUCCCUUUUCAAAAUCCUUUUGAUGAGAGGUUGAUUGGCGGAGACACUUGCUAAACUGGCGCACCCACCACGGACGCUGAAAUACCGAAACCGCCCUCCGCGCGCGCACCAUUCCUCCGAUCAGCCACUCUUCCCCACGGAACCGCACCGCAACCCCUCCCAAAACCCCCACCCACACCGCCCCUCCCCUCCCCUCACCCCUCUCUCGUGCUUGUCCUCCGCAGCGCGGCGUCGCCUUCCCCUCCUCCGACCUCACCGCGGCGGCGGCGGCGGCGGCGGCGGACGGGAUGUUCUACUCGCACCAGCUCCUCGCGCGGAAGGCGCCGCUCGGCCAGAUAUGGUGCGUCCCCUCCCCUCCCCUCCCUCCUCGCCGGCGGCCGCCCCUCGGUCGCGGCCGCCGGCCGCCGAUUGCGCCUGUCCCGCGUAUUCCUGCUUGGUCCGGGGCGUCUCGGGACGCGCCCCCGUUCGAUCCGCUCCCAAUGCGGAUCCUCGUCGCCCUCGAUCCCUUCUGACGCUCCCCUGUUCCUCUGUCCUGUCCCCUCCGCAGGAUCGCCGCCACGUUCAAAUCCAAGAUAAAUCGGAGGCGGCUCGACAAGCUCGACAUCAUCAAGAUCUGGUGAUCUCCCCACCCGAUCCGACCGAUUUCUCUCUGCUUUCAGCUCGCGGUAGCGGUGGCCCGUCCUCGUGCGAUUCUAAUUCGCGUGUGCUGCCAUGUGUCUGACCGACGCUGCAGCGAGGAGAUCCUGAACCCGUCGGUGCCCAUGGCGCUCAGGCUCUCCGGGAUCCUCAUGGGUGAGCCGCCCCUCGGGGACUAUUAUUUCGCUGCUUUCCUCGCCGGAUUUGCUCUCCCUCGUAUGUAUGUGACGCGCGGUUGUUGCCUUUGCCUGUGUGUCUGGGUGGCGUCCGUGAUGAGCAGGUGGCGUGGUGAUCGUGUACAAGAAGAAGGUGAAGCUUCUCUACGGUCAGUCCAUCCCCUCGCUGCUUGCUGCACUUUCUUCUCUUGUUGUAAAAAAUUUCUUCAGAUUCUCAUCGUUUCCAAAUUUGUGGCCUCGCAGAUGAUGUGUCCCGUCUUCUGGUAAACCUCCAGCUCGAGUUUAUGCCCGGUUCCUCUGCAUCCUUCCUGUUUGGUAAUUUUUGUGGUUGGGUUUACGCCUGUGCUGAUUUCCUCCGCAGAUUGAGCUCAACGAGGCAUGGAAGAUCAGGCCGGUCGUGGACCACACCCUGCUCCCCAAGGGCAAGGCUCAAGCCAAGUGAGUGCUCUCUCCGUCUCCAUGCCCUUCCACAAGUUUCUGAAUGUGUUUGCUUGGGUGGUGAUAAUGUGGAGCCUGGAGAUGGGGCUUUCUUUGUGUGUUUAGACCGUCUGGUGUUAGCUUAUGUAAUGGAAGCUUUUGCGAGGUACCAGGUGGCUGUAUGUAUGGACAGCUUAAUUUUGUCUGUCUAUGAAAUAGCAAUGUCAGUCUCUGCCAGCUUGCUUGCUACCAAUUGGUGUGUUCUGCAUUCUACUGUAUUCAGUUUACAAUGACAUGUGAUUAUUUCAGAUGUUUCUACAAGUUUCUGAAUGUGUUUGUGUGGUGAUGAUGGAGAGUUGGUGUCCAUUUCUCCGUGGAAAUGGAUUUUUUUUCUGUGUUUAUAUACUGUGUGGUGUUAGUCUGAUGGUUUAGAUUAGAGGCUGUUGCAAGGUGCCAAAGUGGCCUUAUGAACAACUUAACUUUGUGUGUUUAUGAAAUUUCUUAAGAUGCCUAAUAACACUGUCACUCUGUCAGCUUGCUUGGUAACUUUCUUUCUGUGUUUAUAUACCGUGUGGUGUUAGUCUGAUGGUUUAGAUUGGAGGCUGUUGCAAGGUGACAAAGUGGCCGUAUCAACAACUUAACUUUGUGUGUUUAUGAAAUUUCUUAAGAUGCCUAAUAACACUGUCAGUCUGUCAGCUUGCUUGGUCACUAUUGGUGUGUGCUGCAUUGUGCAGUGCUGAUUUUGCAAUGAGCAACGGCACUACUUUUUCAGAUGUUUUCUAGAAUUUUAUUGAUGAGGCCAUAUCACUGAUUGUGUGCAAUGUAACUGGGAUGCACUGCCCUAGCCACGGGUCCAUGCUGUGAAAUGUAACUGGGACGCACAACCCUAGCCGUGGGUCCUUGCUGUGUGAUCCUGCUGUAACUUGACUCUGUUCUUGUGUUUCUGGAGCAGCAGCUAUUCAUAUAGAUCUUCAUAUGAUUUUGUGUCUCCUGUCUUGAUAUUCUGAAUGCUUGAUUAAAUUCAUGGGUUGCAACUUUGGCUAAGGGGGGUCGUUUGGGUGUUAUAGCUGUUCAUGCAAGGGUUCAUGCGGGUAUUUAUGUCUCUGUAUGUUGCCGAAUGUUAUGUCUGGGUUUGUCAAUUUUAAUCAGCUCCAGGUUGCAGGGUGUUUUUGCCGGCCAAUAUGUGUGUGUAUUAUAUGCAAGACCUUAUGCAUUUUGUAGUUUCUCAGCCUUUUUUAAUACAUAGUUUGUCCAUUUGUUGUCUUAACAAUUUUAAUAAUAUGGGGUGGCUGGCUGGGACAGUGAUAUAUCAGUUGGUUUUGGGCUGUUCAGUGCUGACUUAUUAUUUUGGUAUUGGUUUCUUAUUCGAUAUCAGUCAAUCUCUUGAGACUGGAUGAUCUAAUUAUAGCAGAUCUGGGGCUGUAUGGUACUUGAGAAAUAAUGCUAUGUUCAGAGGGUAUCUUUAUCACCUUGGAGAACUGUUAACAUAUCUUAACAUUCUGUCAUGUUCAGAGCGCGCACUCUUGUCGCUCGUCUUUGAAAGUUUGUUAGCACUCCAAAUGCGAUAUUUAACCUCUUGCUACUGUACCAUUGCCAUUGAGAUAUAUUUGAGAGUUUGGCUCUCUUUGUUAGAUCUUUCAUACCAGAACACCUUCUCUCUUGCAUAGACUGGGUGCAAAAGGGUUUUAUGGAGAACGACAUGUCUUAAGAUUAAGAAAGCAGUGUGUCAUCUUUACCUGAAAGUGCUGCUUCUUGCAGGUAUGAAGCAGUAACACUUCCAGAGAACAUGAUGGAUAUGGAGCUGGAGCGGCCCGUGCUUUUCACAAAUACUGAUACUGCCAGGUUCCGGGGAAUGGUAAUCAUUGUCAUCUGUGUAUUCUGGUAGUUGGAACUCUGAUUAAAUGCAUGGAUGGAAUUUCCUGUCUCCUAGCUUCUGUCUGAAUUGCCUGCACUCCUCUUGACUGAAAUCCAUGCUUGUGCAGCGCCUGGAGGAUUUGGAUGAACAGUAUGUCAAUGUCAACCUGGAUGAUGAUGACAUCUCUCGCGCCGAUCGUCAUCAUCAAGGUAUUUCUUUCUGCUCUUUUGUAUUGCUCUUUGCGGGUUCUUAAGGCCUACUGAUUAUUAACUCUUGGUUCUUUAUGAUCGUAUCUCAGCUGAGGCAGUCAACAUUACCCUGGUUGAUAAUUUUGAGUCUGGCUUUGCUGAAACUGACAUCUUCACUCGUUUUGAGAGGUAAGGGAGACUUAGGUUUCCCUAACUAGAAGAAAAGAAGAGUUAUUCUUAUUUUCGUGUACCAUUCUCAUAUCAUCAAUGUUGCGUCUUCUUUUAAUUUGGCGGUGAGUACCAACAUUCAUUGUGCAAUACUACCUUGUCACCAGAUUUGACAUAGCAGAUGAUGACACCAUCUUCAAUAUUACUCCCGAUGGACACCCAGAGGCUCCAAGUACACUAGUUCCCUCUCCACCAAGGCCGGAAGACCCUUUUCAGCAACAGCAACAGCGUGCUGCCCCAUCCCCCAUCCGUGAAGAACCUCAACAAGGUGAAACUAAGCACAUGAUUAGUAUAUUUGAUGAUGCUACAACGGGAAAUGGCUUAUCACAUUGUAAGAUUAGAAAUGAUCUCGGUUUAACGCUAAUGGACACCAAUUCUCAUCUCAUUUCGAGUCUUCAAGUCUGCAACACAUUUACCAUGCUAUUUUGAUUCAGGGAAACUCCCACCAAAACUUGUUUGAACGCAUUGACUUAUUCUUUGAGUUUCUUCUGGAACAGUACAAGUUUAUGGUUAUUUGUGUGAGCUUAAGAUUUGCACUGGUGCUUAGCAUAUUAUGUGCUAUGACUAGUCGGUCAAGAAGCGCUGGUUCUAGGCAUAUUAUCUUCACUCAUUAUCUCCCAUUGUUUUUGUAAAUGGCCAAUUGAAUGCUGCAGGACUAUAUUAUAUAUUAAGUGGAUAUCAGUAAGUGUAGUAUUGAUUGCAGCUGAAUUUACUACUUUUGGUAAGUUGAUAACACCAUUCACUCUAUUUUAUGACUGGCCAUGAGCACAACACUUACAGUAUUGGAUUUGCAAAUAAACUGAGGUGGAACCUUUCUAUUUGAAAUGAAUCUUGCGCGUAGCUUAUUGUCCUUUGGCUAGUUCACUGGUUGCAUGUUAUAUUAGAAGUUGUACCACUGGACCCAGUUCAGCUACUCAUAUACUAUAGGGCAAGUAUCUUCUGCAGGGGAUUCAUUGAAGGAGCAAGAGGAGCAGAAGACGAAGGUCUGUACCAUUUACCUGAUGAAUAGCUGGCUUUAGUUGAAACUCUUGUACGGAAAAGGAGUUUGAUGUUGUUUACAUGAGAAUGCUUUUCGCGAUACAGGAGAAACAACCAACUAAACGAGCAAAGAGAAAAGCACGCGGCAAGGGCCCCCAAGUUAUCAUGGAUAACCAGAUAAUGAUCCCAGGAAAUAUAUAUCAGUCAUGGUUGAAGGACCCAUCAAGUCUCACCUCUAAAAGGCGUCAAGUCAGGAGUGUAUGUCAACUGUGUUACUGAUUGGAACUACCUAUUCUCUGAUAAUUCUGAACUCAUGCAUUGCACUUACCGAAUUGCUGUUUUGCUGUUUACUAUUUGCAGAAAAUCAAUCCUAUUCAGGCAAUUAAGAUGGGCGAGCUCAUGGACUUGCCCCCGUCUACCCUAAUGUGUUGCUCGGAUGACUCACAAGAGAUAUAUUACCCUCAGCAGCUUAGGCAACUCUGGAAGGAAUGCACCAAAGUGAACCCCCCAAAGCCCUCAUCUUCUUCAGGUCACUAUAAAACUGGACUUUGUGUCACCCACCUUUGAACUCUCAAAAGUGCUAAUUCCAAGCUGCACACUAUUUCAUACAGGAGUUAAAUCAUCAUCAUCAUCACAAGAAACGCAGCCGAGAAACUCUUCGCCUCAGGUUGUUUCAGAACACAUUUCUCUAUUGAUUUAUUUUCAUCAACAUUUAUCUCAUAAUUGGUUCAACUGGCAGCCUCAAGGAGAUCAGAAUGAAAUGGGAGCUCAACCAAUGGACUUCACAGAUCUCAUUGAAGAGAUGAGAGCAAACAAGAGUGGAGGAUUUGAAGGUGUUUUUGAUGGUCCGCUUGGUGCCCAUAGUGUUACACCUGGAAGUCCUGGUAAGUUGGAAAUCUUUAUUUUUUAAGUUCCUCGUUCUUUAGCUGCUUCAUGACAUCAACUCUGCUGUAGGGCUAAGUCGCAGGUCAGCUUCAAGCUCUGGUGGCUCUGGAAGGGGGGGAUUUCUGCCAUUGGGUCCAGAAAUACCAUUGCAAUUUGGAGAUGGAAGGUGACUGUCCUUGUUCUCUAUAAGUUGCACAAAUAUUUGACUAUGUGAUCUUGUUGUUCUGAAAGAAGAAAAAACUCGGUGAUUAAGUUAGUUUUCUGUUUGUGCUGGGUUUUCCUUUUAUUUCUAUGCUCUGCCUAGAAACUGUUAGAGCUGUCUCCCUGGCGUUGCGUUGGACAUAAAGGAAAACGCCUGACCAUUGAUGCUAACCAUCAUAAGUGGCAGCUUCCUGUGGUUUUUCAUUGUCUUGCUUAGUUUCUUAGUGUUAACUGUCUGAGGACUAUUGAACAGGGCCAAGAGGAAGCAGCUUUCAUCUGGACGAAGCUUGGGGAACCUUGAUCCAAUUGAAGAGGAAUUCCCAAUGGAGCAAGAGGGGAGGGACUUCAAGCUGAGAAGGGUUUCAGAAUUUGGACCAACUCCUGGUUGGUUGCACUUCUGCCUUUCUGUCCUUACCUUAAACUGUUAUUUGUGGAUACGAGUAUUUCAUCCUGUUUCCUGGGGAACGUAUCUUGUUUCAGAUCUUAUGGAAGAAACAGAACCCACUCAAACCCCGUUCUCAAAGCAAUCCAGUCCUCCCGAUCACAUCACUGAAUCAAUUCACUCGUAAGUAUCUUGAGCACAUUGCUGAAUAUAAUUCCUGGGUGGCUUAUGUUUGACUCGCGGAGUGCAAGUGUGUACAUCGUGUGACGCUGGAAUUAAAUUCAUCGCAGGUACCUAAAGCUCCACUUCGAGAGCGCGGAUGCCCCGCUGUCUGAAUCGCUAAGCCAUCUAACUCAUGGGAUGAAUACAGCACAGGCUGCCCGCCUAUUCUAUCAAACAUGUGGUAUGGAAUAGUUCCUACAUUGUGAAUACAUCGUGCAAUCACUAGAGUAAAUAAGAAAUCAAAGAUCUCACUGCACGAUUUCAUAUAGUUGCUUUGCUGUUGAUUGAUUGUUCAUAAUUUCCAUGGACACUGACUAUAAUUACACAUUUUGCAUGACAUGCUUGCUUUCUCUAAUUAUGCUGGGUUGUAUAGGAUCCUGACAAGUUAACUUAGCUGCGGUGCUAAAAGCAGGUCAUAUAUAAUAUAGCUUGAAAACUGGGGAAGAAACAGAGAGUUUCCUUGAUAGCAUUGGCUAGAAGGAUAACCCCUAGAAUACUGAGUGCGACUCUUUUAACCAUUUUGUUUGGUCAUGUCACUGGAUGUAAACUGUUGUUCACUGAGGGUUUUAUUUAUGCUGUGCAGUCUUAGCAACGCGCGAUCACAUCAAGGUCACGCAGGAUGAAGCAUACGGGCCCAUCCAUAUCUCAAAGGGGGCCAACAUGUGAUCGUCUCCCUGUUAAUCUGAAACGCCCGGAAGUCCCGGAGCCUCUCGCACAUCUCGUGUUUAUAUAUCUAUCUGUAGUGUUUUAAGUCUGCACAGGAAGAAGUCUUGUAGGAAGUUGCUGCUUAGUUAUGUCUCUGCUUGUGUGGUGGGAAGCAAGUGAGCGAUGGUGCUGUGUUAUCACGGUAGUUUUGGUCAGAGCACGGGGCAAUUCUGUAAGAUAUGCUACGCUGAAAGAAUUGACAGGCGGUGUCGGUGUAGGUUAGCUGCUUAAACUAUGUUCAUCAGGGGGAUGUUUAUGGUACCGGAGAUUUGCUGGUUAGUUGCUUGUAGUUCAUUAUCAGGGGUGAUAUUUAUUGUACCGGAGAUUGGCUGGUUAAGUAUGUUUAACAUGAAGUGGCUGCUUUUCCGUAUCGCAAAAAUUUCGCCUGUCUUUGCAUCUUUUGAUUGGAAUAAUGUUCUUGGACUGGUGAUUCUUCUACGUUCUUCAACUAGGUGCCUGGAUGUCUGAAGCUGUAAGUGUACUGGAUACUUACUGCUUUUUGAAACAGUUUGCAGUUGCCCGACGAUGGUUCGACCUACAGCGCUUGUUUUUUUGAUGCAGAUCCGUUGAGACAAUAUGUGCAUCAAUGAUUGCUCAAUAAUCAAACCGAACCGAACGCAAUCUGGAGCUUCAAUUCAAAGUGCAGUAUAAGUCUCAUUUCAGACCUGAUCAGGUGGUCUCUCUUUUCAGCCCGCCGGCUAGGCCCGUGACUUGGACGUUGCUGCUAACAUUUAGCCAUUACCCUAGAAAGGUAGGAUCUGAACACGUAUUACAUUACAAUGCUUUUUCAGUUGAAGCAAUGAUGUUCCUUUGAAGAUGGAGCUUAGGCUUUGGAGAUGCUUUCUCCAACUUGGUAGUCAUGAUGCCGAUGCCCAUUUUCUCUUGCGGUUGCCAUCGCUUUGUCAUCCGGUUUUGCCCAUCGGGAAAAAAACGGUGUGUGUUUCGCCCCUCUUUACGUCAUUUGAUUUGAAUAUAUGUUAUUGGACUAGUGAUUCUUCUGCGUUUCUGAAGAACUAGGCGCUCGGAUGUCCGAAGCUGAAAGCAUGGUACGCUUGUUGCUGCUUCAGUUCAUGCUUAAUGUUACAAUGCCUAUGCAGUGACGCGUCUUUGCCUUGAUACUUUUGCUGCUGUGCUCAUGUACCGAUUCAGUAGUUUUUGGGUACACUAACGCGGCUUUGAUGAUCUAUGUACGCUCUUGAUAAGAUGGGCCAUUGCCUGCAGGCUGCAGCAUGCAGUAUCUUUUAGGUGCCCCAAGGUAGCAGAGCUGCGUUUACCAACAACCAGAGCAAUCAAAGUCCCCACACAGGGCAGUUUUUCAUACUCUAAUGGGUGAAAUCUGUCGAGUUAAUAUGUCCGUCAGGAUUGCAUCAGAGAAGAUCACUCCUUGCUCCAUCAACUAAUGAAGUUGGUAGCAUCCCGUGGUGGAUUUAAGCAGACAUGAAUGUCAUGAGACGUGUGAUGUUGCGGUGAAGCGCUUGCCCCGACCCUUUCUUCUCAAGGGAGCCGAACCACGGUCGAGAAUUCGGCAUUCUUCCUGGCAACAUUGCCACACGCUGUUGGGUAGCACCCGAAUUUGCAUUCAUAUGUACUAUAUGACAUACAAAUUGGCUAGCAUCUUGACUGGUGAUGAUUCUUGUAAAGGUCGGUUUUGUCAAUCUUUACACCAUAGUAGACUUACUAUGCCCUAGUCUUCCACCCAACUCAUAGGAUAUUCUGCUCAUUGUUGACAAAGGCCAUAAUAAUGUAUUUAUGUAAUCAGUGGUGAAUCAAGUAACUUUUGACAUUUCUUGUGUCCGCUGGAUACUUACAGCCUUUUCAAACAAAUUUGCAAUCGCCCGACGACGAUUCGACCUACAUGCUCGCUUGUUUUUCCGUGCAUCAAUGAUUGCCCAAUAAUCAAGUGGAACGAGAUGCAAAUCAGAAACUCCAAUUCAAAGUGUAGUGCAAGUCUCAUUUCAGACCUGAUCAGUCAGUCUCUCUUUUCAGCCUGCCGGAACCGGAAGGAAGCCGGUGAGGCCCAUGAGUUUGACAUUGCCGCUAACAUUUCAGCCAUAACCAUGUGCAUGAACAAGCCCUAGCCCUAGCAAAGCUAGUAUCCCGACCCACAUUGCAUUAUACUAACACAAAGAAAUGAAAACCACCAUUAGUGACGGUGAGCAGAGUUGAAGCAAUGAUGCUCCUUUGGUGAUGGAGCUUAGGCUUUAACCAACUUGCUAGUCAUGAUGCCGCCCAUUUUCUCGUGCAGUUGCCGUCGCUUUGUCAUCCGGUGCUGACUUCAAGGCGCCAAACCAGCAAGCAGGGGGCCCCUUGCCCUGAAAAACAUGUGUAAUCAACAUGUCUAAAAAGAGCCUAAACCAUCAUCAUCGCCUCUAAUCUCCGCAAUGAUGGGGUGGCGAUGGAUCAACUCCUCCAAAGAUGCACUAGCUCACUAGUUGCAGUAAGAAUAGGAAAUACUAUCACUAAUCAGUUUGGUGUGGUAUAUGGCAUGGCAUGGCAUGGAUGACCAGGGCUAAAGCAAAGGGUAUUUUACAAAUCAGUAGCUCCCCUCCUGGCCCCUUUCCUAACCUUCUAGAGAAAAGCACCUUUAAAUCUCCUCUACUCAUGGUACUACUACUAGUGGUAGAUCGUAGUCCUAAGCUGCAAUGCUAGUGAAAAAGGCAAUUUUAUACCGAUGACGUGUUGAGACCAGGAUGCACGAACGCCUCUGAAGAAAAUUGGCUAUGGUUGGCACCUAAAAAAAGAAACACAUGGAUAUUACAAUAUGUCUGGGAAAUUAUUUUUCCCGUGUCGUACACUAAGACCUGGUCUGAUUAACGCUUUUUUCUUCCAAUUAACCGCUUAACUCUGUUUUAUGUAAAAAAUACUUUUUGCAAAAAAAAAGUUUGUUUUCAGUUCUUCUAAUCAAAAGGCGUUGUUCCUUCAGUUUCUCUAAAUUAAAAACAUGACGUAUGUCUCACUGUCGACGGUGAUCAGACAAGCAAUGGCGACAUCUCAGAAACAUGGAAUCCUCACACCCAACUAAAAGUUGCCAUAAAAAACGUUUGAUUUGUCAUACUUUAAAUUUGACGUCGGAUUUUAUCAUUAAGGAAAAAAAUAAUGAACAAAAUUAUUUGCCUUCCAACUGAAAAGGAUGGUGCUCAUGCUGAUUCCUCGAAGAAAAAAAGGGUCUUAGUCACACCCUAGUCGCUCUCGACGGUGUUCGGACACGCAAUGGCGGCAUCUCAGGAACAUGGAAUCCUUCGCUCCGGAUUUCCGUGGAGGCGACGACAGGGCGGCAUCACAUGAACCGGAAGGAAUUUUUUGGUUCGACGGGAGCGAAGGAUUUCCAUGGAGGCGACAACCAGGCGGCAGCAUCACAUGAACCGGAAGGAAUUUUUUCGGGUUCGGAUGCGAAUUAUGGCGAUAAGAUCGGGGGCAUUAUUCAGAGAAAGGAGCUUUGUUGGGGGGCAAGUGGGGUUGAGUAAAGGUGGUGGGAGAAUUAGUGAGGCUCUUUGGCAACGGCAUCGGAUUCUAUUCGGGAACAAGGGGCACAUAUCCAUUUCUUAACACGGUUUCUCGGUUGAAUUUCUUGGCAGGCAGAGGCAGCAGCCAGGGACAGACAGGUGCAUAAUUGGAUGUGAGUUGCAGAGUGUUACGGAUCCGGCUGCUGUGCUUUAAUAAAGGUUAAAAAAAAA